rnacentral:lncRNA from 1 species
ACUGUUGCAUCAAGGAGGCACUACGGAUGCACCCUACAGCACCAAUGUUUCUUCGCAAGGUGCACAAGAACUUUACCGUACGGACUAGAGAAGGCUAUGAGUACGAGAUUCCAAGUGGGCAUACCAUAGCAAGCCCUUUGGUCAUAAACCACAACAUUCCAUACAUUUACAAGGACCCUAAUGUGUAUGACCCACACCGGUUUGGUCAUGGAAGGGAGGAAGACAGAGUUGGUGGAAAGUUCACUUACAAUGCGUUCAGUGGUGGAAGACAUGCUUGCCCGGGGGAAGCUUAUGCCUAUAUGCAAGUGAAGGUGAUAUGGAGCCAUUUGCUAAGGAACUUUGAGCUCAAGUUGGUGUCAUCAUUCCCCGAGACCAAUUGGCUAAAGCUUUCCCCAGAACCUAGAGGGAAAGUGGAGGUCAGUUACAAAAGACGGAUGCUAUCUAGGAGCAUCUUGGAAAACUUAUGAUUACUUUUGUAUGAAAUGUUUUAUAUGUGCAUGCUUGUGUAAUAAACAAGUUUGUAUGCCCACACUCGUUGUACACUGAGGAAGGGAUCUUCAAAGUCUCAUACAAAUAUAAAAUGAAAAUGGAAUCAGUGUACAUCUUUUUAUGCCAUAUGAAAAUUUUCACUGAAUACUUACACUGAGUAGCAGUUUUAGAGAUCUAGCUCUGCUUGGCAUAACAAUUUAAAAUAUGAGAUCAUUUCUUGGUUUCCAAAUAUCCCAAUCUCAUAGUAAUGAUUUUCAGAUAAAGGAUAUAAAAUCAAGCCUCUAUAUCUACUUGGGACAUAUAUGAGCUCUUACGCUCAAAGUCUCAAAACUAAGUAGCAGAAAACAACAAGAAACAGGGCUUACAAACUAAUUAAAGCUACACACACUAAGAUUCAAAAGUUCAUAUCUCUCAUAGCUUCCAUCCUUUCUUGAUUUUGCGUAGCAGCAACUCUCCAGCUCAUAUGUCCUCAAGUGGCUACAUUCAUCUAGUGAAAAUUGCAUGCAUCUUGCUCCAACUCGCACGCUCAACAAGGAAAAGGUACAUCAAACACCUCAAUUUGUUGAUUUUUGAUGUCCCCUCCAUCUAACGUCCAAGAACUCUUGGACAUUAUUCAACAAUGCAUGAUAGGUAGAGGGGACAAACUGAGGUCUACUUAAGGCAUCCAUCUCUAUUAAUUUAUUAAUAGAGGCAGACUUCCUAAUGAAACCACCUCUAUUGUAUCAUGAGUAAUGGAGGUCGGCAUCAUAAAGGACUCACCUCGGUGUUGACGGCAGACAAGUACUCCUUUUAACCAUCAACAUAGCAUGAGAAAGGACUAAAACCAUAAUACUAUCAAGCUAUAGGGAUUAUCAUUAACAGAAUUCCACAAGUUUUGGUCAUUGACUAUUUGUAUAGGGGUUAUCAGAAUAAGAACAAAGGAGGUCCACAUGUUAGAUUUACAUAGAGAGAAUACGUGAAACGUCAACACAGGAAUACUCCAGAACUCGGGAAGACACCACCUGAAAGGUGGGGCCCACCUGCCAUAGGGCAGGGGAGGGCGCCCCACCUUGUUAGGUGCGACCGCCCAGGGGGCAGAGCCAAUCAGGCUCCACCUCGUGGAUCUUGCUUCCACCGCCUUGGAGGAUUAAUCUUAAGCAUACAUUCAAGGGUUGUGGUGCUUCCUAGGGUGCUACAAAUACAAGCAUGACCCCCCUAGAGGAGGAGUUCAUAAUUAUUCUCUGAGAAGAUCAAGAGAAGAAUUAGUGUAGGAUCGAUAUACUGUAGGAUAGGCAAUCAAAGGGGGGGUGAAUGAUUGCGUAAGCCAAAAUUAAAAUCUAAAGUUCACCCUAAACACAAAACCAAAGUAAGCCCUUUUUAAUUAAGACAGAACAUUGUGCUUUUAAUAGAAAUAAACUCGACCAAAAAUAUGCUCCAAUUGACCUCAAAAUUUAAUACAAUAAACUAUAUAAAAUAUGCAAAUGAACCCAACUGGAAUCAUGUUAAUCGAAGGUCUAGAACUCGAGGUAUAAAAUAAACAAUAUUAAUGUUACUGUGUGUGAUAAUGACGAGAACUGAUCCAGUUCUACUUUUGAUUAUGCGACAUCAAUUAAAGCUUAUGCCAUGAGACUUUUCAGAUUACUAGCACAAUACCCUAGCAACAAAAAAAUAUGUAAACUUGCAAACAAGAUAUGAAUCUGAAACAAAAGGCUUGACAUGUAAAUCAAGAAGCUGAUAUGUAGAACGCGAUUAACAUCACACUGAUAUGAGAUAAUUGGACUUCAUUGCUCUCAUAAUAUGUUCACAAGAUGCAACUUACAAGCAUCCACAAGAGAACUCUACAAAAGUUCCCGAAGCACUUGAAACAACUACCGGCUGANNNNNNNNNNNNNNNNNNNNNNNNNNNNNNNNNNNNNNNNNNNNNNNNNNNNNNNNNNNNNNNNNNNNNNNNNNNNNNNNNNNNNNNNNNNNNNNNNNNNNNNNNNNNNNNNNNNNNNNNNNNNNNNNNNNNNNNNNNNNNNNNNNNNNNNNNNNNNNNNNNNNNNNNNNNNNNNNNNNNNNNNNNNNNNNNNNNNNNNNNNNNNNNNNNNNNNNNNNNNNNNNNNNNNNNNNNNNNNNNNNNNNNNNNNNNNNNNNNNNNNNNNNNNNNNNNNNNNNNNNNNNNNNNNNNNNNNNNNNNNNNNNNNNNNNNNNNNNNNNNNNNNNNNNNNNNNNNNNNNNNNNNNNNNNNNNNNNNNNNNNNNNNNNNNNNNNNNNNNNNNNNNNNNNNNNNNNNNNNNNNNNNNNNNNNNNNNNNNNNNNNNNNNNNNNNNNNNNNNNNNNNNNNNNNNNNNNNNNNNNNNNNNNNNNNNNNNNNNNNNNNNNNNNNNNNNNNNNNNNNNNNNNNNNNNNNNNNNNNNNNNNNNNNNNNNNNNNNNNNNNNNNNNNNNNNNNNNNNNNNNNNNNNNNNNNNNNNNNNNNNNNNNNNNNNNNNNNNNNNNNNNNNNNNNNNNNNNNNNNNNNNNNNNNNNNNNNNNNNNNNNNNNNNNNNNNNNNNNNNNNNNNNNNNNNNNNNNNNNNNNNNNNNNNNNNNNNNNNNNNNNNNNNNNNNNNNNNNNNNNNNNNNNNNNNNNNNNNNNNNNNNNNNNNNNNNNNNNNNNNNNNNNNNNNNNNNNNNNNNNNNNNNNNNNNNNNNNNNNNNNNNNNNNNNNNNNNNNNNNNNNNNNNNNNNNNNNNNNNNNNNNNNNNNNNNNNNNNNNNNNNNNNNNNNNNNNNNNNNNNNNNNNNNNNNNNNNNNNNNNNNNNNNNNNNNNNNNNNNNNNNNNNNNNNNNNNNNNNNNNNNNNNNNNNNNNNNNNNNNNNNNNNNNNNNNNNNNNNNNNNNNNNNNNNNNNNNNNNNNNNNNNNNNNNNNNNNNNNNNNNNNNNNNNNNNNNNNNNNNNNNNNNNNNNNNNNNNNNNNNNNNNNNNNNNNNNNNNNNNNNNCAAGACUAGUGCUAACACAUGCAUACAAAAGUGAACUACCCCAUAUAACGGUCAUACAUCAUGUCUCAAAGACUCACUUAAUACUUGUGGUUUCCAAAGUUUUAUCAGAGUUUGCAGCGGUUCACAAGUAUUAGUUAGAACAUGUGUAUGCGAGUGGUUAUCCAAACUGUCCGCCAAAAUAUAAUUUUUCUUUUCUUUUCAACCACGCCAAGUUCAUCCCUUAGUGCAAUGGGAAGCCGUCUUAUCACGAGUGGUUGUGGACUACACUACAAGGCUCAAGUUCGUCCCUUAGUGCAAGUGGGAAGCUGUCUUGAUACCUUGACGUGGGACAGUAAAGACCCAACUCGAUCUUUCAUGAUUACUUAGCUUGGAUUUCAAGUUUUAGCACAAGAUUAUCAAGUUGUCUAAGUCAAGUGCAUGACUCAAGAAACAUGAGACAUAGCAGCCUAGCAUACAUAUGAAAGCAACAUGGAUCUCAACACAUCCUACACAUGCUAGUUGCCAUCUCAAAUGGUGAACAUUUUCAAGUCUCAACAGUGAUUAGUCAAGUUCACAUGUUAGAAAAUAGGCUCAUCUUAUAAUAUGUAUCAAUGCGAUCAAAAGGAUCCUAAGCAGGAAGUACUAUCAUGUACGCACAGAACAUACCAAAGAUAGCAUAGUUUUAUUCUAACAGUUAUAGUCAUGAAGCUCAAGGAUGUUCUAUCAUACAUGAUGAGAACUAAAUAUAGAAUUCAGCUCAAACUCUAGAAGCAGUUAGGAGGUUCAAAACAAAUUCUUAGAAACCACAAAAAAAAGAGUACCAUAUAGAGAAUGCAAAAUUGACUAUGUACGAGAAUAUAGACUCGCCCUCAAAACAAUCCAGAUAGAUGUAACACCCCGAGUUCUCCCCGUAGAAAAGCAAAACGAGAAGAAUCCAAAGGUUUUGUGAAAAUGUCUGCCAACUGAUGUUCAGUAUCUAUACGAUGAAGCUCAACGGUUCAUUUCUCAACAUGAUCUCGAAGAAAGUGAAAUCUUAUAUCGAUAUGCUUAGUUCUUGAAUGUUGCACUGGGUUCUUAGCAAUACAUAUAGCACUAGUAUUAUCACAGAAAAGGGGAACCUUAUUCAAAUUUAUCCCAUAAUCUUUAAGUGUAGCUACUAUCCAUAGAAUUUGUGAACAACAACAAGCAGUAGCUACAUAUUCAGACUCAGCAGUAGAUUGUGCAAUAGAGGAUUGUUUUCUAGAUAACCAUGUAAUAAGAGAAUUUCUCAAAAAAUGGCAUGAGCCAGAUGUACUUUUUCUACUAAUUCUACAACCUCCAAAAUCAGCAUCAGAAAAACAUCUUAAGCUAAUAUAUGAGGAAGCAGAAAGCCAUAUGCCAAAGUUUAGAGUACCACGUAGAUACCUAAGAAUGCGUUUGACAGCUUGUAGAUGUGAAGCACGUGGAGAAGCUUGAAAACGAGCACAUAAACACACAAAAAAUUGUAUGUCCGGCCUCGAAGCAGUAAGAUAUAAAAGCGAACCAAUCAUGCUCCUGUACUCCUUUUGGUCAACAGGCUCACCAUCUUCAUCAAGAUCAAGUGAAGUAGCAGCUCCCAUAGGCGUCAUAAUAGGCUUACAGUUUUCCAUCCCAAAACGGUGUAGAAGAUCCCUUGUAUACUUACUUUAAUGAACAAAAAUGCCUUCAUUUGUUUGUUUUACUUGUAAUCCCGAGAAGUAAGUCAACUCCCCCAUCAUACUCAUCUCAAAUUCUUUACUCAUCAUUUCUGAAAACUUAGUCACUAAAGCAUGAGAUGCACACCCAAAGAUGAUAUCAUCAACAUAAAUCUGAACGAAUAAUUGAUCAUUGCCUUGCUUAAGUACAAAGUGAGUUUUAUCAACCUUUCCCAUUGAAAAUCCCUUUUCUAUUAAAAAUUUCUUCAACCUAUCAUACCAUGCUCUUGGGGCUUGUUUCAAACCAUACAAAGCUUUUGAUAGUUUAAAAACAUGAUUAGGAAAUUUUGAAUUUUCAAAGCCAGGUGGUUGCUUAACAUAAACCUCCUCAUCUAUGUAGCCAUUAAGAAAAGCACUUUUUACAUCCAUUUGAUACAAUUUAAAACCUUUAGAUGCAGCAAAGGCUAACAAAGUUCUAAUGGCUUCCAAUCUAGCAACAGGAGCAACUGUUUCAUCAAAAUCUAACCCUUCUAUUUGUUUAAAUCCUUGAGCAACCAACCUAGCUUUGUUUCUAACAACAACACCAUCCUCACUUUGUUUAUUUUUAAAUACCCAUUUCGUUCCAAUUAUAGUGUGAUCAGGUGGAGGUGGAACAAGCUUCCAAACUUUAUUUCGUUCAAAAUUCUCUAAUUUUUCAUGCAUGGCAUUGAUCCAAGAUUCGUCAGUUAAUGCAUGAGAUACAUCUUUGGGCUCAAAAGAAGCAACAAAAGCAGAAUGAGCAUAUGAUUCAGUAUCAACAAACCUAGACCGUGUUACUCUUUCAUUUAAAUCUCCAAUCAUUUGCUCAGGUGGAUGUCUCCUUUGAAUGUGAUGAGGGGCUGAAAUUUUUGGAGCAUCUUCUUGUUCAUUUUCGACAUGUGUAGAUGAAGCAGUAGCUUGUGGAUGUCCAAUUGUUGCUGUAGUAGUAGAAGGUGUAGUAGGAACUUGAGGCGGAGAAAUAGUAUGAAUUGUGACCUCAUCAUCAUCAUCCUCAUCUUCUUCUUCGUCAAUAAAUAUGCUCUCCCCCUGAACAUAUGCACUUGUACCUGCAUCACUUAGACUAGUGCCAGGACUAGUCUCAUCAAAAGUAACUUCAGACGUUUCUAUCACUUUGUUAGUUGCCAAAACAAGCACACGAUAGCCACGUGAAUGAGUGGGGUAACCAAGAAAAAUGCCAUCUGUUUAUCUAGCUUCAAAUUUGUCUAAGUUUCCAGAUUUUAACACAAAGCAUUUGCACCCAAAAACUCUAAGGUGUGAUACACUUGGCCUAUGUCCAAAACGAAGCUCAUAUGCAGUUUUACCAAGUUUGGAUCUCAAAAACACACGGUUUGAAAUAUAGCAUGCAGUAGACAAAGCUUCAGCCUAGAAUUUUCUUGGAGUUUCAUAUUCAUCUAGCAUUGUUCUAGCCAUCUCAACCAAAGUUCUAUUUUUCCUUUCAACUACACCAUUUUGUUGUGGAACAUAUGGUGAUGAAAACUGAUGAUCAAUACCUUUUUUAGUGCAAAAAUGAUCAAAUGAAGAAUUUUUAAAUUCAGUUCCAUUAUCAGUUCUUAUAGCUCUAAGAGAUCCUGGGUGAUCAAUAGAUAAUCUAAGAACAAGACUUCUAAAAUGCCCAAAAGCCUCAUCUUUAGAUGCCAUAAAGUAAACCCAGGAGUAUCUAGAGAAAUCAUCAACAAUCACAAGUACAUACCACUUACCACCAAAAGACGAACUCUCGAUGGUCCAACUGUAUCAAGGUGUAGAAGCUGCCCAGGUGCAUUUGUCAUGACCAUAGUAAGUGGAGGAUGUGAACCUGUACACAUCUUACCAUGUCUACAAGAAGAGCACACUACAUCGCUUUCAUUUUUAAGUUUAGGUAAACCACGUAUAAGAUCCAUACCCCUAACACGCGUGAGAUGAUCAAAAACAACAUGCCCAAGUCUACGAUGCCAAAAGAAUAAGCCUUUUGAAACAUUGGCAACUAGACAUCUAAAUUUAGCACCAUGUACGACAUCAAAAUCUGCUUUGAAAACUCUUCCAAAUCUUGAAAUUUUAAAAACUAUAUCACCUGAAGAAUCUAACACUUUACAUUCACCCUUUUUAAAACAUACUUCAAGAUCUUCAUCAAUCAUUUGUGAGACAGAGAGCAAAUUGAAUUUCAAGUUCUCAACGAGAGCCACAUCUUUAAACAUAAACUUGUCAUUUACCUUCACAAUACCUUUUGCCAUGACAGGUGUAGAAGUAGCAUCUCCAAAUGUGACACUUUCUGCUUGAGAUGCAUGGGAGAGGGAGGAGAACCAACCUUUACAACCAGUCAUAUGACGUGAGCUUCCAGAGUCCACUAACCAUAUGUUCUCCUUCCUCGCUCGAGAAGCCUACAUAGAAACACAAGAUGUCGAGGCCUCAGUACUGGGUUAGAAAUUAAACAUUUAGGAAUCCAGUACUGAGACACACGACCGCUAGCAAAUGUAGGCACAGAAUGAGUGUUCUUACAUAAAAUUUUAGAUUGAGUACCACCCAUAUUUCUGGUCACAAAGGAAUAAGUCUUUCUCAAAUAAGAUGUAGCCUUAGCUUUUUCUUUCUUUUGUUGUUUGGCUAGUCUAAAACAAAAUUGCACAAUGUGACCCUCUCUACCACAAUGACUGCAAGUAUAUUUAACUUUAUAUUUUUUAUAAUAGAAGCAACAUUAACAUUUUCUUGAUUAGAAGAUGACAUAGUACCAGCAGAUUUAAAAACUGUCUUUUUAGUUUCAUUAGCUAUUUCAAACUUACCAUUACCAAGAGAUUUGGAAAUAAUUGGUGCAUGAGACUUGGAAUGAGCAUAAGCAUCAAAACCUAAGCCUGUUUUGUGUGUGCUAGUCUUUUGUUCCAAAAUUUGAUUCAACAUUUUUGUUCCCAUCUUUCCUUGCAAGUAACCAAUACGUUUCAAAAUGGCAGCACAAUUUUCACACGCAUCCUUUUUAGUUUUAUCAUUUUUACCACAAUUAGAGCAUGAAAGAACCUCAUGAAUAUCAAUGUUUUCUUUUAAUUGUGUUAUUUUAACAUCAGCAUCUUUCAGUUUUAGUUUAAGCAAUUCACAUUUAUCACAAGAAGUUGGUUCAACAGUAGCACAAACAUGUAUAUCAUUUUUAUCCUUUUCAACUUUAAGUUGUUCCAAAGUCAAAGCAUGCAUGUCCCUUAAUGAAGUAAGCUCAGUAUACACUAUAUCACAUGAUUUGCAAGAAUCAUCAUCAGGAAUUAAAGUUUUUAGUCGGUCAUUUUCAGCAUAUCAAGAUUCAAUCAAAACAUCAUGUUUCUUAAUCAUUUUAUUUCUUUUCUCUAGUAAGGUACCAAGUUUUUCAACAGCUUUAGCAAACUCAUCAUAAAGAAGGUUCUACCUCAUUGUAGCUGUCAUCAGAAGCAUCAUUGUCAUUGGACCUUUUACUACUUGCCAUGAGACAAAGCCCAAUUAAAUUUUUCUUUCCGUUGGAAGUGUCAUCCUCACUAUCAGUGUCGACAUCACUCAUAUUAACUUGCUCAAGAGCAGAAAGAACACGAUGCACCACCUUGCGAUUCAAAGCCCUUCUUCUUAUUGCUUCUUAUUGUGUGCUUCUUUGUUCUUUGGAUUUCAUCUUCUUCGUCAUCUUUAUCUUUUGCAACUCUUGCCAAAAACUUUGGGCACUUGGGACGGAUGUGAUUUGGAUCUCCACACUCAAAACACUUUUGGGGGCCACCGUAUCCUCUCUUCCUUGAUCUCACAUUUUGCAAAGCUCUUGUGAAGCGUGUAGAAAUAAGUGCCAAAUCUUGUUCUGGGAGUUGUUCUAGCUGUUCAUCAGUUAGUGAAGACAAAGAAGAUAGUGCAUAGCUGGUGGAAGUGUUAUCACCAUUAAAAUGGCUUGAUUGUGAAGCUAGAGCUAUUGAUUUAUUAGCAAUAUUUUUUCUAGCAAAAACAUCUAGUUCAUGAGUUUUCAGCUUAGAAUAAAGCACAUCUAAAGUAAGUGUACUCAUCACAGUAGAUUCUCUAAUAGAUGUCACUUUCAUCUCCCAGAUAGACAUAUCUAGAGCUCCAAGUAAUUGACGUGCAUUUUCAGCAUCAGUGUAUGUAACAUUAACUGCACGUAGAUUACUUAAAAUUUUAUUAAAAUGAGCAAAGAAAUAAUCUAAUGCUUCACCAGGUUUCAUCUCAAAACGCAUGUAAUCCUUUUUAUACAUAUCUUGGUGUACUUCUUUAAUUGUAGAUGAGCCUUCAUGGUAAUCACAGAGUGCUUUCCAUACCUGAUAUGCAGAUUUGAGAUGCACAACACGAUCGAAGUCACUCUUACCAAGCCCUUGAAUAAUAUAGUUCCUCGCCUUGCUGUUAGCUUCUACUUGUGCCAUGUUUGCCGAAGUUACACCAUCAAUCUCAGGCACUUCAUAAGGCUUGUAGACCUUCUCCCAAAUAGUGAAGCCUUGUGCCUGAAUAUAGGACUCCAUCUUUGCUUUCCAGAACUGAAAAUCAACACCAUCGAAAACACAACGUUUUGCCGAAUAUCUAUCUGUCGCCAUAUUUUCUAAUUACCGGUUAAGAUCAAUUAGAAAAAGAACCUAGCUUUGAUACCAAUUGUAGGAUCGAUAUACUCUAGGAUAGGCAAUCAGAGGGGGGUGAAUGAUUGCGUAAGCCAAAAUUAAAAUCUAAAGUUCACCCUAAACACAAAACCAAAGUAAGCCCUUUUUAAUUAAGACAGCACAUUGUGCUUUUAAUAGAAAUAAACUCGACCAAAAAUAUGCUUCAAUUGACCUCAAAAUUUAAUACAAUAAACUAUAUAAAAUAUGCAAAUGAACCCAACUGGAAUCAUGUUAAUCGAAGGUCUAGAACUCAAGGUAUAAAAUAAACAAUAUUAUUGUCACUGUGUGUGAUAAUGACGAGAACUGAUCCAGUUCAACUUUUGAUUAUGCGACAUCAAUUAAAGCUUAUGCCAUGAGACUUUUCUGAUUACUAGCACAAUACCCUAGCAACAAAAAAAUAUGUAAACUUGCAAACAAGAUAUGAAUCUGAAACAAAAGGCUUGACAUGUAAAUCAAGAAGCUGAUAUGUAGAACGCGAUUAACAUCACAUUGAUAUGAGAUAAUUGGACUUCAUUGCUCUCAUAAUAUGUUCACAAGAUGCAACUUACAAGCAUCCACAAGAGAAAUCUACAAAAGUUCCUGAAACACUUAAAACAACUACCGGCUGAUCCAGCAUGCGCUCUGCCUCACUUUUCUAUGGGUUGCACUCGUGUGCCUCUGCAAUUCUAUUUUCAUACAGACAACGAUGUAUUUGGAGAAGUUGCGGGGGUGUUUCUCGCUGAGAAAACACUCACCGGACGCUGGCUUCUGGAGCACCGGACGCUACGUCUGAGCGUCCGGUGUAGACAGUGCCUGGCCCAGCUAGGGUAAGGCACCGGACGAUAGGCACCGGACGCUGGCUUGAGCGUCCGGUGGUUAGCGUCCGGUGUGCGGGCGUUUUGCGACCCUCUUUGCGCAUGGGUUCUGUGAGCACCGGACGCUAAGGGUGCGUCCGGUGGCUUGCGUCCGGUGACCCUGCAAGUUUGCGAAGCUCUCUGCGCAUGAGUCCAGUGUGCACCGGACCGUCCGGUGCUCACUUGCUCAGCGUCCGGUGCACUGCAGGUGACCGUUAGAUUCUGACACGAGCGUGACACGCGGCUGACGUUGGAGCACCGGACGCUGGUGUUGAGCGUUCGGUGCCCCUUUAAGAGCGUCCGGUGACCCCGUAUUUCGCCCAGUGAAAGAGCCAACGGCUCUAUUUGUUUGAGGGGCUAUAUAUACGUGUUUGGCCGGCUUGGGGCUCACUCUCUUGGCAUUCUAGCAUACUUGACAUCCUUGUGAGCCUAAGCAAACACCUCCCACUCAUCUCCUUCAUAGAUUAAACAUCCUUGUGAGAUUGGGAGUGAUUCCAAGUGCAUUUGCUUGAGUGAUUGCAUCUAGUGGCACUUGGGGAUCGAUUUGGCUGCGGUUUUCUUGUUACUCUUGGUGGUUGCCGCCACCUAGACGGCUUGGAGCAGCGGAGGAGGAUUGGCACGAGUUGGUGAUUGUUCGUGGCCAUCUCCCGUGAUUGUGAGUGGUCUUGUACCUUCCCCGGCGGAGAGCCGAAAGGUAACUCUAGUGGAUUGCUCGUGUCAUUGAGUUACCUCACUUGUGGGUAGGUUCUUGUCGUGUCCUAGUGAGGACGAGGUUCGUGCUACACCUCUUAGCCACCGAACCACCAAGUGUUGGUCGACACAACGGGGAAAUAUUGAAGUAGAACAAAGUCAUAUUCAUAAUAUUGAAGAACAAAGAUAAUUAGAAAGCAAUUAGAAGCACAAUUAGAGAAUUACCAAGAAUCCUCUUGACAGAUCCGGAAACCAAUCAAAGAUUGACUCCUUCUAGUUCUAAUCCUAUGUAGCUAUGCUAAUCUAGAUAUCUAAUUGAUGUGGUGGCUCUAAUCUUGAUCAGAGGCUUCUUCUCCCUUGAUGGAACAAUGAAUUAGGGUUGAGAGGCUCUCUCCUCCAGGGGCCAGGGGGUCUGGUUUUAUAGUCCCUUCAAGUGAAUAUGGGCCCUUGGAUCAAACCGACAUAGAUUGUAUGGUUUAGAUUCAUCCUUUAGGUCGGUGGAGACUUCCCGCAAAGCAGAGUCCUGAUUGGACACAGGGGGUGGGCGGGCUCAAUGACCAACUGGGCGGCCGCCCAGGGUCUGGCCCCGUUUCGCCUCCGCUUCGGUCUCGUGGCUUCUGGAGUCUUCUAGAUGUAAGGUAAUUGCGAAGCACGUUAAUAUCUUUACGUAAUCCUGACAUGUGGGCCUUUCUUCCAUAUUUCCUGAUAACCCCCUGCAGAAAUAGACAAACACCAAAACUCGUGGAAUUCUGUCAGAUAAAACCCUAAGUCUAGAUCUUGAUUUUAUUUGGAUCCUUAUUUGAUAAUUAAAUUUGAUACUUAAGGACCGUCAACAAGCUCCCCCAAGCUUACCUCUUGCUUGUCCCUGAGCAAGGAUAGACUCAGCUAUGGACCAGAAGUAGUUGCAAUAUCUUUUAAAAAUUUGACGGUACACAUGCUUUUAAAUAAGAUCUCAUCUCUAAGUUAGAGUAAACUAUCAAGACUUAAAACUUACUUACUUUACCUCCACCAUGGGACUUGUAACCGUCACUUCUGUCUUGAGUGGUUAAAAGAUAGAAUAGUCUAGCCAAGUGCCAUGUCUCUUAUUCUUGAUCAGCUAUAGCUCUGGGGUUUUUGCAGAUUUUCAAAUAAAACUCAGACAUUCCUUGUAUGAUUCUCUCAGGUCUCUCUUUUAUGGUAUUUUUGGAUCCUUACCAAGGCAGUGAUGGUAUAUGCCUUCUCUCAAGAUAUGUGGUAUUUGUGGUAUGAGGCAUAGUGACAUUGCCUUUUCUCUCACCCUACUCUAAUAAGGCUUUAAUAUCUGGAGCUCAUAGGUGGGAGAUAAAGUAUACAUACUUACAAGACAUUUAUUGCAUAGUCAAACCAUGGAUCCAAAGUAACAAGUCAAUAAGUUUAAUCAAGAUGUGCAUGUGUGGCGAAUGAAUGGUGUAUGGUGAUGAUGGUGAUAACAAUGAUGAAAACAAUGGGGGUGGAAGUCUAAUUCUACUUUUGCUCUUUGAGGGGAUACAUACCUUCCUUGCUUUUGAAACUUUAUGAGGAGAAUGAGAUGCUCUUCUUUUUCUUUUCUCUCAGGUGGGUAUCUUGCACCCCUAAUUCUACUGUCGGACACUUGUCCAUUUUUACCUCUCGUCUCACUUUUUCUUUUCUUUCGAGGUUCCAAGCACUUGCUCCUUUUUAUUUCCUCGUAUUAUUUCUUUUUUUUAGAGCAUUCAUCUCUUGAGAUAAUAUAGCAAGUGGUAGUAACAAGAUAUCUUGAGCAUUUAUUUUACAAGGGGAAAACAAAAAUAUUUUUGGUUAUUCUCUCCCGGAUUAGGAGUAGAAUAUUUUUAGGUGGUUCUGGAGAUGGAAUGGGUAGAUAUAUGUGGAUGGUACUUCCGGAGUAGAAGUAGCAUAUAUGAGUGAACGUGCAAGUGAAAUCUUGAUUUAACCACAUGACAAGCUCCUAAGGGUCUACACAGCUUGACCACACUCAAUGCUCAUAAGCAGUAAAUAGUAAAUGUGUGGCUCAAAAUCUAGCAAGCAUGUAUAUAUGGCUGUGGUAGGAACUUAAGCUGUCAUCAUACAGGAACUCAUCAUGCAACAUUUUAAAGAUUUUCAAAGAUAAAAUUCUCCAGAAUUCUAGCAUCUCUAUGAACAGAUAAACAGCAGCUCAACCUUCCCAUAUCGUAUCCGUUAACAACUUAGACUUCAGAUCAAGUUUCAUCCGACAAGUUUAGGUCUAGGGCAAGCUUUAAAUUAUAGCAGUUAUAUCUAAACUUGAGAGAGAACUCAAAAUUUGCAAAUUAGGCAGAGCAACUAUUUAUCAUAUCCAUGCUUAAGUUUUAUUUAGAUACAGAUUAGCAUAGCCACUUUAUUUAUUUAUUAAACACACUAAGCAAAAGACAUAUAUAAGCAUAAAAUCAUUAUUUGGUUUUCCCAUAGUUUAUGUGUAUUUUAAUAUUCUAAAAUAAUAUAAGUAUAAAGAUAGAUAGAAAUACUUAUCGAGAUAAAUGGGGGUGCUCUCCCCCAAGCUGAAUUUUGACGUAAUUUCUCUUGAUGUAGCUAGCAGGCGGUAGAGGUGUAGUUGAAAGUCAGCAGCAUUCUGACAGCGAUUAGAAUGUCCUCCGUCUGCUAGUCUUCUUGAUUCUUAAAUUCUGUGGAGCUCAAAUAGACUACAAAGCUUGUGGAACUGAUUAAGUGUUAGCAUAAAUAUCUAGCCUUUAUUAUCUUGAGACUCCUUGAUAAAUAUUACUCCCUGUUUUUAUAUUUUUAUUUUAUAAAGCAGAAAAAUAUUUAUUUUUAUUUUUAUGCCUCCACAGUGAAUGUACUUAUGGGUUUUAUGCCACUCGUAUACUCACAUGGGGCUUACUGUUUUUCAUAUUUUUAUUUUCUUUUUAAGACAGCAUGAGCAUGAUUAACUAAAUAAACUAUUUGAAAUAACUGAAAGGGAAAGGGUAACUACCAAGUUUACCUCUUGGCAAGGUGUUCGGUGUUUUUAAGUCCUCCGAACGGGACUCUCCAUUUUCUCAAUCGUCCUGAGGUUCGUUGGGUGGCGUAGUCGGUACUUCCGGCAGUGCCUCCUCUUCUUGUAUAGUUAUCUUCAUUUUCCAUACCUGACUCGGUGCUUCAAUCUCCUCUGGUUAAUUCUGUUUAAACUCAACGUCUUCUGAUCUUACAACUUCUCCUUCAUAGUCUGCCCAUCCGUCCCUGAUGAUCUGCCUCCUCUGGUUGCGGUUGCGUCUCUUUCUGACCUGCUUAGAUUCUUCAACGAUAUAGUCAGGGUCAGUAAAAUAACGGCGUACCUUCUCUGAGGGGAAGUGCAUAUGGACUUCUCCGGUUCCAAUGUAGAUAAUCGCUUUAACGGUGCUGAGGAACGGUCUUCCAAGGACGAUGGGUGGAUCAUAUUCUUCUUCUCCCAUGUCAACAACUUGAAAGUCUGUGUAGACAAAGUGAUCGUCUAUUUUGACUGUGACAUCAGAUACUAUUCCUUUGACUUCUCGGAAUGUCUGAUCUGCCAUCUGGAGCUGAAUGUAUGUUGGUCUUAGUGGUAUGGUCCCGAACAAGAGCCGAUAGGUGACUGCGGCCAUUAUGUUGACGCCCGAUCCGGUGUCGCAAAUCGUCUUGUAGAAGUUGUAUCCAUUUAUGGAGCAGUAGAUGCUUGGCAUUCCUGGGUCGUCCUUCUUGGUCAAAAACGGUGACUUAAGUUGGUGAUCUUGACCUCCAUGAACUACAGUGACCAUCUUAGCUGACUCGGUCCACACUUGCUUGUUCCUGAUUCUCCUGUUGGUCCUCUUCCUUGAUUUACGUCUGGAUUGAUCUUGAAUUUGUGUAGUCUUGUUCUUGAAGAAAAACGUCUCCUUCUUCCCUUUGACGUAGAAACUGAUCUUGGCAGCACUAGCGUAGAUGAUAGCUCCCGUGGUGUUCAAAAAUGGCCUCCCUAGGAUGAUAGGUGCUCUCUCAUCAUUUCCGGUCUCUACCACUACGAAGUCUGCUGGGGCAUAUAUGGUACCAACUCGGACGCAAAGGUUCCAAACUAUUCCUUUUGGAAAAGUUAUCGUCUGAUCUGCAAACUGCAAACACAUGGUUGUCUCUAAUAAAGGAUAUGUAAAGAAUUUCUCAUAGAGUACCCUGGGUAUAAUGUUGACACUAGAGCCAAAGUCACAGAGUGCUUCUGGGAAGUCCACCAUGCCGAUGGAGAUCGGGAUGACGGGGCGUCCUGGAUCGCCUCUCUUGACCGGCAGACGGUCAGUAGAAAAUUCAGUGACGGGGUUACUCCAAUUACCUGCAUCAAACACGUCUACAAGAUUUGCAGAUUCUAAUCCUUCCGGUUGUGAUGGUAUACCAGGGUUAGUAGUAGGAACAGCAGCAGCUAUUUGAUUUAACUGAGAUUCAAUCAUUUUAUUAAAGCUAAUUUGAUUCUUGAUGGCAGUAGAAAAAUUAUCCAUCCUAUUAUUUAUAUUUUCUAACAUUUUAUCAUGAGAUGCCAAUUUCUUAGAUAGGUUAUCCAUUAGCUUUCCUUGAUUAGACACUAACUCUCUUAAAGGUGGAAAAUUAUUAUUAUUGUUGUAAGAAUUGUUACCUUGAUAAUUACCUGAGUAGUUAGGCCUCUGUUGAUUCCAACCUUGAUUUUGUUGAGGACGGUUGUAGUAGUAGUUGUUGUUGUUGUUGAUGUAGUUCACAUCCUCAAGUAUCUCAGGCCAGAGGUUGCAUGAGUGUCCAGUGUCUCCACACUCCUCACAAGUCAUGUGAGAGUCGUAGAUGUGCAUAACUUCUUUCUUGUCUCCAGCUCUAUCAUCGAGCUUCUUCAUGAGCAGGUCUAGCUUUGCAGACAGCAUAUCUACCUCUUUCAGCUGAUGCAUACCUCCACCUCUCUUGCGUGUCUGGGUCCUCUCUUCAUUCCAGCUUUGAUUGGACGCCAUCUUCUCCACAAGAGUUGUGGCUUGUGGUAUAGUAAGUGAUAAGAAUGCUCCUCCAGCAGCAGCAUCCAUGGUUUCUCGGGCAUUGUUGCUGAGUCCAUGAUAAAAUGUCUGCAUCAGUAGCCAACUCUCCAUUCCAUGAUGGGGACAUUCUAGGAUGUAGUCUUGAAAGCGCUCCCAUGCUUCUGGAACAGAUUCAUCAUUUUGUUGCUGAAAACUUGUAAUCUUCCCACGGAGAGAAUUGGUCUUGCCCAUGGGAAAGAACUUAGCCAGGAAGUUUGUUGAGCAGAGUGCCCACGUAGUAUUCUUCUCCUUUGUAGCGUAGAACCACUGCUUCGCUCUUCCUAACAGUGAGAAUGGGAAGAGGCGAAGUAGUAUAGCAUCUUUGGAAACUCCUGCUAUGGUGAAUGUGUUGCAAAUCUCCAGGAAGUGUUGUAAAUGAGCACUAGCAUCUUCGUGUGCCUUCCCACAGAACUGGUUGGAUUGCACCAUGUUGAUAAGUCCAGGCUUGAGCUCAAAGUUGCCAUCGAUCUCUGCAGCAGGUCCAGUGCGGAUGUUGUCCGUAGUGGGAGCUGAGAACUCGCGGAUUGAUUUGUUCGCCAUGGCUUCGAACUCUGAAGACAAGUUCCGGUGAUCUUCUUGAUUGGAUGAAGCUUCUUCGUGAAGUGUUGAUGAUUUCUUUAGCUUGGCUCUCGUCUUCUUGAAUAAUGCUUCAGGAUCGUCAACAAAAUUCCCUGGAAGAUGUCUUCUAUUCAUACAUUCCCCUGCAUAAGAUAAAAUAGAAAAAUAUCGGGGUAAAACUGUAUGAGAGAAUAGAUAAGCUCAAUCAUAUUAGUGAUGCGAAUGAUAACUCAAAAUCUUUUAUUCCAUUCCUGAUUGGUAAUCAACCUUCCCCGGCAACGGCGCCAAAAAUGCUUGUUGGGUAUUCUUAACAUCAUUACUAAAAGUAGACUAAGUUCUAAAUCUAGCAACGGUGCCAAAAAUGCCAACCUAUCCCUCACACCACUUAAGCCAAGUUGUCAUCCCCAGCAUGACAAUUGAGACGCGGUAUUGAAAUAUGCAAUUGCUAUUCUAAAUAAAUAAUGAAUGGGAUCUGCAAGCGCACAGAUUAAUACCGAUGUAGCAUUUUAAUCGGGAAGUAUUCCAGGUAUCGUUAUUUAUAUUUUUACCACUGGGAAGGGAUUAGAAAUCAUCACUAAUGAUUACAGAAUAGAAUAUGAGAUUGAGCAUCUAUCAUUGCAUGUAUAAUUGAGAACAUUAUAUCUAACUCAUCAUACAGGGAUAAGUGUCGCAUAAAAGAUAUAUGAAAUAAUAAUAGUGACAAGGAUAACUAAUCUGAUCUAGCCACAUAAUAAAUAUGAUAAGCACCUCAAUUAGAUACUCUAGAGAGUCAUUAGCAUGGUAUUAGAACGAACUACAAGAAUAUUCCCUAAGUUAUUCUCAACUAUAUAGUCUAGCAUUAUCAUAGUUAGUGCAAGCAUACUUAGCAAUCAUUGUGAGACAAGACUACGCCCAUGCAUAGUGAUAUUAGCAAGGAAUAUGAGAAACAUAGCAAUCACUCCCCUGUAAUAAUGUUGCUCUGCCAGCCCAAUACACGAGAGGGGGACUAUAUAAGAAUCAAUGAAGCUGUCACUAUCACGAACUACCCCACGAUCUGGCAUAUUGGGUACAAUCGCAGAUAAAUACGGUAUAAGCACCACGCCUACACAAUAUCUAUCAUUUACCCAUGGAUCCGAUGGAUAAACGCUAUACGAUCCUAAGCAUGUAUAUAGAUCAAAUCUAACUAAGCCAAGUACAUAACUAUGAUAAACUAAGAACAAUAUAAUCUUGAAUAUAAGCAAGUAGAGCAAAGUCAUAAGCAAUAUAUUGAGUAGAACAAAGUCAUAUUCAUAAUAUUGAAGAACAAAGAUAAUUAGAAAGCAAUUAGAAGCACAAUUAGAGAAUUACCAAGAAUCCUCUUGACAGAUCCAGAAACCAAUCGAAGAUUGACUCCUUCUAGUUCUAAUCCUAUGUAGCUAUGCUAAUCUAGAUAUCUAAUUGAUGUGGUGGCUCUGAUCUUGAUCAGAGGCUUCUUCUCCCUUGAUGGAACAAUGAAUUAGGGUUGAGAGGCUCUCUCCUCCAGGGGCCAGGGGGUCUGGUUUUAUAGUCCCUUCAAGUGAAUAUGGGCCCUUGGAUCAAACCGACAUAGAUUGUAUGGUUUAGAUUCAUCCUUUAGGUUGGUGGAGACUUCCCGCAAAGCAGAGUCCUGAUUGGACACAGGGGGUGGGCGGGCGCCCUGACCAACUGGGCGGCCGCCCAGGGUCUGGCCCCGUUUCGCCUCUGCUUCGGUCUCGUGGCUUCUGGAGUCUUCUAGAUGUAAGAUAAUUGCGCAGCACGUUAAUAUCUUUACGUAAUCCUGACAUGUGGGCCUGUCUUCCAUAUUUCCUGAUAACCCCCUGCAGAAAUAGACAAACACCAAAACUCGUGGAAUUCUAUCAGAUAAAACCCUAAGUCUAGAUCUUGAUUUUAUUUGGAUCCUUUUCUUUAUUUAUUUGAUAAUUAAAUUUGAUACUUAAGGACCGUCAACACAUGCAUGGAAAGUUGUAAUCCAACCAUUUUGAGAAAGGACUGCUUUUCAAAUCUUGUGAAUGACCCUGGAGUCACUAUAAUGAGCAACCCUUAGAAGCUUGUGACAUACUGCAAAGUUCAUAUGGCUUGCAAAAGUUUCACUAAAGAAGCUAAUGGUACAAGUAGCUCCUUAUGCUCUAAACCACUGUUUAUACACCAGGAACAAAGUACAUGGAACAGUUUGUCUUGGAUUCCUCCCAAAGUAACAAUGCUUCACUGAAGUCAAACAAAAGAGGAGAUUCUCUAGAUAAAGGUUUACUAUGGAGAGCAAGUAUCAUAAAAUGUUUGGACCAAGUUUGCUUCUCUGAUGUUCCAAGCAAAGUAGCCCACUGCUAUCGCUAAUGUUGGAAAAUGUGUGACAUUGUUCUCUUCCCUUGAAAGUCUUUUGCACCGAAUCUCGGGACGAGACUCUUUUAAGGGGGGGAAGGCUGUAACACCCUAGGUGUUUGUCACUUGCUAAGUACUAGGUUUGAGCUCAAACAUGAAAAGUUCAGUGGUACUAAAGAGGUCAAAGUCAAUCUAUGAAAGUAAGCCCUAACUUGGAUUUGGAUGAUGCACCUUUACUUAUAUAUAGGCCCUUUUUCAAAGGUAUGCUUGGAUGAUGCUAAUGGAACCUUUUUCAUGUGUCUUAUAUCCAUCUCAAUCUAUGUUGGUCUCUGGAAAAGUUUGGUGAAGUUUGGAAUCAAGAAGUCACAUGAAAUGAUAAGUUAUAUCCUUGCCGGAAUGGCUCUAUUAAGGAAAUAGAAUCAUGGGUCAUCAAACAACCCUUGAAAACAUGUUCAUAUGACUCUAGAUGAAUUAUACAAUAAAAGUCAUGAAGGGUUCUUGUUGAGCUUAGGCCAAGGAAAUGCUUCAAUUGGCCUAAAACCCUGUUUGGAGCUUUAUCGGGUUACUACUUUGACGAAAGUGAAAGAUUGACUUCUGUUGCAGUUAUGAGGUUUGACCCUAAAUAAACGUUGUAGUUUUCCUUCUGUAGAAGAAACUUUAUUCAAGGGUCAAAAACCAACUCAGCUUGCAAAUAGUUCAAACAGAGGCCCAAAGUUCGAAUCAGCUGCUGCUUUUAAGCCCUGAGAAAUAAUUCUAAGUCCCGGAAAGUGACAGCAGCAAGUUAGCUUCUUUGUGACAUUUUAGCAUCCAAAUUCAUAUAGUAACUCAGUUAGAUUACUUAAUAUGAGUUGGAGUACUCUUCUUGAUGAAAGCAAUUGAUCAAGUAUCAUCAAAUUUGGAGUUCAUUUGGAUAUCUAAAAGUAGCUCCCAAAACAGCAAAUGAUUAUUUUAUCGCCAAACAGACGUCGACCCGUUGGCAUGCCGUGUUCUCAUGUUUUUGUUAAGCAACUAAUGUUGGUCCAAGAAUAAAAGUGGUGGACAAUUACUUGGAGAAGGUCAUGUAAAAAGUUGCAUCAAGUUUGACAUGGUUUCAAUCAUCAAUUCUUGGUUUUGCUAAUCACCAUCAAUACGUUGACACUUGUGAAUUGGCAUCUAAUUAUCUCGUAAUAUGUUGGCGUAAUGACUGAGCACCCUUAAUUAAAGUUGGAGAGCAGGCCGAGGUGAGCAAACUUCGUUUUUGGCCCAUCUUCAAAUUCGGCCCGGAAGAAGCCCAAAAUCGCCUCCCAUCUGAGCCACACCGUCGCGUGCCACGUGCUCGACGAAUUGCCUACGCGGCGUCCAUGCGCGAGAGCACUCCCACCAUGGCUGACACGCGCUCCUGCUCGUCUAAAGUGGACAGCAAGCCACGCCAGACGCUCCUCACACACACCAGCACGCUCUGCACUGCCCUCCCAUCCUCCACUCGCCUUCUUCUCUCUCCAGCUCUCUCCCAUCUGUCGCCGUCGCCGGUGCUGCUCCUCUGGUGCGCUGCUGCUGCCUCAGCCGGCCAGGAGAUUGGCAUGACUAUGGUUGGCCGCGGCAAGGAGCGGGCAGGCCUCCCACGACCGUAGCUGGUGACCAUUCGGCCGUGAGCCUUCUCUGUCCGUAAAGAAGAAGAGAAGGGACCUCGUGUUAGAAUAUAAAACAACUCAGGGUUCCAGAUUCGAAGCCAGAACUCAUAUGAAUAGUGUUACUGGGCUGUGGCGUGAUUCUUGGAAAACUUAGGGUUCCUUGUGCAAAGUCGUUUUCUUUUAUCUUUUGUUUUUGCAGAUUUCGUGUAUCAACUUUGGAAAUGCAUAGUAAAUUGUAGACAAAUAGUAAAAUAGCAAAUGUGGACUUUUUGGAAUCCUUAUGAAAUUAUCUAUGCUGUAGAUCUAUAAUAUUGUAUGCUUUGGUUUGAAGUUUUAGUCGUAAAAAUAGAUUUAUGCAGUUAGGUUUUAAUUGCUUGUUAUAUUUGUCUUUUUCAUAACUGCUGUAUUAUUGCCCAAAUAAAUGUGAAAAUAUUGUAACAUACUUUUCAUAUGAGAGUUGAUGUCUGGUAAAAGUUGCAUGAAUUUAGGAGUGAUAUAUUAAGAGUUCUAAAAAUAACAAAUGCCCUGUGUUGCUUUGCUCUUGUUCUGAGUGGAUCUGCAUGUUUGCACUGUUUGGCACAGUUAAGUUGUGAAUCAUGCCAGGGUGAAAAUAUAUGAGUUGUAGUAAUUUUCAUGAGCUUUCCAGAAAGGUAAAUCGAACAAUUUUUGGUUAAGCACAUGUUUAGUUAUAGUGGUUUGAAUUACUGUUACAGUUUCUGUCUAAACCAAGACAGAAUUGCAUUGUUUGUAAUGUAAGACCUUGUUAGUUGUAGACUUAGCUCUAGAUGUUUAUAACAAAGUUGUUCACAAUUUCGUAAGCUUUCUAGAAAGUACACAACCAUAAAUUAUAGACAUGUGAAACUUAAGUUAUAACUGUGUAAUGUGGCAUGACAGAUUCUGUCCAUGUUUUGGCCAGAGAUGUCUUUAUGUGGUUAAUUGACCUUGUUAACUGUGGAUUCAUAUUUAUAUGAUAAUAAGAAAGUUGUAGAAAACUUUAUGAGCUUUCCAAAAAGAUAAGAAUCAUGUUUGCUGGAGUUCUACAACUCCAGUUAUGCUUCCUUGAAUUGCCUAUCAGUUUUCUGUUUGUAAUUGUACUUCUACUGUUUGGCCGCAUGAGCAGUUUUAUUUAUGCAAUUAAUUCCAUGAUAUAAAUGAUGUUUGCUGUGAAACAUAUAUAUAUAUAAAAGAUGUAGAUAACUUAUUAAUAUAUCUUGUGGUAAAGUUUCAUAUCAUUUGGCUAAGUGUUUUGUGAGUUACAGUAGUAUGAAUUUCAUUCUUUAAAAUGCUUGUUCUCUGGAAAUUCCUGAACCAGAUUAUAUGGUCAUGCAUGUUUGACUUGGUUAACUUGUUAAACAUGCUAAUAUGAUUAAAUAUGAAUUGUAGAUAAUUCUAUAAUCUUUUCAGAAUGUCCUAUUUCAUAGUUUUUGGAGAUGUGGAACUCCAGUUAUGAUUUAUUUACUGAGAUGUUGCAUGUAUGUCCAGAAUUGCUGAAAUACACGAAUGCUUAAUUGCUUUACUUGGUGUGUGCUAACUAUGAUACAUGUCUUUAGCUGUGAAUAAGUACUACACUUGUAACCUUGUUAAACUUGUGUCAUGAUUGAUAUGUUUGCUCUCUAUAGUUAGUUGUGUGAUGUUAGCUAAAUAAUUUAGAUGCCUGUGUCCAGCAUUAAGUAUAGGAGUUGGGUGAAACCCUUGCUGCAUAUAACACUCCUUGUCCACCAAAUAUACCUAUAACCCUAUGUAGAUUCGGGAUCGAAUCUAAAUGCUUAGUCAUGCUUAGACCGGUAGAAGCCAGGUGAUGUCCCAUCACCUGAGCGAGAUAGGUGGAUACCUGAAAAGGUUGGCUAUAUAUGCUAUCAUGGAAAUAACCAAGUGAUGAGGAUGAAUAAUUGGAGACCGGGCGGGACGACGAUAGAGAAGUAACAAGACAUGGAGGUCUUGGGUGCCUAUCUAUCCCCGCCGGUGUCGAUUAAGGACCGAUCGUUGACGGCCCUCUUGUCAUGUUGAACGCAUGCCCCACACUUAGCUAGAAGGAUAAGUCGUUCCGACCGCGAAGCCUGAACACUAUCCGGGCCGGGAGUCGAGCCGCCAUGAGCUGUAUUGGUGAUGGUUGAGGAGAACGACGAGGGCGCGGCGCGCAACCUUGGUAUACCUUGGAUACCUUGGUCGCCGGAACGGUCCUCGGGUACUGGCGGUGCCUGCCGAACCCGCGAAUUGGUCCUGGAUAGUGCAAUAUGGUGACCUGUAGCUCACUUUGGCCAGUGAGUGUGGUUUGUGUGGGGAAUAACUCGCCAGCUGGUUAGAAAUCGAUUCGAAUCGCCAUCGCUCCUGGAUAGUGAGCACUUGACUUGAGCUUCGUCAUCGUAGUAAUGUUUAUGGAACACUUGGAAGGUUAUGGUAUAAUGAUGAUGUUGGAAAUGCCACAUCAAAUAUGGGUACUAUGGUUGUAUCUUAAUCAAGUGAUUGCUUUAGUACAGGUGCUAAUCUAGAUGACAGGUUAAUGAUUAUUAACUUGAGCUAAAUACCUGAAAGGUUACUUAGUUGCAACUUAAGCUUUUUAUGCAAAGAGUAUUGUCAAGCUAGCUCCACCAAUAAAGUCUUGCAUACUCCUUGGUGUUAUCUUAUUUCUAGUUUAUGACGGGUAAGUCUAGCUAAGUACCUUCUUGUACUCAGGGUUUAUUCCCACUAGUUGCAGGUUGUGAUGUAUCAUGGCUACUGCAAGAGUUGGAUGACUCCUACCAUACUAGAGGAGUAAGAUUAUGGGCAUGAUCCUUCUUAGUUACCUCAUCUAUGUUGCUUUUGUUGGAGUUGACCUGGAUACUGGCAUGUAUUUGAAAUGAGGGCAAUAUUAGUUUUAAAUUACUUUGCUUCCGCAACUUUUCAACUCAAGUUGUAAUAACUAUAUUGAACUCUAGAGUUUGUCAAACAACUUGUGAAAUGGAUGUAACAUAUGACUUGUUAUGUUGAAUCACUACGAGCUUGGCUUGUAUGAUGGUUGGUUUGAAAUCCCUCGUGAUUUCACGGACUACCGGGUUUAUGAGAGUUCGAUCAUGUUAAAGCAACUGCUUUGGCGGGAGUUUUUCAUAGUUGAUCUCUUGUAAAUUGGGUGGUUCUGUUACAGCGCCACCGCCGGGGUCACUGUAGCCGGCCGGAGCUCUCUCUCUCUCUCCCUUCCCGAUCUAAUCUGCGCCAUCCGUUUCUAAUCCGAUGGCCCAUAGAGGCCGAUACCCCUUCGGCAUGGCUGUUUUGCUAAAGAAACCCCAACCUUUUUCAUUAUGUAACCCGCAGUCCUUUGCGUAAAGCCUAGAAUACGUCUUCUCGAUUCUGAAAAUGUAAAACGACCCGGUUGAGUUUAAAAUACGCUUUUCAGUAUUUACAGUUUUGCCACCAGAUUUAAAUUGCUUAUAACAUGCUCAUUUUAAUUCUGAUUUGGUCCAUUCAAAUUUCGUUAGGUUCGUAUUUAUGAGCUCUACAUGUUAAAAAUAUUACCUCACUGUUUUGAAACUUGUUAUUUUCGUGUUAUUAUUUAAUUAAUUAUUUUUCUAUAUGAAAUCUUAGAAAAUUCAUAACUUCUCCGUUUAAAUUCCGAUUUUCGUGAUCUUUACGUUUGUGUGAUCGUAGCGCUGCGUAGAAUAUUUUCCUAAACUUUUAUAUUUGUUUUACCACUGUUUCGUGUAUUGUUCUAAUUACAGCUUGUUUGCUUCGUGUAUGAUUGUAUAUAUUGGAUUGUGUGUUGUUGAUUGAUGAUCGGAUAUAGACUGUGAGCGAUACGUUGGUGAUCAUGGUCAAGAUUUUGAAGAUCAGCAGCAGGCUCAGGAGAUCUUUGAUCAAGGCAAGUAUAACCUAGGAUUAUCCUUGUUACCUAUACACAAUUAAUAUAACCUUUAUCAUAUGCAUGUGUCCACUUUGAUGACCCUAGUAAAAUCAUAGAUGAUUGUUAUCCUGAAUUCCUUGUUACCUAUUUGGAUAUGCAUUUGGGUAGUUCUUGCUAGUGCUUGAUUAUUAAUCCGUGAUCUUGUAACAUGAAUAAUUGAAUAUACAAUAAACAAUAAAAUAAGCUUUCUAGCAACUUGUAUAUAAAGGGUGGAAAGAACUCUGGCUUUUGCUAGAUUGAUCUUGACCCUCCAUAAGGACUUAUCCCUUGGCAAAAGCUGGGACAACUCGUACAACCAUGAGGGCUAUAUGGCUCUGGCUUUAGUCAAGUAUGAGUAAGCUUUUCUAGCUUGUUAGAGGUUACCCGAAAGGGCGGAGGGGCUGAACCGUUUUGGGUAUAGUGCGAGCCCCUGUCCUUAUGUGUAUAGGCUACGCGUCAUUGUGCCAUUUGGAAGGGGGUAUCUAUAUCUGCGCGCAAAGGAAACCUUGCGGCUCUAACUUGUAAGACGAACCUUUGAAAGACUUCAUAGUGAACCCUGCCAGCUUUCCUUGGAAGUGAGCUAAGAGGUCGACGGGCCUCGGGCGAAAGGGUAAAUAAUGACUCAUGGGUAAAGAUGUACAACCUCUGCAGAGUGUUAAAUCUGGUAUACUAGCCGUGCCCACGGAUAUGGGCGGCCAGGAAAACUAAUGGAAUAGAUGGACACUGUUGAACAUGAUUAAUGAUGAUAAAUGAUGGUUUAUUAUGUUGUUUCUAUGUGUUAUUCUUAAUUCUUGUAUAUAUUGAUCAUGCGGUUAUGGGAUUUAAUUAUGCUACCUUGACAAUUGCUAUCUAAAUAUAAAUAUGCUAUCUACAUAUAAAAGCUAAAUGCAGUCAAACCAGUGUCAGCUAUUUGAGCCUCAUGAACCCCUGGUUAUACUUGUUGAGUACGAUAUGUGCUCACUCUUGCAAUUUCCCCCACACCUCAGGAGAAGUUUUGGGCUUGUGAUCAACCAGUCAGUUGGAUCCUGUGGAGAGAAGUCAAUACCCGAAGUUUUGAGUUGUCUAUCCGCUGUUUGAUGCUAAAGGUUAUUUAUUUUAUAUUAUGUACGUUAUAUAUUUAUGUAUUGUCUUUUGAUAUUACGCCGUAUUUGUAGCUAUAUGUGAGAUUUGACUUCUGAAACUCACAUAUGGUGCAUAUCUGGUUUUGUCCUUAAAAUCGGGUAUUACAAUAUUGCUGUUAGUUUGCCUUGAUUAUGUGCUUAGUGUUGUUAGAUUAGAAUUAUGUUUAUGAAUAGGAUCGUAUAGUGCUUACUCAUUAGAUCGAUGGUAAGUGGUAAAUAUUGUGUGGGUGUGGUGCCUAGACUGUAGUUAUCUGUGAUUAACCCUUAUAGUCCAGAGCUUGAGGUAGAUCGUGGGAGUGAUAGUCCUAUUGAGUCCUUUGUAUUUCUUCUCCCAAUUAUAACGAUUGUAGAGCACCAUUAUUAUAGGGAACUGAUUGCUAUGUUCAUGACCUUUCUUUCUAAUAUCAAUAUGCAUAGAUAUAACCUUUUCUAGUGAUGAUGCUCGGUGUACUUGGAGUAGUCAAAGUAUGCUUUGACACUAUAGUUAGAUCACAUAGGAUUUAUUCAUGUAGAUUGUCUUAAUACCAUACUUGUGCUAUAGACUUAGGGUAAUCUAAUUGAGAUGAUGAUCAUGUUUAUCUUAUGGAUAAGAAUUCUUAUUUAUCUGUCCCUUAUUAUUCAUAUUUGUAACAGAACCUUCCAAAUUAUAAGAGAUUAAGCGUGACAGCGACCACCUGCGUAGUCAAACUAUCAGGCUUAGGCCCAUAUAAUCCCAGUAGUCCAUGAAAUCUCGAGGGAUUUCAAACCACACUUCGCACAUACAACCAAGAUUGUAACAAGUUCAGCAAUCGCCAUUCACAAGUACCUCCAGAUCACAACAUUCAGAAAUUACAUCAGAGUUCAAAUAUAGUUAUUACAAACCAAGUUCAACAGUAGUAGCGGAAGCAUUUCAGUUUCGAAAGUACACACACAUUUAGUCUGUUGCAGUGCUAGAGUCUCAUCAUUCCUAUAAAAGCAAAAGAGGAGGUAGAGUGACCAUUGCCCUUGGUCUAGUCAUCACCCAUUGUUGUGUACAAGUAGUUGAUGCAAUAAUCACAAUACAUCAGACCAUCUGCAAAACAACAUGGGAAUGGAACCCUGAGUACGAGAAUGUACUCAGCUAGACUUACCCAUCAUAAACCAAAAAAAAGACUCUUCAAGGAUCAUGAAGGCUAUAUAGGGGGAUAGCUGGACCCUUUUCACGUAAAUGCUUUAGCCAUCUAGGAAUAUAUCCUAAAACCCCUUUGCUUUUAUUUAGCUCAAGUUAGGUAUUAUUACCUAGCAUCUAGGUUAGCACCUGUACUAUUGCAAACAGUUGUUUCACUAUGAUAGUACCAUAUCAUAGCAUUCACCAAUCAUCAUUUACCAUAACCAAAGUGUUUCGUAGUCCUUACUACAAGGACGAAGCUCCAGUCAAGAGCUCACUAUCCAGGAGCGAUGGCGAUUCGAAUCAAUUUCUGACUAGUUGGCAAGUUGUUCCCCACGCAAACCAUGGUCACUGAUCAAGUGAGCUACAGGUCACCGUAUUACACUAUCCAGGACCAAUUCAUGGGUUUGACAGGCACCGCCCGUACCCGAGGGCCAUUCCGGCGACCGAGGUAUUCAAGGUAUACCAAGGUUGUGCACCGCGGCCUCGUCAUUCUCCUCAACCAGCACCAAUACAGCGCGUACAUCGGCCGGAUUCCUGGCCUGGAUAGUAUUCAGGCUUCGCGGUCGGAAUGACUUAUCCUUCUAGAUAAGUGUGGGGCAUGCGUUCAACAUGACAAUAGGGCCGUCAACGAUCGGUCCUUAAUUCGACACAGGCAGGGGCACUAUGGUCAACACCACCAUAAGACCCUACCUGAUCUCAAUUUUAUUUCCACACUUGGUUAAUUCUCACCAUAGCAUUAAAUAGCUAGACUUUUAGGUAUCCACCUAUAUCUCAUAGGUGACAGGAUAUCACCCGACUUCUACCACUCUUAGCUAGCUAAGCAUAGACUCCGGGCCUACACUACUUAGGACAAGGCAGGUAGACAGAUGGUAAACCAACGAUGAACUAUGCAUCAACGGUAUCAAACAACUCCUAUAAUGUAAUGCGACAAAACAAACCAUCAUGAUAUAACAAAGUAAGUUAGCGGGAAAUAGGAAGACUUAUUAGAAUGCUCCGGGGCUGCCUCUAUCGAAGGUGCUAGGCCUGUGGUCGGGGCACUCCUGCAGCUCUCCUUCUGGCUCUGGUUCUUCCAGAAGUCCCUGCAUCGGGGUCUCCUCCUGCUCCUCGGGUUCUACCUCAUUGUCCUACGAGCCUGUAUGAUGCAUAUGUACAUAUAAGUGGAAGUGCAGUAUGCCCAAGGUGUAGUGCUAUGCAAGUUAAGGCAGGAUGAUCAUGACAUGGAGAAGAGAUCCGACAGAUGAAAUGAGAAACUAUUACUACUAGAUAGUUAACAUCAUCCAAGAACAUGUAGCCAAAAUAAAACAUCUAUUGCAUUCUCCUCUACAAGCUACUACUACACCAGCAAGCUAGUAUAGUGCUUCAAAGAUACACCAAACAUAUUUCAUUUCAUGUAUAAUAAGGGUUUAUUUAUUUAUUUAUUAUUAAGCUUACAACAGUACCAUAUACUUUGGUGCUUCAAUAAAUUCUACAAAAAUUACAGACGGCUACAAGUCAUCUAUACAGUCUACUACCAAAUUUUCACAUCAUUUGGGCACAUGGCAUGGCCCACACAAAAAUCACAAGUUUAUUAAUAUAAUUAAGGGAAAAUACCCUUCUAGUGUCAUAGUAUCAAAUAAUAGAUUUCAUAUUUUUAUAAAUUACUUAUUAACAUAAGAAAUGCUCACGAAAAUUUCUAGAUUAAUUGCAUGAUCCAACUAUUUAUCAAAAAUCAUAAACCAUUGCCAUGCAAGCAUUUAAAUGAUCAUAAAUUAAAAUUGUGCUACACAUUUUUCUCAGCAACUAUACCUCCAUGCAAACCUAGUAGAACAAGAAUCACAUUUUACUGAGUUAUAUUUUAUUUACUGUGCAUUUUCUAAGAAUAGCAAUAACAUAAAUUAAAUAUAUUUGCACAGGAAAUGUAAUCAAACUUGACAUGCAAGGGUACUAAGCUGUAGAUCUCAAUUUAUAGGACAUGCCAAAAUUUAUUUCAUCAUUUUUGGAGCUACAUAACUCAAGUUAUGAAUUAAACAAGUUUUAAUCAAUUUUCUUGAAAACAUUUUUCUGAAAAUCGAAUUCAAACCCGCUGAGUCUGGCUAGGUGCACCCGGUGCAGUGCACCCGCCCUCAUCGCGAGCAACAGACAGGUGGGCCACGGAUCCCACCCGUCAGCCACCGCAGUAGGGCGGAGAACUCCGAUGAGCCAGAGCUCACCGUCGUCAACCCCUUUCGUCGAACCGUGCACUCCUAGACGUUCUACUACCCAAGGCGAACACGAUGAGCCUCUUUGCGUGACUGGGGAUGGACCAGAGCGAGGUCGCCACCAGCCAUGGCAGAGCGGUGGCGCUGCUCACUGUGGAACUCGCCCUUCCGGUCCGGUAGAGUGCGAUUGGAGGUGAGCACGAGCUGCGCGAGGCCAAGGCCAACACAAAGCGUCAGAAAGGAAAGUGGGAGGGGCACGGGAGUGUGCUGGCCACGUAUGCCAUGGCGGCGCUCAAGCCAGAGAGGGAGGAGAGGGUGGAGAGCUCCUCACCGUGCACUACGAAGGCCAAGAAGGCGUGUUUGGAGACAGGGCUGAUGAGGUGGAGCAAUGGCCGAAAGGAUUCGGAGCUAGGAGCGACGGAGAAGGGAGAACGCUGCGGGUGGUGCUCGGUGGCACCAAUGGCAACGGCGGCAAUGGCAAGUAACGAGCGGAGGCAAGAGAGGGGAGAUGAGGCAAGAGCGGGCGCUAAUGAGAGAGGGGAGCGGGACGAACGUUGACAUCCCCUUUUUGGCCUCGGUCGGCCGACGGAGUGGCCGCCGUGGCAGCCGCAUGUUGGCCACCACGGCUAGCGCCGGCACGCAGGCGCAGGAGGAGGGGGAAGGCGCGCGGCCGGGGCUGGGUUGGCUUCGCUGGCGGGGCCGGUUGGUUGGCAGCGACCCGCUAGUGAACAGCACCACUUCCCCUUUUUUUAAAUCUUUUUUAAAUAUGUCUCCUCCACACUAGUUUUUUGUUAUCCUUCAUUCAUAACAUGGUGGAGACAAAACUGAGAGACAAGAUAUAUAUAUAUAUAGUAAUAUUUAUUCAUCUUCACGCAGGGCUUAUUAUUACAAAAGCAAACUUUGGAAAAUAAACACACUGAGUAAUCAAACUAAACACUCGCCCUAUUGGAUGCUAAUGUAAAUAGGCCCUACUUCUUAGGGUUCUCUAAUGCCUCCACACUCUCCUUAAGAUCGGUGGAAUCAUGCUCUACCCUCACCAUUCUAGUGUCACCAUAAGUGAUGGCUCUACUUUGAACAUGUUGACAGGCUUCAAGAGAGGUUAUAAUGGUGCGUUGCUCAACUAGUUCCUCCUCUAAGUAGACUUUGGAGCUUCAUUUGGGGGGAUGAACUUGACCUUUGAUGUAUGAGCGUGAACCCAUCAAAGUAGGUAUGUUCACCAGUGGUGUAUUUGGCGCAGACGACCUCCCCCUUCUUGUUGAUCUUAACUCCCAACAGCAUCUCAUUGCACCUUGGUGGUAGGAGGUUGGGCCCUGCCAGCAGAGCGACGAUAGGGCCCUUCAAAGAAGCUCCUUCUAAGAGGAGAAGCUUGGUGUUAAUGGGCUGAGCAAAAUAUGAUUGUCCAUAGUAGCGUGGUUGCGGUGGUAUGAUAGCUAGCGAGACAGGCUCCUCUAUGGGAAUGAUGGCCUUGCUCUCAGGCUCCUCCCUCGGGAUAGUGUUGAGAACAAUCCCAAAGGGGAUCAUUGUCCUCUGUAAAUUGUUCUUAGCCAUUGCUGAGUAAAAUGCUUCGCUUGCUCUUAUUGAAUGAGAAGAGCUAUUAUUGAAUGAGAUGAGACUAGGAGCAUGGUUGCUUAUAUAGGCGUCUAGAAAAGUAUUUUUGGAAGUAAAAUGAUGAAGGAUGGGAAGAAAAUCAAAAGAUUAACUUUUUAUAAAAAAAGGAAGGUCUCAAAAUGUAAAUGGAGAAAGGCGGCGACGAAUGGCCACGUGGCAGGGGCGGGCGCAUCUAGGGUUUCGGGCGGCCGCCCACCCUUCGAGCCCGCUCUAGCUCAACUUUUUCAUGUACUUUAAUAAUUAUAUUCUUGUUUGGAAAAAGUUGAUUUUAUCCAAUAAUUAAAAAAAUAAUAAGGUCAGGCCUAAAUAUUUUAAUUAACAAAGAAAGUAAUUAUGUCUACUUCCUCUAAUUCAAUGUUUGGCUCUAAAAAUAAUUUAAGGCAUUGACCAUUUACCUUGAAUAACGUACCUUCAUUGAUGCGAAGUGUGACAGCUCCAUGUAAUGACGAGCUCACCACCUCGAACGGUCCUUCAUAUUUGCUUCAAAGUUUUAAAUGUCCACAGAGCUUCACCCUGGAAUUAAAAAGUAAUACAUUAUCGCUAGGGGUGAAAUCCUUCUUUUUUAUCCUUUUGUCAUGCCAUGUUUUUACUCUAUCUUUAUAAAUCUUGGCAUUGUGAUAUGCUUUUUCUCUCCACUCUUCUAGCUCAGAGAUUUGCAUCUUCCUCUUGUCUCCAGCUGCUUCCAAGUCCAUGUUCCAUCUUUUGAUAGUCCAGUAAGCUUGGAAUACUAAAUCUACUCGUAAGUGAAAAGUUUUUCUAUGGACAAGUUGAUAGGGUGACAUCCCGAUGGGAGUCUUGUAUGCUGUUAGGUAUGCCCAGAGUGUAUCAUGGAGCUUGACCUUCCAAGCUGUCCCCAUCUCAUUUACUAUUUUCUGUAAAAUAUUCUUGAUUUGCUUGUUUCAUGUCUUGGCCUGACCACUUGUCUGAGGUUGGUAAGGAGUUAGCGAUGUUGUGAUGUAUUCCAUUCUUCGACAAGUACUGCUCAAAGAGCUUGUCGAUGAAGUUAGAACCUCCAUCACUUAUCACUAUCCUUGGAACUCCAGAUCAUGGAAAUCUUAUUUCUUCAAACAUCUUCUUUGAAUGCAUAUUGUCGGCAUUCCUGCAUGGCAUGGCUUCAACCCAUUUGGAGACAUAAUCCACUACAACAAAGAUGUACUCAUACUUCUUUAAAAAUGGAAAUGACCCCAUGUAAUCAAUUCCCUAUACAUCAAAGAGCUCUAUAUGGAGAUUGCUCAAAAGUGUCAUGACAUCCCUUGAAUUGGUAUUACCCUGCCUUUGACACAGGCCACAUCUCCAACUGAAUUCUUUUGUGUCUUCAUACAUUGUUGGCUAGAAAAAUCCACACUACCAUAUCUUGGCGUGUGUUCGAAAUGCCCCAUAAUGACCUCCAUAUGGUGAUGAAUGACAUCUUUCAAUGAUUUGUAUUCCUUUUUCAGCUGGCACACAUCUUCUGAGUAAGCCAUCAGAGCAUACUCGGAAGAAGUAUGGUUCAUCCCAUAUGUGAGAAUGGCUCUCUUGGAUUACCUUCCUUUUGUUGCCUCCUAGUGGUACAUAACCUGUAACCAUAAAAUUAACAAUACCUGCAUACCAGGGGUUAGAUCUGUUGAUUCCAUAGAGCAUGUCGUCCUAGAGUGAGUCGUUGAUGGGUAGUUCCUAUGGAUUCUUAAUGUGCAUUCUAGACAAAUGAUCGGCAAUAGAAUUUUCUACUCCAUUUUUAUAUUUUAUUUCUAUAUCAGAUUCUUGGAGUAAUAAAAUCCAUCUUGUCAAAUGGGGUUUAACAUCUUUCUUAGUGAGCAAGUAUUUUAAAGCAGCAUGAUUAGAAUAAAUAAUUACUUUAGCUCUCACUAAGUAAGAUCUAAACUUAUCAAUAGCAAAAACAAUAGCUAGGAGCUCUUUUUCAGUAGUAGCAUAAUUGAGGUCCUUUCAAAGUUUUGCUCGCAUAAGCUAUUGCAUGAUGCUUUUUAUAUUUAGUUUGUCCUAAUACUACCCCCACAGCAUAAUCACUAGCAUCACAUAUAAUUACAAAAGGUGAAGACCAAACAAGGGGUUGAAUGAUUGGUGCUGAGAUGAGUGCUUUCUUAUGAAUUUCAAAAGCUUAUAAACUUGCAUCAUCAAAUUCAAAAGGAACAUCCCUUGUCUAGCUUUUCCCUUUAGUGAAAAAGGAAAUAGCUUCCAAUAGAGAGUUUCAUCGGAUAUGCCUUCAAUGCGAAGAUAGUCACAUGUUUGCUCAAAGUCUCUAAUGUGUAGGUAUGGAUUUUCAUCUCCUUCUCCUGAAAAGGAUAGGCUUUGGACCAGUGCAAUCAACCGUGGACUCAGCCUAUAGCUACAUGUUUGGAUAUGGUUUGAUGACUCAUGUGGCACUACGCUGGUCUUUGUGGGUGCAGAGAACUGAAGGAUAGGAAUGGAAUUUAAGGUAUCCAUAAAAGAAAAGGUAGGAUGUAAGAAAAGGUGAGAUAACAGGAAAAGAUAAAAGUGUGAUACAAGGUAGAGUAAGAUAUGGUUAUCUAAGCAGACCGGCUUUCUCCCCGGCAUCGGCGCUAGAAAUGCUUGUUGACAUUAGUUAUGCACAUGAAAGAAUUAAAGUGAAAUAAUCUGCAAGUGCACGGAUAUCGGUGAGAACUUCACCUAGAAGAUAAGUCCCGAGUAUCGUAUUUAUUUUUUUACCACUAGGAGAAAGUGUGCAAAAGACUAACCUUUUAUCUUAACUACUACACAUGGGUUGCAAGACAAGAUAGUGAGAAUUAAGCGAUAUAGAGAGAACUCUUUCUUUAGUCUUCUUCUAACCAUUGGUAAAUUGUGUAGAUAUUGCUCUAAGGGGAGUAACUAGAGAGAAGAGACACCCUAGAUAGUGCUUAAUCCUAGUACCAUAUACUCUAACUUACCUCCUUACAGGACGUGCAUUAAUCCAGAGGAUUGUCACUUCCUGAGACCCAAGAGGAUUGUCACUUCCCCUAAAAGGCUACCACAAAUCCAGCCAAGCAAGGAGUAUCUACGAGUAUUCCUAGCCAUACACCAUGCUUAUGCUACAAAUAAUUACUCUAUUCCCUAUGCAAAGCGAAUAAAAUAAACUCAUAAACCAAAGAACAAUAAGAACAAUAACUUACUAGUAUCAGAAGUUGAAUUGUCGAAUGAUUCUAGAAUCAAGCCUCGGGUUAGGAGACUUAAUCUCGAAGAUACAAAGAAGAAGGUAGCGACAGGCCGGGCUUCCUCAACUCCUAUCUUCACCCUAUACUCUCAAAAUCUCUCUUGUUGCUAUCACCCUAAAGAGACAGAACCAUUUGAGGGACCCCUCUCUAACUCUCUCUAGAAAAUAUGAACUAGGGUUUUAGAGUUACAUCUCAGGGGGAUGCCCCUUUAUUUAUAGCCUCCUAGGAUUCACCAUAGCCAUUAGAUGAAACCGACUUAAACAUGUGCUUAAGAUUAAUCCUCAAAGUCGGUGGAGGCAGGAUCCGUGAGAACGAACGUGAUUGGUCAAUGCCCCUAGGCGGCCGCCCCUAUCAAGGUGGGGCGCCCGCCCCUACCCUCUGACAGAUGGGUCCCAGCUUUCAGGCGGUGGCUCCUGUAGUCUUCUAGAGUCUUCCUGAGUUGACGUUUCGGUCUUCUCUAUGUAAAUCUAAUAUGUGGUCCUUCUUUUUAUUAUUUCGGUAACCCUCUGCAGAAAUAGACAAUCACCAAAACUCAUAGAAUUCUGUUAGUGAUAACCCUAUUUCUACUGAGUGCUUGUGAAUAGGUUCUUUUCAUGUUAAGUUGACGGUUAAAAUAAGUAGUUAUCUAACAUCAACAAGUACUAUGUUUGGAGUCAACCAAUCAACAGUGUCCCUGUGUGGUGCUUCCAUCAACCAGAUUCUUUAGUAGAAUUAUCAUUAUUAUGUAACACUAUGUGAUGAUUAUUAUUCUCUUAUGUAAAAGAAACUACAAAGAUACUAUUUGAUAUUUGUGUACUUAUGUGUGUGACUAUUUCUAGGGCGCAUAUGAGUCUUAUAUGCAUCCUAUUCCAUCCUUGAAAUUUGGUCCGAUAGCUAGAUAGAUAGAUAGAUAGAUAGACAGACAGAUAGAUAGAUAGAUAGAUAGACAAAUAGAUAGAUAGACAGAUAGAUAGACAGAUACACAGAUAGAUAGACACACAGAUGGAUAGACAGAUAGAUAGGCAGAUAGACAGACAGAUAGAUAGACAGAUAGAUAGACAGAUAGACAGACAGAUAGAUAGACAGAUAGAGAGACAGAUAGAGUGAUAGAUAGAUAGAUAGAUAGAUAGAUAGAUAGAUAGAUAGAUAGAUAGAUAGAUAGAUAGAUAGAUAGAUAGAUAGACAGAGAGAUAGUGUCACACCCCAAAAUUUUUAAUUUUGGGUUGUGCAUAGAAAACACUAAACAAAUAUAAAAUGAAUUUAAUAAUUGUAUAAGAUUUGUCAAGUUUAGUUGAGUUAGUGCGAAUUAGUUCUAAAAAAAUAUUAAUUUCCAAAUUGUUUCGAAUGAUGUGAUAUUUGUUUGCUACUUGACUUUGUAUUUGAGUGUAUAGAGUUUUCAAAAUACGUUUAGAAAACAUCACCCUUGCUAAUAGAUUUGUUCGAUCUUACGCUUUCAAUUUGCUGCUACAGAAAAUUUUACAGGCGGUGCAUAUUUUAAUCAUUAACGUGAUGAUAUAAUAUAGUAUAAAAUAAUGAUCCUUUAAAGGAAGUAAUCGACUACUCCUAAUUUUCACUGUUACAAAAGGCGGUGCUAAAAGCAUCUUCACAGGUGGCCAAGCCCACCGCCUGUACCAUGGGUCAGUACAAAAUGGACCACAGUACAGGCGGGGCUGUGUGAGCCGCAUGUGAAAAUUAGGUUUUCACAGGCGGCUCACCUAGCCAGCCGCCUGUGUAAAUGAAUUUUUACACAAGCAGCUGACAAGGUGAGCUGUCUGUAUAAAUGUAUUUUUACACAGCCGGUUCACACUAUACCGCCUGUGUAAAUAAUUUUUUAUAUAUAUUUCAAAUUUUAAUUUUUCCCACCAAACACAGUGCUAAACAUCAUAUAUAUAUAUAUACACACACACACAUCAUACAUACACCACAUAUAUAUAUAUUAUAGAAUUGUAAACAUGAAAUCAAACAUCAACCAUAAAAUUACAUAUAUACACGUCAAUGCAUGUUAUCCGCACAACCAUACAGUGUUUACAUGUCGUUUCGCUUCAGAUUUAGACCUGCUAUGUCUAUCCGCACUUUAAAUUUAUCACUUGCUAAAUCGCCCUCAUGAUCAAAAUAUGCACCGUCACUUGGAAUUAUUUCUCUCAUAAUAAAACCACACAAGUCUGCUACUAUAUCUUCCAGAGUCUAUGGUGUAAAGGGCACGUCCUUUCCUUGCUUUUUUGGCUAGAAACAAAGUUUAAAAGUAUGAUUGACACAUGUUCAAUAUAUAAUUUUGCAACUUUAAUGAGAAAACUUCAUACAUAGAUAUUAUUUACGAUAUUUUUGUCCCUGACGUAACGUCCCCGCUGCCUUAUAAACUCACAGACAUAGUACCCACAAUAGACCGAUCCAGGUGGUUGCUUGUGGCACUAUAUGAUGAGCAACGGAUUAUUCUAAAUUUGCCAUGCUUUAUGUAUUAUUUAUAUGAUGAAAUGUGUUCGGACAACUUACCGGAUAGUGGUGUUGUAUCAUCAAUGGCACCCUAGGAUCUGAGCGUGCGGCGUCGACCGGUCCCUUUUGUUUCUUAUAAAACCGCCAUGCACAGAUAUCGAAUAUAAAUCACUAAAGUUAUUUUGAAACUGGUCCCUUGUGGAAAUCUAUUCCUUCCUCUGUCUCCUCUUGCCCGAUCACUCUUUUUUGUUUUACUUCUUGGCUCAGAGGAUGUCCCAGUCGUUUGAGGUGCUGUGUCCUUCUGAACAUCUUGUUCUUCUGCCUCCAUUUCGGCAACAAUUUGAGAUAACACCUCCUCUCCAUUCAAUUGUUAGGUACAUACAUAUAUACACAUGCAUUCUAUUGUAUAGACACUACUACAAUAUAUACCUCAUCAUCAUCUGGAUCAGCUUGAGGCUCGUAUGUCGGGUCAUGUUCCAACUCUAGACGAGCCUUCUUAGCUCUGGGGGAUUCACGUAGUGAUACGCUCGGGCUUCUAUAAGUGUCGGAUCCAGAGGUGUCGGAUCGCGGUGUUUCUAUCUGGGCUUCAGCAUUCGAUGGAGUACUCAUCUAAUUAAACAAAUAAUUUAUAAACAAUUAACUUACAAACUCUAAUUAACAAACCCUAAUUAACACUAGCGGACAUCCUGGAAACCCUACUCAACAAAUAACUAACAACUAAUUAAUAAAUAAAUAACUAACAAAUAAAUAACCCUAAUUAAAAAUCCUACUUAACAAUUAAUUAAUUAAUCAAUAAUUAGUAAAUAAAUAAAUAAUUAACAAUUAAUUAACUAGCUAACCCUAAUUAAGAAACCCUACUUAUCUAAUUAAUAACUAACAAAUAAUUAACCCUAAUUAAAAACUAAUUAAUAACUUAACAAAUAAAUAACUAAUUAAUAACUAACAAAUAAAUAACUAAUUAAUAACUAACAAAUAAAUAACUUAACAAAAAAUUAAUUAAUCAAUAAUUAAUAAGUAAAUAAAUAAUUAACAAAUAAAUAAUUUAUAAAUAAUUAUUAAUUAAUUAACAAAAAAAAUAAAAAAAAAGACAGCCAGGGCGUCCUGCCAGCCCAACAGGGCCCGGCAAGCCAGCUGCGUGGCUGCUGCCGGCGCUGGGAGUGGUGGCGGCGCGCACUACUGCUCACGGCUACUUCUUGCUCGCAGCAUUGUGGCUAGCGGCGCUGCUCACCUCGCCGACGGCGCGGAGCUCGGCGUCCUCGCUCCGGUGGCGGCGGCGCAGCGGUGGCGGACGACCUUCGACGGUGAUCGUGGCAGGGCGCGGCGGAGUGGGCGCGGAGGCGGCGGUGGCAUGCGGCGGCGCGGCUCGCGGCGGAGGCGGCGUGGGCGCGUAGGACGGCAGAAUUCGGCAGCCGGACGGCGUCGUUUUCGUCAAAUCGCGCCAGACUUAGAAAUUUUCACGUCCCGCGCUUAGUGUUUUUAUAAGUACAGGCGGCCCUCAAUGACAGCCGCCUGUACUAAAGGUUUACACAGGCGGCCCUCAAUGACCGCUGCCUAUACAAACGUAUUAGUACAGGCGGCUCUCCUUCAGGUCCGCCUGUACUAAUAUAUUUGUAGAGGUGGCCUUCGUUGAGGGCCGCCGGUACUAAUGUAACCUGUCUUUUGUUUUUUUAAUUAAUUAAUAAUUAUUUGUAAAUUAUUUAUUUAUUUAUUAAUUGUUGAUUAGUUAAUUAUUUGUUAAGUUAUUUAUUUGUUAGUUUGUUAAUUAACUAACUAACUAAACCUAAUUAAGAAACCCUACUAAACAAAUAAUUAAUAAAUAAUCUGUAAAUAAGGUAUAAAUCAAAUGGAAAAUGUAAACAUGUUGCUUAAUAAGAAAUAGUAGCAUAAGGUACAAAUGAUAAGUGAUACAUGAGUUACAUGAGUAAUGAUAACUUAUAGAAUCUAGUGUGCACCCAUGGCAAUGAGGAUUGUGGAUACUUUUCUCAACAUUUUUUAUUUUUUCUUGAAAGUGUGUAAAAAGAGACAUCUCGCUGAAUUGGUUAACAUCCUCCAAAUCCAUUACACCAUCAACUUCUAUAAUUUGUUGCUUUCCAGGAAUAGCUAUAUGCUUUGGCUUUUGGCUAUUUUCUUUUCAUCCUUAGAAAGGAUUUGUUCCACAUAGAAGACUUGUGCGGCACGGUUAGCAAGGAUCCACGUUUCAUUUUUAUAACCUACUUUACUUAUGUUAAGAACUCUCUGGCCAUAGUUAUCCACAGUGACAUGUUUAUCUUGAACCCAUCGGCAUCGGAACAUUGGAAUCUGCAGGAGUGGACCAUAUUCUACCUCCCAUAUGUCUUCAUUGAACCCAAAGUAUGUAGUUGUUUCACCAGUUGCAUCAUCUAUAGCCUCGCAUCGAACGCCACUUGCCAUGCUCUUGGUGUCCCUAUAGCUGGUGGAAAAUGAAAAGCCACUAAUGUCAUAGCUCUACCACGAUGUGACCUGGCUUGAUGGUCCAGAUGCUAACAUCUUAAUGGUUUCUGAUUCCUCUGUCAUGUCCAAAUCCUUUAACCAUGUGCUGAACUGACGCUUGUGUUCCUUGUGUACCCAAUAAUUUAUGCAUCCUGGAUUCUUCUCAUGAAGCUCUUUCAUGUGCUGCUCAAUGAAUGGGUCCAUUAUUAUGAGUUGUUGUAGUAUGCUAUUAUGUGCCUCUAGGACUAUGUUGUAAUCUGGCGGGAUGAAUGAUUUCCGUCCCAUUCUCCUGCGUCCAUCAAGCCUUCCCUCAUGUCGCAAUGGAGGCCAACCAUUUGAUACCUGGUCUUUUACGAGAUUAUUUCAUAAUGGUCCUCCAUACUCAAUGGCCUCGUCUGUAGUGUACGCCUCUAUCAUGGAACCCUCCGGAUGAGCACGAUUUGACAUAUAGCCAUUCAAUAUUGACAUGAAACGCUCAUACAUCCACAUUUCAUGGAAAUACAUGGGACCUAAUGCCUCUAUGUGAGGUACCAAAUGAACAACAAGGUGUACCAUGAUAUCAAAGAACGAUGGGGGAAAGCACAUCUCCUACUGGCUCAAUGUCUCUGCAGCAAAUUUUUGUAGGGACUCUAAGUCAUCACGGACAAUUACCCUCUCAGAUAUCUUAUUAAAGAAGUAUCACAACCGUGUGAUUGCCACCUUUAAGAACUGUUGACACCGUUUUUGGGCACGUGUCCAGGAUGGCAGGAUAGGGUGGCAGUACAAUGCGGGUUGCUGAUGAGGAUGGUUGCCGAUGAGGGAGAGGUUGAAUGUGACUAAGUCCACAGGCAGUAAUAUGGUGCCGAUGGCUGGGUUAAAAGGUCUGCCGAUGACUAUGGCAAGGGGAUUGCCGAUGACGCGAAGGAGGAGUCCGGAAGCUGCCAGUUGUCAUCUGGAGGAGUUUCGGUUUGUCACGAAGGAUAGUUUUAUUAUUCCCUUAGUUAUUUGUAUCGUUUUGUAUACGGAUUCCGUGUAAUUUGGAAUUCGAAUUCUAAUCGUGUCUGGUCGUAGCUCUUUGAGCAGGGUAUAAAUAUAAACCCUAGGACCUUGUAAUCAAAAUAUCAAGAAAUCAAUCAAACACACGUUUUUACUCAUAUUCCAGCAUCUACUUUUCGACGACUUCGUCAUACUUUUUUCCUUUUAUUACGAGUUCUUAGGAAUUCGUCGACUUAAGCUCGGCGUAUUCUCAAGUUCCGCGUGAGUACCUCUUAGCCGUGACAUCCGGGCGCAUCGCUGUUGUCAGGACUAAAGUAUUCGAGUUAUCACCUUUGCCGAUAGCAAGGUCAAAUCGGCUGGCACGCCUUAACGUUUGAAUCGGGUAUUAGCCCUUUGUGUUUGCAGAUCAGUUUUGCAUCAACACAUCUUUUGGCACGCCCGGUGGGACCAGAUUCAAGAUCAAGAUCAACAUGUCGAUCUCUGACCUCGAUCAAGAGAACGUCAUCCCCGUAACGGAGGCCAACCUCAAGGAUGAGCAAAAGCAAGCUAUUGCCCAAGCCAUGGAAGAGUUCAAGCAGCAAUGCCUGAAGUCUUUCAGCAUAAACAGGAGCGGCGAAGUGGUCCAGAAAGAUGCACUGCCAGCACCACGGCAGGUCACCUUCGACGCCAAUCCUGGCAAGCUUCAAGAUAUGGUUGACAAUGCCAUCAAUCGAGCGUUGAUUAACCAAGCUGGUGUACUGUCUAAUACGGUUUUCAACGCCGUGGCAAGAACUUUCAAGGAAGGACAAAUCCCGCCAGAUUAUGUGGGGCCCUCCCAUCAUCAGCCAACGGCACCAGAGGUCACGGCUCCAUCGGCUGCCUUGACGAAUGCAAGUGCACAGUCUGCCGUCCCUCCAAGUACAUUGGGGACUACUGGCGCACUAUCUAUGCCGAUGGCAACCAACCCACAAAUUUCAGUUGGGCAGCAUAAACUGACAACAGAUAUGUUGGCAUCGGCAAUGUCAGGGUUAAAUCUUCCUCCCAACUGGUGGGGUUAUGGUAUGCCUCCAGAGUUGACGCCGGGAACAUCACAAAUAACUGACCUGAGGGGCAAAACUCCUAUGACAUCGGCACCUCCCAAUGCGCCGGUGAACCAGAGUCCUCGAUAUACCACAACUACUACCGCACGGCCUUACACUGGGAAUCCUCAAGAUUCAAUGUUCCCGAUGCCCAACGCAUCGGCAGAGUCAAUGCUGAUGCAACAGAGGUCUAUGGCCCAGUCGGGGUAUGUCAAUUCAACGACGGUACCCAAUUACCAAUCAUCGGCAGCACCUAUGCCGAUGAACGCUAAUAAUGGAUGGCUUGGACAGCAGGCCUUUCCACAAUCGCCCCAGCAGGGUUAUCAGACUACAGGGUUCCAGCAAGGACAGGUCUAUCCCGGGUUCCAAGGUCAGGGGAUUCCCAACCAGCCAAUAAAUUUUGGGCAGCAACUCGGAGGACAGCCAAUCGGUGGACAGCAGUUUGGUAGUCCGCAGAUUGGAGGACAGGUGACCAAUACAAUGUUCCAUGCAGGUCACGUCCCAAACAGACACGUGGAGGUUCGCCACCAAGUGCCAGAUCCGCAGCCGCCCCAUCGGCAAGAUGCCGAUGCGUAUUGGGCCGAUAAGAUUGCUGAAGUAAUGAGGGAACAAUUCGGGAUAAAACCCAAAGUCAACACUUAUUCUUAUCGGACACCGUAUCCUCCAGCGUAUGAUUUGAUCCCGCUUCCACAUCGGUACAAGGUACCAGAUUUUACAAAGUUUUUCGGACAGGACGAUACGUCAACCAUGGAGCAUGUCAACAGGUUCAUUAUUCAAUGUGGAGAGGCUGGUAACAGGGCCGAAUUGAGGGUUCGUCUAUUUUCAUCAUCAUUGUCUGGAUCGGCCUUUACUUGGUUCAUAUCAUUACCUCCCAACUCAGUAAUUACUUGGGCCGAUCUAGAGAAGCAAUUCCACAGAUACUUCUUCUCGGGGGUUCAUGAGAAGAAGAUCACCGACUUGGUCAAGUUGAGGCAACGUAAUGAUGAGUCGGUUGAAGGAUUUGUGCAGAGGAUACGAGAGGUCAAGAAUAAAUGCUAUAGCCUGGUUCUGGAUGAUCGGCAGCUAGCCGAUUUGGCUUUCCAGGGUUUGUUGCCACAUAUCAGGGAUAAGUAUGCCUCUCAGGAAUUCGAAAGUUUAAGUCACUUGGUGCAGAGGAUAUCUGAUCAAGACAUCAAGCCUUUCGAGCCUAAGAGGGCAUGGAAUAAGAAAGUCUCAUUUGUUGAUGAAGCAACAAGCUCAGAUUCCGAUGAAGAACCAGUAAUCGGUUUGGCAGAGUGGGUAAAAAACAAGAAGCCGAUGUCUUGUCCUUUUGGGCAGAAGGAACUAGAGAAGUUCGCCUUUGAUACCGCCAAGGCCGAUAGGAUAUUUGACUUUCUACUUCAGGAAGGUCAGAUCAAACUGUCACCUAACCAUGUGAUUCCAUCGGCAGAAGAGUUGAAGAGGAUGAGAUAUUGCAAGUGGCAUAAUGCGACUUCACAUGACACCAACGAGUGCAAAGUAUUCAGACAGCAGCUGCAAUCGGCUAUAGAGUCAGGGAGAAUCAAGUUUGACAGUUCUAAAGCCCAGAAGCCGAUGAAGAUAGACCAACAUCCUUUCCCGACAAACAUGUUGGACGCUAAGGGGAAGGCUAAGGUCUUUACGUCGGAAACAGCUGAGAAGAGUGCAUCGGUAGAUCCUCAGCAUCAAGUUACUACUGCCGAUGCAAGAAAUAAGGGCUUGGUCCAGGAAGGGACUAGCUCGGGAAGGCCUCCUCGGUCUGGUAUCGUCAUAACUCAUAGAAGGCCACGAGGAAAUUGGCAACAACGGGAAGAUCGGUAUCGGCGCCAGCAGGAAGAUUAUCGACGGGAAGAAGAAAGACGCCGACAGGAGUGGAAUCGGCAUAGGGAUCAUUGGAAUUGUCCAUUCUUCAUCCAUUGUUGGGAGGAAAAUAUCAAGCUUCCUACUGUCAGAGACUGGCCUGAGUGCAACGGUUAUGAUCGGUACGGUAGAACCGAUCGGCGUUAUCAUGAUGAUGAACGGCGAUUUAAUGGGCCAAUCAGAGGAAGGGCGUCAGUUCAUGAUCGGCUGGGGGGCAGGCUUAGCGUUCACGAUCGGCUCAGUGACCGUGUCCGGUAUUUCCCCCGGAACCAAGAGGAGCUCGAAGGGAUGGCUGAUGCGUGGGUUCCCGAUGAAUUCAUAUUUUGCAGGGAUGCUAACACGCAUCGCAUGGAGUCAAGAGAGAACCAACGCCCGACGGUGAGGCAAAGGCCACUUCCUCCAUGGUGCCCUCAAGGAUUAACCAAGACACAGAAAAGGAGGUUGCAACGUGAAAGGCAGGAAGAGCUAAAUAAAGGAGAGAUCUCUGGAAGUCGGCAGCCGUCAGACACUAAGAGGGAAGGUCCAUCGGCUGGCGUCAACAUGGUCUUCAUGUUGCCGAUGGAGUUUCUUGCACCAGCUAGUGACAAUGAGUUGGAAUUUUCUGAUCAGAUAGCUCAGUUGGCUCUGGAUCCGAUGACGGCUAUCUUUGAGAAACCUGCCGAUGACGAGAAGCAGCAUCUUAAGGCUUUGUUCCUCAAAGGAAGGGUUGAUGGGCAGCCAAUGACUAAGAUCCUAGUUGAUGGUGGAGCUGCUAUUAAUAUUAUGCCGUAUGCAGUAUAUCGGAAGCUUGGGAAAGGGGAUCAAGAUUUGACCAAGACCGAUAUGAUGCUCAAAGACUUUGAGGGAAACGUGUCUCCAGUCAAGGGGGCGAUAUGUGCAGAGUUGACCAUCGGCAGCAAAACCUUGCCGACAACUUUUUUCGUGAUCAGCGGAAAAGGUGCCUACAAUUUAUUAUUGGGGAGAGAUUGGAUUCAUGCCAAUUGUUGUGUCCCAUCUACAAUGCAUCAGUGCUUGGUUCAGUGGGUAGGUGACAAGAUUGAGAUCGUCCCAGGGGAUUCUUCUUAUGUUAUCGCAUCGGCAGAAGCGGAUACUUAUGAAAGGACUAGGUGCAUUUCAGGAGAAGUUUGGGAGAAAGAUUUUCUCAAAGUUGCCAAUUAUGAGAUUCCACCGAUCCAAGCAGUCGGUUCUGACCAUGGUUUUUAAUGGAUAGAUUCGCCGAUGAUGGAAAAUUAGGCCAGGGGUUCACAUCGGCCGAUGAUUUGGUAGAAGUAGAUAUAGGUAGUGGUGAUAAGCCUAGACCUACUUUUAUUAGCGCUAAAUUAGAUCCUGAGUGUAGGCGACAACUGAUUAGUUUGUUAAAGGAAUAUAAAGACUGCUUUGCUUGGGAUUAUACAGAGAUGCCUGAUUUAGACCGAUCAAUUGUCGAACAUCGGUUACCCAUCAAGUCCGGAUUUUGGCCACAUCAGCAACCAGCCCGCAGAUGUAAUCCUAACAUUCUACCUGAUAUUAAGGCCGAAAUCACUAAACUUAUUGAAGCUAAGUUUAUUCGGCAGUGUCGGUAUGCCGAAUGGAUUUCCAAUGUUGUUCCGGUUUACAAGAAGAACGGGAAGCUUCGGGUGUGCAUUGAUUUCAGGAAUCUCAAUAAAGCUACGCCGAUGGAUGGAUACCCAAUGCCUGUCGCCGAUCUACUGGUUGAUGCUGCGGCUGGCCAUCGGGUUAUCAGCUUCAUGGAUGGUAAUGCGGGUUAUAAUCAAAUAUUCAUGGCAGAGGAGGAUAUUCCAAAAACCGCAUUCAGGUGUCCUGGUCAUGUUGGACUAUUUGAAUGGAUAGUCAUGACUUUUGGGUUAAAGAAUGCUGGUGCUACUUAUCAAAGGGCCAUGAAUUUUAUAUUUCAUGAGUUCAUCGGCAAGUUCGUAGAAAUUUAUAUCGAUGAUGUGGUGGUUAAGUCUGGAGAUUUCUCAAAGCAUCUUGUCGAUUUACGAAAAGUGUUGAAGUGCACAAGGAAGCAUGGAUUGAAGAUGAAUCCCAACAAGUGUGCAUUUGGCGUAUCGGCAGGGCAGUUUCUUGGUUUCAUGGUACAUCAGAGGGGUAUUGAAAUUAGUCGAAGAUCUAUUGAUGCCAUCAAUAAAAUAGUGGCCCCUACCAAUAAAACUGAGCUCCAAUCCUUGAUCGGCAAGGUGAAUUUUAUCAGAAGAUUUAUAUCGAAUUUAUCUGGGAGAAUUCGUGCUUUCAGUCCUCUUCUUAAAUUGAAAGCCGAUCAGGAGUUUGUUUGGGGAGAAGAACAGCAGUUGGCUCUGGAUGAAAUUAAAAAAGUAUCUAGUAAAUCCUCCAGUUUUAGUUCCACCUCAACAAGGGAAACCCUUCAAAUUAUAUUUAUCUACCGAUGGAUCGGUUAUCGGUUCAGCUUUAGUUCAAGAAUUUGAAGGGAAAGAGAGAGUAAUUUAUUAUUUGAGUAGGAGGUUGAUUGAUGCUGAAACCAGGUAUUCGGCCAUUGAGAAACUGUGCUUAUGCUUAUAUUUUUCAUGUAUCAAGCUGAGACAUUACCUGUUGUCGGCUGAAUGUGCUGUUGUUUGCAAAGAUGAUGUGGUCCGAUACAUGCUAUCUAUGCCGAUUAUGAGUGGUAGGAUCGGUAAAUGGAUUUUAGCGCUGUCGGAGUUCGAUUUGCAUUACGAAUCGGCUAAGGCAGUCAAAGGGCAGAUCAUGGCCGAUUUUGUGACUCAGCCUUGCCGAUUGUUGCCACAUCAACAAAUAAUCAGGCUGAGUAUCAAGCUCUGAUCAAGGGAUUGGAGUUGUUAAGAGAAGUUCGUGCUGACGCUGUUGAAAUAUUUGGGGAUUCCAUGUUGGUUAUAAAUCAAUUGGCCGGAAGCUAUGAAUGCCGAAGUGAGGUUCUCAUAACCUAUUUCGAGAGAAGUGUGCAACUGUUAAAGGAAUUCAAGAACUUCCGAUUGGAGCAUGUUCCCCGAUUGCAUAAUGAAGACGCUAAUCGGUUAGCCCAUCAUGCCUCAGGAUAUCAGCCAAUGAUUAAUGCGACAUCGGCAGUCAGUGCCGGUGAUUGGAGGAAAGGAAUUAUCGACUAUCUAAAAGAUCCAUCCAAAAAAGUUGAAAGACGGGUUCGAUUUCAAGCGACCAAGUAUGUGCUCCUUGAAAAUGAAUUGUAUUAUCGAACUAUCGACGGAAUUCUUCUCCGAUGCUUAGGUGAUGAUGAAGCCAGAAGUCUGAUGGGGGAAAUCCAUGAAGGAGUGUGUGGAGCGCAUCAGUCAGCUUUUAAGAUGAAGUGGAUGAUUCGAAGGAAUGGAUAUUUUUGGCCAACCAUACUUGAAGAUUGUUUUAAAUAUUUCAAGGGAUGUCAAAGUUGUCAAAAGUUCGGUAAUAUCCAGAGAGCACCCGCAUCGGCUAUGAAUCCUAUAAUAAAACCUUGGCCGUUCCGGGGGUGGGCCAUCGAUCUGAUCGGCCAGAUUUAUCCACCAUCUAGCAAAGGGCAUAAGUUCAUUCUAGUUGCCACUGACUAUUUCACUAAGUGGGUCGAAGCUAUUCCUUUGAAGAAAGUCACAUCGGCCAAUAUGAUUGAUUUUGUGAAGGAGCAUAUUAUUUACCGAUUUGGGAUUCCCCAAACGAUUACUACCGAUCAGGGCACCAUGUUCACGUCGGGGGAGUUCGAUGAAUUCGCAAUCGGUAUGGGAAUUAAAGUGUUGAAUUCUUCUCCUUACUAUGCUCAAGCCAACGGGCAGGCCGAAGCGUCUAACAAAGGAAUUAUCAAGCUUAUUAAACGAAAGAUUGAAGAAAAUCCUAGGCGGUGGCAUACAUUGUUAAAUGAAGCACUGUGGUCUUAUCGGAUGGCUUGUCAUGGAUCAACCAAGGUGUCACCCUAUCAAUUGGUGUAUGGACAUGAUGCAGUGUCGCCUUGGGAGAUUAAGGCUGGAUCUAGGCGAUUAUCUUUUCAAGAUCAAUUGGCUGCCGAUGAUUAUGCCACUUUGAUGACCGAUGAGUUAGAUGAUUUAGCAGGGCAUCGGUUAAAGGCUUUAAUGAGUAUAGAAGAAAAUAAGAAGAGAGUUGCUAGAUGGUAUGAUAAAAAAGUAAAGGCUAAGGAGUUUGCCGAUGGGGAUUUGGUAUGGAAGUUGAUUUUGCCAGUCGGGACUAAAAGUUCGAAGUUUGGGAAGUGGUCUCCUAAUUGGGAAGGUCCUUAUCGGAUAAGACACUCAGCUCCUGGUAAUGCCUAUAUUCUAGAAACUCUCGAAGGAGUUGAAUUUCCCAGAGCAUUAAAUGGCAAAUAUUUAAAGAAGUACUACCCCAGCAUAUGGGUCGACGCAUAAAAGUUUAAGUGCCGAUAACACUCCUAUCGGCUGGAUUUAAAUGUUCAGGGGCAGACUUAAUGUUUCAAAAGCUAAAAGCUAAAAGCGGAAAAACAAAGGUGUGUUGCCGAUGAAAGCUUCAGAUGUUCAGCAGCGCUUGGAUUGCUGAUAUGGCGCGCAGCCGAAUCUGAUUGGCCGUCUCUAUCUCUUUGAUAUCAUCAUCGGCAGAACCUUCUAUCGGCUUCAGCUUCCUCUUCAGCUGCAGCGCUUUGCGACCAUGGACGUUUCGUUCUUGUUCAAGGUGCUUGAUGGUCUCCGGCAGCUGACUCUCUUCUUGCUGGGCUUGGGACAGAGCGUCCUCUACUUGCUUGAGUUCGGCUAGUAGAGCUUCUCUUUUUGCCGAUAGAUCAGACACUUUCUGCUUCAGUGCAUCACCUGAGGACUUUAAGGUGCCGAUGUUCUUAUGUUUCUCAUCGGCUAAGAGUUUUUCUUUCAUCAUCUCCUCAGAAAGCUGGAUUUGAGCGGCUCUAUCGGCAAGGCGUCGAGUGGCUCUCUGGUACUGUAGCUGGCGGCUUUCUAGGUGUGCAGCAUGGAAGAGUGUUUCUUCAGCAUCGGCAGGAAUUUGGCCUCUAAGGGUCUUGAACAGGGCUUUGGCUGGGUCAGAAUCAUUGACCAGCUGAGUUGUGUCUUGAGGAAGUAUGGCCGAUAGCUCUUCCAGCUUAGCUCUGGUUUCUGCCGAUACAGUUCCAACUGCCCGAGAGGAGCUUGCUUCCUCGCCUUCUUCUUCGAAGAUAUCAAUGGCGAAGGAGAAUAAGCUGUUGGGAGAAUCUUGUUCCUGAAAAUGAAGAUGAAAUAAGUCAGUUUUAUGGUCAAAACUUCGGCAGACGAUACUGGUGGAAAAUUGGAUGACUUACUUGCUUCAAGGCGAUUUCUUGCCUUUGACUCAAAGAUGCCGAUGGAGCUACAGGUUGAUCGGCAAAUGUUGCCGAUGGAACGAUAUCGCCUGAAAGAAGACAGGAAGGAUUAUGAGACUAAAUGAAAAUAAGUUUAUCGGCGGAAGUAUUGUGGAGAUAUGUUACCCGGAGGAGAAACAACAGUCGCCUGAAUCGGGGAAACCGCCGAUGAUAUAACUGGACCUGUCGGGCCAGUUGUUUGUUCACCUGCGUCAGCUGAUGUACCUUCUGUUUGAGGUUCUUCCUACUGGGGUUCUUCCAUCUGUGGUGCUUCCUGUAUUGGUUGGGGAGAUGGUACUUGCUGUGUCUGGACUUCUGGAGAAGAAGGGGAAGAUUCCACCGGGAUUGGAGACACCGGAGGAGGAGGAGGAGUUGCCACUUUCUGGCGCUUUGUUCCAGCCUUAGCACCUUGGAUGCCCUUCCUCUUUGGCUGGCUAGACUGGGGGGCAUCGGCACCUUGGCGUUUGGCUUUUGCCGAUGCACCAGUUUGCUGCAACAACAAAAAGGAGUUUAUGAGCACAGAUAGCCGAUACAAAGAUAGUCAGCAUAAAUGAAAAAGGUUUUAACAGAUUGCCUUGAAAGCUUGCGCCAGAGUGGAAGCAGUUACCGUUGGUGAUGUCUGAGUUUUCCUGGUGGUAACUUUCUUGAGGCGCGCACCCCGGUGCACGAUGGAAGCCAGAGUGGGAGCAUUAUGGCCGAUUGAGGAGAUCGGGCCUGAUGGGAAUAAGUCGAUCGGCUUGCCACUCCUGCUAACCGAUGGGGGGGUGUUGUCAAUCUGCAAAAGGAAUACAGGGGUAAGUUACCGAUGGGAAUAGUAUUGGAAAAUGAGACAUCGGUUUAAAAUACUUACAGUGUCAUCAGGGACUUCGUAUUCGGGGUCGAUCAUGCCGCGGUAUGAGAGGGCCGAUCUGCAGAAUAGAUUCUCUUUCCAUUCUGCCCACCAUAGCUUGUAUGCCUGAGUGAUAAAGGCAGCUGGAACCCAUUCUGACAGAUCUACAUCUGUAUCGGCAUUUGGUGGUAGCUGGGCUACUCGAGUCCACUCGAGGAGGUUGGCGAUGGGUUCUCUGGGCUUUAUUACAUCGGCAUAAGGAAGUGCAAUCGGCAAUUGGCCGAAAGCUAGCUGGCGAGCUAAUGCCGAUGGAUUAUAAAAUUCAUAGGUUUGGGGGGAGGUUUUCAUGCUACCGAAGAAAUUCACUGGUAUGGCUCUGGGAGUCACGAUUGCCAUCAUCACCUCAUUGUCCCUGUCGAGAGCUUCAUCAAAUGGAUUGAAGGUCAGUGGGAGCAUGCUGUCUGGGUCGUCAUAAGCCAGCCAUGGUCGUUCAUCUCUGGCCAGACCCUCAUACAGAGUCUCGAAGAAUCGGCCGAUCUGAUCCGGAUUGUUCCCUGAACCGGGUAAGACUAUAACGGCUUCACCAAAGUUCAAGGGGGCACGCGUUGCCGAUUCCUCUUCACCUAACACAUGAUUCUCGGCUAUAUCUCUUGGGAAGUGCUGUGAGAACAAGUUGAAAUCAAGGCGCUUAUGCAGAUGCAGAUUGAGCCACAUAUUAAUAAACCACCAGGGGCCUCCCAAGUUGCCGAUGGAUUGGCCAAGCAGGAGUUUCUGGGCUACCUGAUGAAGAAGGUGGUAAACAGCGCCGAGCAAAUAUCGGCCGAGAGGAAAUUGGCCGCCGCUAGCCAGUCUUUCUGCUGCCGAUAGAUAGACAGAAGUCGGUCCUGCCGAUCGACCACAGAAUACAAACUUGUCCAGCCAUAUGUUCAGAAAGGUGGUUUGCUCCUUUGUGGUGACAGGCCCUCUCCCGCGGUACUUCUGGAUGUACCCUGACCAACCGCCGAUAGCGCGAGUCUCCACUUUGGCACUGGGGGCGGUAUCAAAAAAGUGGGUGCUAUCGGCAGAAGAUAUAUCUAGCCCAGUAAGCAUGGCUACAUCAGCAAGGGUAGGAGAAGCAGGGCCGUGGCCAAAAACAAAAGCAUUGAGAGUGUCUGACCAAAAGUAGGAUGCAGCUAUCAGCAAUGACUCGUUCCUGUGCAUAUCGGCAAUGGAUAGCCUAAUGCAUUGAGCUAGCUUCCUCUCACCCCAUUGAACUUCAUAAGAAUUGCUGACCCUCAAGAACCAAUCUUUCCACCCUACAGUAGGGCUGGGCCAAGAACGAAAGGUGUCUUUCCACAGAUCUAAAGAAAAGUUUUCAGCUCUAAAGGGAAUCCUGUUGGUUUCUGCAUUGAUAAGGUCGGUUGGAUCUGGAUCCCCUAGAGGGCCGAGGCACUGAAGGUGUGGUUGAUCAGUAGGGAUGACAAUUUUGUUGGACAACUCCUAGUGUUUUGGGGAGUAAAAAUACAAAGAAAAAGGAAAAGGAAAAUAUUCGGUAAGAUGAAUCGCAGAUGAACAAGAAUGCGAGAAAAAGGUACAGCAGAUGAGAUGGAAGUCUGACCUCAGGGACGACGAAACCAAUGGCCAUCUUGUCAUGAAGAGGAUGUUGGAGGGCACCGGAGUUGAUGAAGAAGAGUGCUUGUCGGAGGUCUUGAGGGUUGUGGAUGGCGCCGCCGCUGGAAAAGCAAAGUUGGAUAGUAGAAUGGUGUAAUGGGGGAGGAGUACCCAAGAAGGAACUAUUUAUAGGACAAGAUGGGCAAGGGCAAAUCCGUCUUAUCUCUUUGCCGCAUCCGAGAAGCCCGAGGGUACUCAGGUGGAUAUGGUAACUGUUCGCACGGUAAUCCAGGGAUUGUGCAGGUGAUUUGACAGGAAGCGGUCAUUAUCUAAAGAUAUUUUACUGUGCGCGAUAUCCUGGUCGGUCCAUCCGUGAUAUUCUAUAACGGUCAUCUUGCCGAUGGGCGGAUAGACGGGGGGUAACCGUUUUUUGCGAAUAUCCUGGUCAGAGCAUCGGCAGAUCUUUAUAACGGAAUUGUUGCCGAUGUACGACCAAGAAAGAUGCCCGUUUAGGAAGUUGGGGAUUUCGAGGAAUAUGCGGAGGAUUAGGAUCAGAGUUGUCCAGAUUGAGGUUGUCGGUUACUAGAUUAGGAGCAUUAAUUGCGGAGAAGGCAUCAUUACUGCAGAGAAUUUCGGAGCAUUAAUAGUUUUAUACUCCGAAACUGGGGGGCAUGUGUUGACACCGUUUUUGGGCACGUGUCCAGGAUGGCAGGAUAGGGUGGCAGUACAAUGCGGGUUGCUGAUGAGGAUGGUUGCCGAUGAGGGAGAGGUUGAAUGUGACUAAGUCCACAGGCAGUAAUAUGGUGCCGAUGGCUGGGUUAAAAGGUCUGCCGAUGACUAUGGCAAGGGGAUUGCCGAUGACGCGAAGGAGGAGUCCGGAAGCUGCCAGUUGUCAUCUGGAGGAGUUUCGGUUUGUCACGAAGGAUAGUUUUAUUAUUCCCUUAGUUAUUUGUAUCGUUUUGUAUACGGAUUCCGUGUAAUUUGGAAUUCGAAUUCUAAUCGUGUCUGGUCGUAGCUCUUUGAGCAGGGUAUAAAUAUAAACCCUAGGACCUUGUAAUCAAAAUAUCAAGAAAUCAAUCAAACACAUGUUUUUACUCAUAUUCCAGCAUCUACUUUUCGACGACUUCGUCAUACUUUUUUCCUUUUAUUACGAGUUCUUAGGAAUUCGUCGACUUAAGCUCGGCGUAUUCUCAAGUUCCGCGUGAGUACCUCUUAGCCGUGACAUCCGGGCGCAUCGCUGUUGUCAGGACAAAAGUAUUCGAGUUAUCACCUUUGCCGAUAGCAAGGUCAAAUCGGCUGGCACGCCUUAACGUUUGAAUCGGGUAUUAGCCCUUUGUGUUUGCAGAUCAGUUUUGCAUCAACAAGAACACUGGAUUUAUAGCCCUGAUGGCGAUAGGCAGAAAAGUGGUCAGCAUGACAUGACAAUCAUGUGAGUUGUAGUUGGUGAAUUGUUGACGGUCCUUAAUGCUCACAUUUAACCAUCAACUAAUCAUGGAAAAGGAUCCAAAUGCAACCAACACCUAGACUUAGGGUUUUAUAUGACAGAAUUCCACGAGUUUUGGUGUUUGUCUAUUUCUGCAGGGGGUUAUCAGGAAAUACGGAAGAAAGGCCCACACGUCGGGUUUACAUAGAGAUAUUAACGUGCCGCACAAUUAUCUACCAUCUACAAGAGUCCAGAAGCCACGGGAGCGAACGGGAGACGUAACGGAGCCGGGCACUGGGCGCCCGCCCUCCCUUACUGGGCGCCCGCCCUCCCCCCUGGACCAAUCAGGGCGAAGUUCGGGGAUCAUGCUCCAUCGACCUAAUACUUCAAGGAAAACCACACGAUCAAUGUCGGUUUGAUCCAAUGGCCCAGAUUCACUUGAAGGGACUAUAAAACCAGACCCCCCUGGCCCAUGGAGAUCAUACCCCUUCUACAGAAUCAAAGUUAGGGUUUCAAUUCUUCAUCCAAGUAGAGAGGAUCCCUCUAGUUCUUCUAGUUCUACCUCUAGUUCAUCUAGAUCUAGUUCUAGUUCAUCUAGUUCUAGUUCUAGUUCCUCUAGUUCUAGUUCUAGUUAGUUCUAGUUGUAAUCUAGAAAAUAGGGAGAGAGAAGAGGAGAGCGGAGAAGGAGCCGGAUCUGUCGGAUCUUCCUCAACAUUGUACUUUUGCAGCAACUGGUUCGUUCUUCAUCGUUCUCCAGGUUCUUCAAUUCAUAAUCCUGAGUUCUUUAAUUACUUUUAUUUACAUUCAAGUUAUUUAUUGGAUUCCCGCUUGCAUCAAGUGCUCUAAUCUUUGCAACAUUAGAGUAGUAAUUAAAAGAUUAGACGUGGUGUUUAGUCUUGCAAUUACCUGGAAUUCCACCCAAUCCUGCGGAUUGUUGUGGUAGCCUUAGGGUAGUGACAGCCCUAACGGUCGAUGUAUUCCACCUCGUUCGGCUUGGUGUUUGUAGGACUGUAGUCAGACCUUCCUAGCCCCCUUCUCAUCUCUUUCUGUGGUUAGUGCUCUGAUGUCCCGAAAUAAAUAAUCUUGAAGUAAUUCUUGAUUCUUAGAUCAACUAGAGAACUCUCAGGAAACUUCCUCUCUUCCCACCAAAAAUAAUCAUAUAGUUAUCCUUGGGCGAUCUUGGAUCUUAAUUAGUACACUCACGUUCCCUGUGGAAAAUCGAUACUCUGGAAUACUCCCGGGUGAAGGCUACAUCGGUAUCCGUGCGCUUGCGGAUUUUUCUGUUUGCGUUUAAAAUACCCAACAAGCUUUCUGGCACCGUUGCCGGGGAACGGUAGCUGUGCUAGUUUCGAACCAAUUCGUCCGUGUAUCCUUUUUCAUUUCUUUUUUACCACACUCACCUUACCAUUUUCACCACACCACAUGGAUUUCACUCCUAUCUAUAAAUUCUUUGCUCCAAAGGGCGAGUUAUUAGAGCCACCACCAUCAUCACAUCCAUUCUUACAGAUGGCUAUGACCUCGGCCCUGAUCUAAUAGCCAUGAUUCAGGAGCAACCCUUCUCUGGGCAAUUAGAUGAAGAUCCAUACACCCACCUUAGAGAAUUCGAGCAGUUGUGCUCUUGCCGAUCUAUUUCUAGCAUGACACAAGAAACCCUUAAAUGGAAAUUAUUUCCGUUCUCCCUUUUGGGAAGGGCAAAAAAGUGGUAUGCUCAUUCUGUAGGAGGCGUUAAUGGAAUUUGGGAUGAACUUCGGGACAACUUUUGUCUCGCUUUCUUCCCACUUUUUCGAAUCGCUGACCUUAGAAUCGAAAUUCUUACAUUCAAACAAAGAGAGAAGGAAACUUUAGGAGCAGCUUGGGCUAGGUUCACAAGCCUUACCAAUUCCGGUCCAAACCUUUCCCUGCCUGACCAUGUACUGUACUACCACUUUUAUCGUGGUCUAAGCAAGGAAGCUGCUCUUCACCUCGACAUUGCUUCAGGAGGCUCAUUCACACACAAACUCACAGAUGAGGGGAGAGGGAUCCUAGAGAGAAUCCUUGAAAAUACCCCUUACACAGGCAUUUAUGAUGAGUUUCCUGAAGAAGAGAAAGAAGUCAAGCCUGACCCUAAACCAAAAGAUGAGGAACUUGCAACCGAGUUAGAAAUUCCACCUGACCCAUCCAUUAAUUUGGUUGUAGAGAAACCUCCUGAUAAGGGAAUGCAAAACCAACUAAAGGAUGAUGAACCACCACCUUUAGAGCAUCCCUUUGAAUUCGAGGAAGAUCUUUUUGAAGAUUAUGGAAACACCUCGAAUUUUCCUAUCCAAACACGACCUCUAGCAAGGACCACUCAAUCUGUUCUAAGAGUAGAAUCUGUUGACAUAGAACACAUCAAAAGCCUUUCGGCUAUUCUGAGUUAUGAAUGGCUAACAGAAGCAGAGCUGUCUCCUGAGGUAGCUCGGAUCAUCACUCCUUCAACCAUUCUUCUGUGCCAAAUUAGACGGUCCGUUAGGAAGGUCCACUACAAUCCAUAUGUUGGGAUAAAUGUUAUUUCCAAGGAGUUAGCUGACACUCUUUAUCCCAACGAGUCCAUAACCCCAUCUCAAAAACUUUUACAAAGUCCAUCUUGAUUAAUUCUAGAGAGCCAUGGGGUAUUAAGGGCAGUUCCUAUUAGAAUCAAGGACUUUGGAAUAGGUCUAGAUUUUCACAUUUUUGACAUACCGGAGAUUCCUCUCUUGAUUGGUAGACCAAUCAUGAAACUUCUAGAAGAACAACCACAACGAGGUCAUUUAGGCUUCAAAGUUGGGAAUUCCACUAUUGUUGUUCCUCUAGCUAGAUCAAUUAACACGAUAGUGGAACCCAAACUUGACCCAGAUCCUAUUGAGGAGGUCUUAAUGGUGACUCAAAAGGAGAUGACCCAACCAUUCUUUAAUCAUGAACACUUUGUUCAAGAAGAAGAAGAGUUGGUAGAACCCGUCGAGCUAGACAAAAAUGAACUACCUUCACCUCCUUCGAUAGAAUUAAAACCUCUUCCUUCUGGCCUUAGAUAUGUCUUUUUGCACAACAACUCAAAAACUCCAGUAAUUAUCAGUGACAAGCUUUUCGAUUAUGAAACACAACAACUUGUCACUGUUCUUGAAAGACAUAGAUCAGCAUUUGGCUACUCUCUCGAGGAUCUCACGGGCAUUAGUCCCAUUCUCUGCACUCAUCGUAUCCCUAUUGAUCCCAAUUCUACACCUUCAAGGGAACCACAACGGAGACUUAACAAUGCUAUGCGAGAGGUUGUUAAGAAAGAGGUCCUCAAACUCUAUCAUGCUGGGAUUAUUUAUCCUGUACCACAUAGUGAGUGGGUUAGCCCUGUCCAAGUAGUGCCAAAGAAAGGAGGAAUGACGGUCGUUAGGAAUGAGAAGAAUGAACUCAUCCCUCAACGAAUUGUUACUAGGUGGCGUAUGUGUAUUGACUAUCAAAAACUCAACAAGGCUACAAAGAAAGAUCACUUUCCGUUACCCUUCAUUGAUGAAAUGUUGGAACGGCUUGCAAACCACUCUUUCUUUUGUUUCCUUGAUGGUUAUUCUGGAUAUCACCAAAUCCCAAUCCACCCAGAUGACCAAGAAAAGACUACCUUUACAUGCCCAUAUGGAACUUAUGCAUACCGACGAAUGUCGUUCGGAUUGUGCAAUGCUCCAACUUCUUUCCAAUGGUGCAUGAUGUCUAUUUUCUCGGACAUGAUUGAGAAGAUCAUGGAGGUUUUCAUGGAUGAUUUUACCGUCUAUGGCAAAACCUUCGAUCAUUGUUUGGAGAAUUUAGAUAGAGUCUUGCAGCGAUGUGAAGAAAAACACUUAAUCCUGAACUGGGAGAAAUGCCAUUUUAUGGUUCAGGAAGGAAUAGUGCUAGGACAUAAAGUGUCCGAACGUGGUAUAGAGGUGGACAAAGCAAAGAUUGAAGUUAUUGAAAAACUUCCACCUCCCACGAAUGUGAAAGGAAUCCGUAGCUUUUUGGGACAUGCAGGGUUCUAUAGACGCUUUAUCAAAAAUUUCUCUCAAAUUGCUAGACCCCUAACUAAUCUCCUAGCCAAGGAUGCACCUUUCAUCUUUAGUGAUGAGUGUCACGAAUCUUUUCAAACUCUUAAGAAAGCACUCAUCUCAGCCCCGAUUAUCCAACCACCUGAUUGGAAUCUUCCUUUUGAGAUCAUGUGUGAUGCUAGCGAUUUUGCGGUUGGGGCUGUUUUAGGACAAACCAAGGAUAAAAAGCAUUAUGCCAUAUCCUACGCUAGCAAAACCUUGUCUGGACCACAGCUCAAUUACACUACAACUGAAAAAGAGCUUUUGGCUAUUGUCUUUGCUAUAGACAAGUUUAGAUCUUACUUAGUGGGGGCAAAGAUAAUCAUCUAUUCAGACCAUGCUGCUCUCAAGUACCUCCUCACUUAGAAAGAUGCUAAGCCUCGUCUAAUUCGGUGGAUUCUUCUACUCCAAGACUUUGACAUAGAAAUCCGAGAUAGGAACGGAGUUGAGAAUUCUGUAGCUGACCACUUGUCUAGGCUUCAGUAUAAGGAAACACAUGAUGAACUUCCCAUAAAUGACUACCUAAGGGAUGACACCAUACUUAAGAUAACACAUGCAGAUCCAUGGUACGCAGACAUCGUAAACUUUAUAGUAAAAGGCUAUGUCCCACCUGGUGCAAACAAAAGGAAGUUGCUUCACGAUAGUCGUUUCCACCUUUGGGAUGAGCCAUAUCUUUUCCGAGUCUACGCUGAUGGACUCUUGAGAAGGUGUGUUCCUAUGGCUGAGGCUACUCAAAUUAUGGAAAGAUGCCAUGCCUCGCCAUAUGGAGGAAACUAUGGAGCAUUUCGGACACAUGCUAAAAUUUGGCAAAGUGGUUUUUUCUGGCCAACGAUGUAUGAAGAUACAAAGGACUUUGUCAGGAGAUGCCACCGGUGUCAAAAACAUGGGAAUAUUAACUCACGAAAUGAAAUGCCUCUCACAAAUAAUCUUCAAGUAGAACUUUUCAAUGUAUGGGGCAUUGAUUUCAUGGGGCCAUUCCCUAUGUCCGGGAAUUGCGAGUAUAUCUUAGUAGCUAUGGAUUACGUGUCCAAAUGGGUAGAAGCCUUACCUUGUCGAUCAGCUGAUUCAAAACAUGCCAAGAGAAUGUUCCAUGAAGUAAUCUUUCCUCGCUUUGGUAUACCCCGGAUAGUCAUAAGCGAUGGAGGUUCCCACUUCAUCGACAAAAUCUUUCGGAAGUACCUCGCCGAUCAUGGAGUUCGACACAACAUCGCAACACCAUACCAUCCUCAGACUAGCGGUCAAGCCGAAACAUCUAACAAACAAAUCAAAAAUAUUUUACAAAAGACCGUAGAUGAGAUGGGUAAGGGGUGGAAGGACAAACUUCCUGAUGCACUUUGGGCAUAUAGAACUGCAUUCAAAACACCCAUAGGCAUGUCACCUUAUCAACUUAACAUGCUCCACAAGUUUUGUUGUCUAUUUGGGUUGUGCAGGAUUUUGAGGCUUAAGAAGAGUGAGACCAAACAUGCAGGCUAGAAGAGUGAACGACUAUGUCAACAUCCAGCUUUGGGGAGGCACCCCGACAUGUAUCUAGAUAAGUAUUACUUUUCUUUCUUGGUUUUAUUUACUAGUAUUUGGAAAUAAAAAAAAUGCAUAUCCAUGAAACCAAACAAAGUUUUUCUUUUGAGUAAUAUACAAUUGUUUUGUGUAAUCCUAAGUUUUAAAUAAAAUAAAAAGAAAGUUUGAUUCAAGUCUAGGUAAUUGACAAACAUGAUAUGAGAAGGUCUGAGCUACUAUUUAACUUGUUCCAAGUUUUGCUAGAGUUCUGGAGAUUUUAUCUUUUGAAAAUCUAAAAAUUCAUAAAAAAAUAUGAGAUCAUAAUACCUAGAGUCUUAUAAGAUAUAAAUAUUAAAACUGUGGGCACUUGCUUUGUUCAAGCCAUUGUUAAUUCUUGUAGUUUUGGUUGAGAGAAUUAUCAUGCUCCCAAGAUCAAGAUCUUUUUGUUUUAAAAAUAUAAAAGAUUCACUCUUCCGAAGUAUUAUUGCGUUAGAGGCAUGGGACUAUGCAAAUAUUUGAUUUGAAAAAAAAAGAGCGAGACGAGAGGUAAAAAUGGACAAGUGUCCGAAGUAGAAUUAGGGGUACAAAGAUACCCACCUGAGUGGAAAAAAUGGACAUGUGUCCGACAGUAGAAUUAGGGGUACUUGCUGCCCACUUGAAAAAAAAGAGAGACUGAAAAAAAGAGAAAAAAAAGAAAAAAGAAAAAAAAAUGAUAGCCCAUGGUCCCUCUAAUAAGCAAUAUGCCAGUAAGAGAUGACAAACUUCUCAAAAAGGUCAAAGGUCUUGAUCUAGGAGUAUGACAUUCCUCUCCCUUGCUCUGAGUUUUGACAUAGCAAAAUGCAAAGUAAGUAUGCUAAAACUUUUAAAGCUCUACUUAUAUAUCUUUCGAGAGGAAGGCAAAUGCCUCAGUUUUAUUUUGCAGACUUAUAAAAAACUCCAGAACAAAGGUAAGACAGAAGAACUUGAGACAUAGUGCUUGACUUGAUCGUUCUGUUUUUCAAUCACUUAAGACCUUAGUGAUAACUUAAAAAACCCUGUAGUAAGAGGCAUAAAAGUAACCCCUGUUUUCUUGUUGAUUUUAGCUUUGCUCAGGGACGAGCAAAGGUUAAGCUUGGGGGAGCUUGUUGACGGUCCUUAAUGCUCACAUUUAACCAUCAACUAAUCAUGGAAAAGGAUCCAAAUGCAACCAACACCUAGACUUAGGGUUUUAUCUGACAGAAUUCCAUGAGUUUUGGUGUUUGUCUAUUUCUACAAGGGGUUAUCAGGAAAUAUGGCAGAAAGGCCCACACGUCGGGUUUACAUAGAGAUAUUAACGUGCCGCACAAUUAUCUACCAUCUAGAAGAGUCCAGAAGCCACGGGAGCGAACGGGAGACGUAACGGAGCCGGGCACUGGGCGCCCGCCCUCCCUUACUGGGCGCCCGCCCUCCCCCCUGGACCAAUCAGGGCGAAGUUCGGGGAUCAUGCUCCACCGACCUAAUACUUCAAGGAAAACCACACGAUCAAUGUCGGUUUGAUCCAACGGCCCAGAUUCACUUGAAGGGACUAUAAAACCAGAACCCCUGGCCCCUGGAGAUCAUACCUCUUCUACAGAAUCAAAGUUAGGGUUUCAAUUCUUCAUCCAAGUAGAGAGGAUCCCUCUAGUUCUUCUAGUUCUAACUCUAGUUCAUCUAAAUCUAGUUCUAGUUCAUCUAGUUCUAGUUCUAGUUCCUCUAGUUCUAGUUCUAGUUAGUUCUAGUUGUAAUCUAGAAAAUAGGGAGAGAGAAGAGGAGAGCGGAGGAGGAGCCGGAUCUGUCAGAUCUUCCUCAACAUUGUACUUUUGCAGCAACUGGUUCGUUCUUCAUCGUUCUCUAGGUUCUUCAAUUCAUAAUCCUGAGUUCUUUAAUUAGUUUUAUUUACAUUCAAGUUAUUUAUUGGAUUCCCGCUUGCAUCAAGUGCUCUAAUCUUUGCAACAUUAGAGUAGUAAUUAAUAGAUUAGACGUGGUGUUUAGUCUUGCAAUUACCCGGAAUUGCACCCAAUCCUGCGGAUUGUUGUGGUAGCCUUAGGGUAGUGAUAGCCCUAACGGUCGACGUAUUCCACCUCGUUCGGAUUGGUGUUUGUAGGACCGUAGUCAGACCUUCCUAGCCCCCUUCUCAUCUCUUUCUGUGGUUAGUGCUGUGAUGUCCCGAAAUAAAUAAUCUUGAAGUAAUUCUUGAUUCUUAGAUCAACUAGAGAACUCUCAGGAAACUUCCUCUCUUCCCACCAAAAAUAAUCAUAUAGUUAUCCUUGGGCGAUCUUGGAUCUUAAUUAGUACACUCACAUUCCCUGUGGAAAAUCGAUACUCUGGAAUACUCCCGGGUGAAGGCUACAUCGGUAUCCGUGCGCUUGCGGAUUUUUCUGUUUGCGUUUAAAAUACCCAACAUGAAUGUAAGGUCUUUCAUCGACACAAGACUCCUUAUGUUGGAGCAGAAACCAGAUGGAACUUUUAAAUUCUUCAACCACACACACAUUGCAUGUUUCUCCUCUCUGUUCAGGUUGUAGCUUGCUGCCGGUAGGUGGUACUUCCCAUUCUCUAGGAGUAUAGGGUGAAGUUCUUUUCUGAUCUUUAAAUGUUGCAUGACCAAACGUGAAUUGAGACCUUCCUUUGUCUUGCUCUUUAUGUCUAACAAGGUUCCAAUUAUGCUUUUAAACACAUUCUUCUGAACAUGCAUACCAUCGAUCGCAUGUCGUAUGUCCAAGUCUUUCCAGUAUGAUAAGUACUUGAAGAAAAUGGACUUCUUCUUGAAUGUGUCCCCUUCAUUUGCCUUGACAACCUUUCUUGGUUUCCUAUCUUUGGUCUUCUUUCCAAAAACAAACUUCACAUUCUCAACUAUCUUGUACACUCUAUGCCCUUUACUACAACCUAAUGGAGCAGUAGAUUUUGAUUCAUCAAUAUUGUCGAAGUACUUAUUCAUCUUUUGUAAGCGGUACUUAUGACCUGCUGGUAGCCAUCUUCUGUGCCUCAUGUACACUGUCUUGUUAGAUGCAGGAAGAGACACGUGCCAUGUUCCAUCUAUGCACUCUACACAACCACCCUUUCCCUUGAACUGGCCUGAUAAUGAGAAGAGAGCAGGGUAAUCAUUAAUUGUGACAAUAAUAAUUGCUCUCAGUGUGAAUGUCUCUUUGCAGAACGCAUCGAUCAUGUCCACACCUACUUCCCAUAGUGUUUGCAUGUCUUGCAUUAAGGGCUCUAGAAAUACAUCCAUAUCAACUCCAGGUUGUGUAGCUCCAGAAAUAAGAAUGGUUAGCAAAAGAUAUUUUCUCUUUUGACACAACCAUGAAGGAAGGUUGUACAUUGUCAGGAUCACCAGCCACGUGCUGUGCGUGUUGCUCCUUUCGCCAAAUGGAUUCAUUCCGUCAAUACUCAGUGCAAACCUUAUAUUCUGUGGAUCGUCGGCAAAGUCUGGAUAUUUCUUAUCGAAAUCUUUCCAUUGCAUUGCAUCGGCUGGAUGUUGUAACUUUCCAUCAUCUUUCCUUUCAUCCGAAGCAUGCUAGGUCAUAAGUUUAGCAUCUUCAGGGUUUGCAAACAAAAACCUCAAACGAUCAACCAUGCGGAGAUACCAUAUCACCAAAGCAGGAAUUCUUCUCAAUGCAUAAUAGUCCACUUCUUCAUUGCUACUAGGCUUUGUGUUGAUAUUUGGUAACGCAAUAAGGAAAUGAUCCGCAAGCGCACGGAUAUCGGUGAGCAUUUCACCCGGGAGAUUAUCCAGAGUUAUCGUAUUUAUAUUUUUACCACUGGGAGAAAGGGUGCAUCUGACUAACCAAAUCUAUUGCUACUAUCCCUUUAGGCUACAAAGAAUGUCUCUCGAUGUGAGUGAUGUAUAGAGAAGACUGCAACCUUAGUCUCGUUCUAACCUUGGUAAGGAUGAUCUACUGUUCUAUUGGGGAGGCUCACGGAAUCUAGACAACACAAAGGAUGUUCGACCCGCACCUAUAAACCUACCAGUCCUGCUAACGAGAUGUGAUCUGCAAAGGUAACUCGGAAUUGUCACAUUCCUCGCUACUACUACGGUCCAGCUAGUCAGGGGAUAUCUAUGAGUACCCUAGCCUAAACACCACGUUUACGCUAACAAGUGAUUACUCUAAUACUCAACCGGAAGAGGAUUAAAGUAAACUCAUAAACCAAAGAACAAUAAAACAAGAACUUACUAGUAUUAGAAGUCGAAUUACUGAAGAAUCUUAGAAGCAAGCCUCGGGUUAGGAGACUUGAUCCCGUAGGUACAACUCGGAGUAGACACCGACAGGCCGGCCUUCCUCCGAUCCACACCUCCACUCUAUCUCUCUCAAUCUAGUAGAAACUAGAAGAUCUAUUUCUACUUUACAUUGGUUGCUAAGCCUAAAAAGAAAUAUUAUUUAGAGAAGAGGUUUUCCUUCGAGGGCACCCCUCAAUCUCUAUGAUAAUUUCUUGUCUCCUCCAGGGGCCAGAGGGGGUCUCCUUAUAUAGUCCUCCCCUUCUAUGCGUUUUUGGGUCGAUAGGCGAGCUGGUACUAUGUUAUUCUGGAUCCAAUAGGUCGGUGGAACGUCGUGUGCGAAGAGAGUUCGGAACGGAGUCCAGAGGGGGGCAGGCGCCCAGGUCCUCAGGGCGGGCGCCCUGGGCCUGGCCCCUUUCGGGCUCCGCUUCCUUCCCGUGGCUUCUGGAGUCUUCUAGAUGGUAGAAAAUUGCGCGGUGGGUUAAUAUCUCUAUGUAAUCCCGACAUGUGGGCCUUUCUUCCUUAUUUCCUGAUAACCCCCUGCAGAAAUAGACAAACACCAAAACUCGUGGAAUUCUGUCAGAUAAAACCCUAAGUCUAGAUGUUGAUUUCAUUUGGAUCCUUUUCUUUGUUUAUUUGAUAAUUAAAUUUGAUACUUAAGGACCGUCAACACUUUUAGCGUUUGUCUUGUUGAGUCUUUGUUUGGGUCUUCUUUUGCUUCCUCCCAGUAGAAACAGAGGCUAGAUUCUCUUCCUCCUGAUAAUCUUUGUUUGUCUUGUAUCUACUGACACAACAGUUUGGACAACUAUCUAAGUCUAUUCCCCAAACAUCAAAGAGCUCAAUCUGAAGGUUGUUGGUGAGUGGCAUUGCAUCCCUUGUAUUUAUGUUUCCGUGUCUUUGACAUGGCCCACAUCUUCUGAUAUAUUGCUUCAUGUCUUCAUACAUUGUAGGCCAGUAGAAUCCACACUGCCAGAUCUUUGAUUGUGUACGGAAUGCUCCAUAGUGACCUCCAUAUGGUGAUGAAUGACAUAUGUCGAUGAUCUUCCAUCCUUCUUCAGUGGUCACACAUCUCCUAAGUAAGCCAUCAGAGCAUACUCGGAAGAGGUAUGGCUCAUCCCAUUUAUGUGAACGACUUUCUUGAAUAAGCUUCUUCUUGUUUUCUCCUGGUGGUACAUACCCUGAAACCAUAAAAUUAACAAUAUCUGCAUACCAGGGGUCAGACUUGUUAAUCCCGUAGAGCAUGUCGUCCCGGAGUGAAUCAUUGAUGGGGGCUUCCUGUGGACUCCUAAAAUACAUUCUAGACAAGUGAUCAGCAACAGAAUUUUCUACUCCUGUCGAGGGUAUCGGUAAGGGGUACCCUCAGCGAUGCGCAUUAUGAGAUUGCCCGUACGAAGGUCGAGACCCUUAAUUCGACGCUCUAAUCUUACGUAUGCGCCGCCAUCGACGGUCGCAGCCUCGAAGACGGAAAUAGCGUCGAGCGAAUCGGUCAGGGCUCGAGCGACGACUGUCGUCGAAAACGGAAGCGGGCUCGAGCGAACCGAGAGGCGUCGGGCGCAAGGACACUGUCCGCCACCCGACGCGCGCACGCGGGCCGGAGCAUUAAAUGCUCCUGACGCUUCCCCACCUAACACACAGGUCACGGAAGGCGUGAUAGGGAGCAAGCUUCUGUCCCAUCGUUCUUUUUGCAGCCUUCCCACCGAACGACCCAGGGCGUGUCAGGACGCAGGAAACAAGGAUGGAACGUCUAAUCGGGACCCCCUCGAGACACCCAAGGUCAGCGCUCCAGAUACCAGCAUAUUACACGGCGUCCGACCCUCGACCGAACAGGGUCCCUUCCUAGGGACAAGUUGGGCGUCGACUGACUACACCACAGCUACCCCGCCGGAUCCGCCACCAUACCGUACAAGCAUGCGACCUCAGAACCAGCACAAGGCGGCUGGCAGGGCAGAACACAGGAGCACGCGUAAUCAUCACCGGGCUAUCAAGAUGGGACGGCUCGAGGCCAUGCCGUACGGAAGCCUCGAGUAGGUCAGCGCUCCAUGCGGCUAUCGAUCCCUACUCUAACAUCUACGCAUGUACCCUGUGUCUCUCCUUGGAGCUAUAAAAGGAGAGACUCAGGAAUAGAAGAACGGGACAUCACAACACAAGACACACACACUCACAUAGUAGAGCUACACACUUCAUACCACGCUUGUAUUCGCCCCUGUACAAGCACUUAGGUGCAAGAUAAUACAAACUCUCUCCCCCCCGCUGGACGUAGGGCCUUCUCUUGCCCGAACCAGGAUAAAUCUCUGUGUCUUCUUGCAUCACCAUCCGGAAAAGGAAGCACGCAUACAAAUUUACUCGUUGGUGUGACCCCCCGGGGGAAAAACACCGACAACUCCCUUUUUAUCUUUUAUUUCUAAGUCAAAUUCUUGGAGUAAUAAGAUCCAUCUAAUGAGGCGAUGUUUAGCAUCUUUUUUAGUGAGCAAAUAUUUUAGUGCACCAUGAUCAGUGUAAACAAUUAUUUUAGCUCCAACUAAAUAAGAUCUAAAUUUAUCAAUGGCAAAGACAAUAGCCAGAAGCUCUUUUUCAGUGGUUGCAUAAUUAAGUUGAGCUCCUGUCAAAGUUUUACUGGCAUAAGCAAUUGCAUGAUGCUUCUUAUUUUUAGUUUGUCCCAAUACUGCCCCCACAGCAUAAUCACUAGCAUCACACAUAAUUUCAAAAGGCAACGACCAAUCAGGGGGUUGAAUGAUUGGUGCAGAGAUGAGUGCUUUCUUUAAUAAAUUGAAAGAUGUUAGACAUGCAUCAUCAAAUUCGAAAGGAGCAUCCUUGGCUAGCAAAAGAGUAAGUGGUCUAGCAAUAAAUGAAAAAUCUUUUAUGAAUCUACGAUAAAAACCAGCACGACCAAGAAAGCUUCGAAUUCCUUUUAUGUUCACAGGUGGAGGUAGUUGUUCAAUUACUUCAAUUUUAGCUUUGUCUACCUCAAUACCUCUUUCAGACACUAGGUGUCCCAGCACUAUUCCUUCCCUAACCAUGAAAUGACAUUUUUCCCAAUUAAGGACUAAGUGCUUUUCUUCACAUCUUUGCAAAACCUUGUCAAAGUUCUCAAGACAACUAUCAAAAGUUUUUCCAUAAACAGAGAAAUCAUCCAUGAAAACUUCCAUAAUCUCUUCAAUCAUAUCAGAAAAUAUAGACAUCAUGCAUAUUUGAAAAGAAGCUGGUGCAUUACAUAACCCAAAAGACAUUCUACGGUAAGCAUAAGUUCCAUAUGGGCAUGCAAAAGUGGUUUUGCUUUGAUCAUCGGGAUGGAUCGGGAUCUGAUGAUACCCUGAAUAUCCAUCUAAGAAAUAGAAGAACGAAUGGUUCGCUAAUCGCUCUAGCAUUUCAUCUAUAAAAGGUAAAGGAAAGUGAUCCUUUCUCGUGGCUUUGUUUAGUUUUCUAUAGUCUAUGCACAUCCGCCAUCCUAUGACGGUGCGUUGCGGAAUUAGCUCGUUCUUUUCAUUCAUAAUAACAGUCAUGCCUCCCUUUUUAGGCACAACUUGCACUGGGCUUACCCACUCACUGUGCGGCACAGGAUAUAUAGUGCCUGCAUGCAGCAACUUUAUAACUUCCUUUUUAACUACCUCUCUCAUAGUGCUGUUAAGUCUACGUCGGGGUUCUCGAGAGGGUGAAACAGAAGGAUCUGUUGGAAUACGAUGGGUACAAAUCAUAGGACUGAUUCCUGUAAGAUCUUGGAGUGAGUAGCCGAAAACUGAGUGAUGUUUCUCAAGAAUGGUCAUUAAUCGCAGAGUUUGAUCCUGAGUGAGUUUAUCGCUAAUGAUUACAGGGAACUCUGGAUUAUUGUUUAGGAAAGCAUACUUAAGACCGGGUGGUAAAGUUUUAAGCUCUAUGGGGAUUCUAGGUGUUUCUGCAAACUCAUCUAAGGGUUCAGGCUCAGAAGGUUUGGUUUCUUCUUCAGUGAAGAAAGGAAUUUCGUCUUCUAAGUCUGAUUCUUCUAAAAGCUCUAGAGAUGCAACCUUUACCUCCUCCAUAGGGUCAGGCAAAAGAUAUGACUCGGCCUUAUUGUUUAAGGAGUGUGAAAUUGUUAUUGGGAAUUUAAAAGUUUUUCCAAAAGAAAUGUGUAGCUUUCCAGUAUGACCUUCAUAAAGGAGUCUUCUAAAAGGUUGUCCUAUCAACAGGUCAAAGUCCCAUGUAUCAAAGAUAUAAAAGUUCAAAUGAACCAUGGAGCCUUCUACCGUAAGAGGUAGGACAUUAAUAAUUCCAAGACUGGGGACUAAUCGUCCUGAAGAUUCCUUUAUGACCUUUGUUGUGGGGGUUAAGACAAGAUUUUUAAAUAGUUUAAGUGCAAAAGAUUCAGACAUGAUGUUGAUCCCCACAACAGGAUUAUAAAGAGCAUUAAAUCGAUCAGAAUUAUAAGCACAGCGUAUAGUUAUAGAGGGUGUGUCCAAACGGAUCACAUCAGAGGAAAGCUCUGAUUCCUCCAACCAUUCGCUACUCAUUACUGAGAUAAGCUCUCUCAAUUGAUAUUCACUUGGCAAAAAAAUGCUAAACUGGCCGUUUUAGGGUUUGUCAAUAGAAUGGUAGUUUGAAAUAUUUCCAAAAUCGGCAAAAAGAUCAGAUUCUAUAUCCAGCAUGAAGUCUGGUGGUGGAAUUUCUUCCUCUUGUGGUUCAGAACUUGGGAUAGCUAAAGUAGAUGAAGAAUUUGGCAGAGUGUUUACUUCGGCUUCAUAGGUUUCAUCAUGAAGGGUAUUAUCCAUCUCAGCUUCUAGGAUUCUAUCUAGGAUCACUCUAGCUUCAUCAGCAGGGAUGCGAAAGAAAGAAUCUCUAGACAUUGUGUGUAGCAUUUGUUUGUGAUUUUUAUGAAGACCUCGAAAAAAAUGAAAUAAAAGAACAGGGUCUUCAAGAUUAAGGUUUGGACCAGAUUCUAAAAGAUCAGAAAAACGUUUCCAGGAUUUUCCCAAAGUUUCAUUAUCUUUUGGUUUAAAAGAUAGGACUUCGAGUCUAAGGUCGGCUAUACGGUCAAGGGAAUAGAAAUCUAGACAAAAGUUGGCUUGUAAAACUCCCCAUUCACCUUGUUGUUGACUUACCUUCUGAUUGUACCAUUGUCUAGCUUCUCCCCUUAAAGAAAAAGGAAAAAGAUUCCAACGUAAAGUUUUAUCAGAAAUGCCUUCAAUGCGAAGACAAUCACAUGUUUGCUCAAAAUCUCUAAUAUGAAGGUAAGGGUUUUCGUCUUCCUUUCCCGAAAAAGAUAGGUUUUGAAUCAUGGCAAUCAACCUAGAACUUAACUUAUACUGGGAUGUUUGGAUAGGCUGUGAUGAUUCCCAUGGUAAAAGGUCAGUUACUGAAGGGAUUGCAGACUCAUGGAUCGAUUUAGAAUUUUGGUUUUCCAUAAGGUAAGGGUAAAGAAAAUAAAUAAAGAAUAUAAAAGAUAAGAAAAGAUAAAAGUAUAGAUACAAGCUAGUAGUAAGACUCAGGUUAUCUCAGCAACCGUCUUUCUCCCCAGCAACGGCGCCAGAAAUAAUUGUUGAUAUUUGGGAACGCAAUAAGGAAUUGAUCCGCAAGCGCACAGAUAUCGGUGAGCACUUCACCAAGGAGGUUAUCCAGAGUAUCGUAUUUAUUUUUUUACCACUAGGAGAAAGAGUGCAUCUGACUAACCAGUCUAUUACUACUAACCCUUUAGGCACAAAGAAUGUCUUUCGAUGUGAGUGAUAAAUAGAGAAGACUGCAACCGUAGUCUCCUUCUAACCUUGGUAAGAAUGAUCUACUGUUCUAAUGGGGAUGCUAACGGAAUCUAGACACCACAAAGGAUGUUCAACCUGCACCUAUAAACCCUAUCCUUCCUGCUAACGAGAUAUGGUCUGCAAAGGUAACUCGGAAUUGUCACGUUCCUCACUACUACCACGGUCCAGCUAGUCAGGGAAUAUCUAUGAGUACCCCAGCCUAAACACUACGUUUACGCCAGCAAUGAUUACUCUAAACUCUACGCGAAGAGAUUAAAGUAAACUCAUAAACCAUAAGAACAAUAAAACAAGAACUUACUAGAAUUUAGAAGUCGAAAUACUGAAGAAUCCUAGGAGCAAGCUUCGGGUUAGGAGAGCUUGAUCCCACAGGUACAAGCUUGGAGUAGACACCAACAGGCCGGGCUUCCUCCAAUCUACACCUCCACUCGAUCUCUCUCAAUCUAGUAGAAACUAGAAGAUCUAUUUCUACUUUACAUUGGUUGCUAAGCCUAAAAAGAAAUAUUAAUUAGAGAAGAGGUUUUCCUUCGAGGGCACCCCUCAAUCUCUAUGAUAAUUUCUUCAUGUCUUCUCCAGGGGCCAGGGGGGUCUCCUUAUAUAGUCCUCCUCCUCUAUGCGUUUUUGGGUCGGUAGGCGAGGUGGUACUAUUUUUUUUUCUUGAUCCAAUAGGUCGGUGGAAUAUCCCGUGCGAAGAGAGUCCUGAAUGCAAUCCAGCAGGGGGCGGGCGCCCAGGUCACCAGGGCGGGCGCCCUGGGCCUGGCCCCUUUCGGCCUCUGCCUUCUUCCCGUGGCUUCUGGAGUCUUCUAGAUGGUAGAAAAUCGCGCGGUGCGUUGAUAUCUCUAUGUAAUCCCGACAUGUGGGCCUUUCUUCCUUAUUUCCUGAUAACCCCCUGCAGAAACAGAUAAACAACAAAACUCGUGGAAUUCUGUCAGAUCAAACCCUAAUUCUAGGUGUUGGUUGCAUAUUGGUCCUUUCUCUUGUUUAUUUGAUAAUUAAAAUUAAUACUUAAGAACCGUCAACAGCCCUCAGCUUUACAAAUUGCUUGAGGUUGAAAUUUGGAGUCUCGUUUUACUUGACAAAUUUAUUGUACAAAGUCUUCUUCCAAUUCUGGAACAGUACUACCAUCUUCUUCAUAGUCCAGUCAUAAAUUCGCACCUUCAACUCAUCAUCGUUGGUGUCGAAGGUGAAAACAUCUGUGACGGCUUUCCAAACUAACUCCUUGUCACGAUCGGAGACAAAACUGAUCUCAGGAGCACCUCGCUUCUCUCUCCAUUCACGAGCACUAAUCGGUAUUUGAUCUCUCACAAGAUAUCCACAGUGACUAACAUAUUUAUUUGCAUGUUCACCAAGUGGUCUCCCUGUAGCUAUCUCAAACUCAGAGAUUACAUAGCGGCCCUCCAACGGCUUCUUUGGCCCUCGUGGAGGUACGCUUCUCUCCGUAGAGGUCGAUCCAGAAGGCUACACGUAGAUAUAGAAACAAAAAUACUAAAUUAAUAACCAAAUAAGUCUAAAACAUAAUGUAAGAGAUGCAUUAAUUAUAUAUGUUUACAUUUACAUACCUCGCCAGUAUUUUCUUCUUGUUGCACGACAAGUUGUUGCUCAGGCGCAUUGCCCUGUUGCUCAGGGGCAUUGCCCUCUUGUUGCUCAGUCGGAUUGCCUUGCAUGAUCUCGUUGUAAUCAGUAAAGUACUGACUACCGUCGUCGAUCAUAUUUUGAAUGGCAUCUUCCAUAUAUUCAGCAUCAUCGUGAGGACGGUCUGCCAUUUCUAUGUCUGCAACCAUAUAUAUAUAUAUACAUAAUAAAGAAAUACACUAGAAUAAUAUAAGUGCUAGAGUGCUCCAAACUAAAAAAUAAUACUAAAAAAUAAUACAAACAAUAACACUAGAAUAAUAUAAGUGCUAGAGUGCUCCAAACUAAAAAAUAAUACUAAAAAAACAAUACUGACAAUAACACUAGAAUAAUAUACUAGCACAAUAUAUUUCAUAACAAUUCAAAACACUACAAUUCAUAAUAUACAAGAAUAAUAUACUAAAAAGUCUUUUAAGCCAAGUAAUAUACUAGAAUAAUAUACUAAAAAUAUUACUAAAAAAUAAUACUAGAAUAAUAGUAUAAACAAGAAUAGUAUAUGUUUUAAGCCAAGUAAUACACUUGCACCUAGAAUAAUAUACUAAAAAAAAUUAAUACUACAAAAUGAUACAAGAAUAAUAUGAGUGUUAGAGUGCUUCAAACUAAAAAAUAAUACUUAAAAAAAUAAUACGGACAAUAACACUAGAAUAAUAUACUAGCACAAUAUAUUUCAUAACAAUUCAAAACACUACAAUUCAUAAUAUACUAGAAUAACAUACUAAAAAGUCUUUUAAGCCAUGUACUAGAAUAAUAUACUAAAAAAAUUAAUACUACUACAAAAUGAUACAAGAAUAAUAUAAGUGCAUAUAUAUACAUAAUGAUACAAAAUAAUAGUAUAUAAACUGUUGGUAUAUAUAAAAUAUAAGUGCAUAUAUAAUGAUACAAAAUAAUUGUACAUAAGUGCAUAUAAAAUAAUAGUAUAUAUACAUAAUGAUACAAAAUAAUAGUAUAAAAUAAUGAUACAAGAACAAAAUGAUACAAAAUGAUACAAGAAUAAUAGUAUAUAUAUACAUUCAUAUAUAUAUAUAUAUAUAAUUUUAGUCUAUAUAUAUAAACUGUUGGCAUUCAUGCAUAUAUAUAGAUCGAUGAAUAUACGUAGGAUCGUGGCGGGGAGCGUUCGUCGAAGGAGAUGGCGCACUGCGGCCGGCUCUGGUGGAGAUAGCCGCUGCGGCGGUGCUGGAGACGAACGGGCGGCGCUGGAGACGAACAUCGGCGCUGGGGAGACGAACGGGCGGCGCUGGACGGCGGCGGCGGUGCUCUCUGCUCGACGAAGACGAAGGCAACUUCCCAGAUCCAGGGCGCCUGGGGCUUAUAUAGGGCGGUCCCUUUAGCACCGGUCCGUGGCUGGAACCGAUGCUAAAGGGCCUUUAACACCGGCUAGUAACACGCGCCGGUGUUAAAGGGUGACCCUUUAACACCGGCGCGUGUUACCAGCCGGUGACCCUUUAACACCGGCGCGUGUUAGCAGCCGGUGCUAAAGGGGCCCUUUAGCACCGGUUCCAGCUACGAAUCGAUGCUAAAGGGACCGGCGUAUGCUAGGGCGGGCUCCUGAAAUUUUCAGAACCCUUUAGCACCGGUUCGCACUACGGGCCGGUUCUGGCCCUGUUUUUUAGUUUAGGGUUUUUCAAUUGUUUAUAUAUACAGUUUAUAUUAUAAAUUGUAUAGUAAAUUAAAUAUUUUGUAUAAUAUUUUUUAAACAGUGACAUAUAUUGUAAUUUUUUUUAACGUACAUAUGAAAAAUUUUAGCCUUAAAUAUCUUGCUGUAUUUUUAUAAUUUGCAAUAAUUUUGUAAGAAAUGUUUAGUAUUUUGUUAAUGCAAAAAUAUAUUAUUCCAAUAAAUUUACAAAAACUAUAUCCAAUCAACUGGAAAUCUAUUUUCACAUCAUAUUGACGUUAAACUUUUUAUUUUUGUUAUUUAUUACUCGGAAUGCUAGUAGGGUAUAGUUUUCAUCAAAUAAAAAAAUCUAUUUAUCAUAUAAAAAUAUAUAUCUUGAUGAACACACCCCCGAACCCUAGAUGGUCCCAAAUGGAAAAGUCAUGAAUACAAUGUUUAUUGCACUCAUCAAGUUCUACAUUUUGUCUAAUGGUCAACUUUUCAUUUGGAAAAAGUUGGAACCACUGAAUUUUGAAUUUUCAGAGAAUUCAUAGCCACGCAGCGGUUUCGGAACCCUAGAUGGUCUCGAAUGGAAAAGUCAUGAAUACCAAUAUUGUUCCACUCAUCAAAAUCUACAUUUCUUAUAUAUAUACCAUUUUAGCAUUUGAGAAAGUUUUGGGAAGGUGUAGUUGAAAAUCCACAAUUGACACAUAUAGUUUCAUAUAGUUUGUGUGAGAUUCAAGAUUUGGUGGGUAUUGUUAACUUAAACUUUCUCAAAUGGAAAAGUUGUGUAUAUAAAAAGUUUAGAUCUUGAUGAUAUCUAACAACUUGGUAUUCAAAAGUUUUUCAUUUUAAGUAAUUUAGUUUAUCAUUUGACCAAGUUUCACCAAAACUCGUCUUGGAUUUUAAAGAAAUGUGCUUAGGAUCGGCUCAAAAAUAUCCAAAUGGAAAAUGGACAAUAUAUAAAAUGUAGAUCUUGAUGAUAUCUAACAACUUUAUAUUCAAAUUUUUUCAUUUGAAGUCAUCAAAUGGGCCAUUUCGUCAAGUUUGACCAAAGUCAAAGCAUUGGUUUUUACAAAAACACCCUUUGACCGAACCAUAGAUGGUCCAAAAUGGAAAAGUCAUGAAUACAAAGUUUGUUACACUCAUCAAGUUCUACAUUUUGUCUAAUGGUCAACUUUCCAUUUGGAAAAGUUUGAACCACUGAAUUUUGAAUUUUCAGAUAAUUCAUAGCCACGCAGUUCUACAAAGUCAUGAAUACCAAUAUUAAACAUGACUUUAUAGUUUGUUACACUCAUCAAAAUUCACAAUUCUCAAAUAUAGUUUCAUACAAAGUUUGUUACAAGACAUACUAUUAAACAUGACUUUAUGUUAAGCCGACACAACAGUGAACUUCUUCUUGACGUAUGACCCUUGGUUAUGAUCCUGCCGUAACCAUGGAGUAUCCUCAUUAUUUAAUAAAAUGCUUGGGUCUUUAUUGACUAUGAAGGGCGGAGUUCGAUCAUCCCUUUCGUAAUCGCCUGAGAUGUCUGACUUGUCCUCAAUUUCGACAAUGUUUCUUUUCCCAGAAAGGACAAUGUGGCGCUUUGGCUCAUUGAUGAUUGAGUGGUCAUCAUUUUUUCCUCUCUUUGGUUUCGUAGACAUAUCUUUGACAUUGAACACCUGACUCACGUCUGCAGCAAGGACGAAUGGUUCAUCUUUGAACGCACUAUUUUUAAGGUCCACGGUUGUCAUCCCAUACUCUUUGUCGACUGUUACACCACCUCCGGUCAUCUUCACCCAUUGGCACCGGAACAAAAAACUUUAAAAUUAGUUGCAUAGACUAGUUCCCAUAUGUCUUCUAUGCGUCCAUAAUUUGUUUGUCUGUUCCCAUUUGGAUCCGUGGCAUCCACGCGUACACCACUAUUUUGGUUGGUGCUCCUUUUGUCUUAGCCAACUGUGUAAAAUGUGUUACCAUUUAUCUCGUACCCUUUGUACGUGAGGACAUGCCAUGAUGGUUGCCUGGCCAACAAAUAAAGCUGCUCAUCAAUGUUUUCAUCACCUUGACAUUUUUUGCGCAACCAAUCGCCAAAAGUUUCCAUAUGCUGAUGCAUUAUCCAAGCUUCAUUAUUCCUAGGCCACUAGGACCAUAGGAAAUCUUUGUGUACCUCAACAUAUGGUUCCUCCAAUGAGGAGUUCUGGAGAACUGUGUAGUGUGCUUUAUUGAAGUAAUCGUCUCCCGUACCAAUAUAUGUUUUCUUCCCAAGUGUUCCCUUUCCUCUGAGUCUGCCCUCGUGUCGAGAUUCAGGAAUGCCAAUUAGGUCAAGGUCUGGAAUAAAGUCAACACAGAACUCUAUGACCUCCUCUGUUCCGUAGCCCUUGGCAAUGCUUCCUUCUGGCCGGGAACGACUAUGGACAUAUUUCUUUAGGACACCCAUGAAUCUCUCGAAGGGGAACAUGUUGUGUAGGAACACAGGACCGAGAAUACGAAUCUCUUUGAUCAGAUGAACUAGGAGGUGUGUCAUGAUAUCGAAGAAGGAUGGAGGGAACACCAACUCAAAGCUGACGAGACAUUGAAUGACAUCAUUCUGCAGAGUAGCUAGUUGCUCUGGAUUGAUUGCCUUCUGAGAAAUUGCAUUGAGGAAUGCACAUAGUUUUACGGUGGCUAGACGUACGUGUGGAGGUAAAAUUCCUCUUAAGACCACCGGCAACAAUUGCGUCAUUAGAACGUGACAGUCAUGGGACUUCAAGUUUAGGAAUUUCUUCUCUGGCACAUUGAUUAUUCCCUUGAUAUUGGAAGAGAAUCCAGAUGGGACCUUGAUGCUGCUAAGACAUUCAAACAUGCUUUCCUUCUCUUCUUUGCUCAGAGUGUAGCUAGCAGGGCUUAAGUAAUGACGUCCAUCAUCUGUCUUUUCUAGAUGCAGGUUGUCUCGUUCUUUCAUGCGCUGCAAGUCUUGUCGUGCUUCAAGUGAAUCCUUAGACUUCCCAUAGACACCCAUGAAUCCAAGCAAGUUCACACAAAGAUUCUUUGUCAGAUGCAUCACGUCGAUCGCGUUGCGGACCUCUAGGACAUUCCAGUAAGGUAGCUCCCAAAAUAUGGAUUUCUUCUUCCACAUGGGUACGUGUCCCUUAGCAUCCUUGGGAAUAGGUUCGCUGCCUCAUCCCUUUCCAAAUACCACUUUUAUAUCCUUGACCAUUUCGAGUACAUCAUCCCCGAUUCGAUUGAGAGGCUUGGUCCGGUGGUCUGCCUUGCCUUUAAAAUACUUGCCUUUCUUUCGUACUGGGUGGUUCACAAGAAGAAACUGACGGUGGCCAAGGUACAUGACCUUUUGACAUUUUUUAAAAAAUACACAGUCAAGAUCUUCAUAACAAUGUGUGCAUGCAUUAUAUCCCUUGUUUGACUGGCCUGAACGAUUACUCAGAGCUGGCCAAUCAUUGAUUGUUACAAACAGCAAUGCUCGCAGGUCAAAGUGCUCUUGUUUGUACUCAUCCCACACGUGAACUCCUGGUUUGCUCCAUAAAAGUUGAAGUUCCUCAACUAAUGGCCUCAGGUGGACAUCUAUGUCAUUGCCAGGUUGCUUCGGUCCUUGUAUAAGCACCAGCAUCAUAAUAAACUUCCGCUUCAUGCAUAGCCAUGGAGGAAGGUUGUAGAUACAUAGAGUAACUGGCCAAGUGCUGUGACUACUGCUCUGCUCACCGAAAGGAUUCAAACCAUCUAUACUUAAGGCGAACCACAAGAUUCUAGCAUAAUCUGCAAAAUCUGGGAAUUCUCUGUCUAACGCUCUCCACUGGGAUCCAUCGGCAGGGUGUCUCAGCAUAUUGUCUAUCUUACGGUCUUCUUUAUGCCACCGCAACAACUUUGCAUUGUCCUUAUUUCUGAACAGAUGUUUUAAUCGUGGUAUUAUCGGAGCAUACCACAUAACCUUGGCAGGAAUUUUCUUCCUAUGACGUUCUUCACCCUCAGCAUCGCCAGGAUCAUCUCGCCUAAUCUUAUACCGUGAUGCCUUACAUACUGGACAUGCAUCCAAAUUCUCGUAUUCCUCCCCACGGUAGAGGAUGCAGUCAUUAGGACAUGCGUGUAUCUUCUGGAUUUCUAAUCCCAAAGGGCAGACAACCUGUUUUGCUUCAUACGUAGUGGUGGGCAAUUCGUUGCCUUUCGGAAGCAUCUUUUUUAUGAUCUACAAUAACUUCCCAAAUGCCUUGUCAAAUGUACCAUUCUUUGCCUUCCAUUGCAGCAAUUCCUGUGUGGUACCCAACUUUUUUUGCCCCUCUUCAGCGGUGGGAUAUAGCGAUUUCCUAUGGUCCUCUAGCAUGUGCUCGAACAUGACUUUCUCUUUAUCACUUUCACAUUCUCUUUGUGCAUCACGGAUGGCAUCACCAAAAGAAUCAUCGCCCAGAUCAUCUUCUGCCGCUACCUCUUCUUCAUUAUCUCUCCCCAUUGCAACAUCAUUGAAGCUACCGUACUGAGCAAUAAUAUUGGCAUGGUCCAAUUCUUCUUCUUCUUCUUUACCUUCAUCCAUUAUAAUCCUGCUUUCUCCAUGUUUGCUCCAACAAAUAUAGUUUGGUACGAAACCAGACUUUAAUAAGUGCGAAUGAAUAGUUCUCGAGUUAGAAUAUUCCGUCAAAUUCUUGCACACGGCACAUGGACAACACAUGAAACCGUCCCUCUUAUUUGUCUCGGCCACACUUAAGAAAUAGUGCACGCCAUUAAUAAACUCUUCGGAGCGCCGAUCGGCAUUAUACAUCCAAUUACGUGUUACCAUCUACAUAAACAUAACAUAUAUAUUAUAAAAACCAUGCACACAUAUUGUUUCUCAUCUUAUUGCACAACAUGCCUAAGAUACAUAGUUGAUUAAUUCAGGAAAGCUUGGCUACAACAAAUACAAUCGCAACUAGCACUAAAAAACCAAAACUAAAAUGCAGAUAAGCAACAUAAUUAGUUCGCGUCCGAUCCCAACUAUAAUAGAUAGAACAUUCGCUUGAUCAAUAUCAUUGAACUCCUUUCGUCGACUCACUAUCUCACCACCUUCAGCCUCAACCACCUGUGCAAAAAAUUUCUUAACGUGUUCAAUGUAUUCUUCCUCCCGGUACCAACAUGUACAUCCGCCGGUACCGUCCCACUGAAACUAAAAGAGAGAAUCAAAAGUUUAAUUAAUAUCAUUUUAAAAAAUAUGCACAUAUGUCUGGAAAUAACUCACAUUGCGAUCCGGACACUUGUAGAAUAUACGACCCUUGUUUACUCCCUCUUUCGACAAUUUGUACUCCAUCACAAUCUUCUGCCCACACUUGCCACAAGUAAUGAGAGGGAGUUCCGGCCGGUAUCGCUUUUGAACCUGUUGAGAGACCGAAGACCCGGUCACGGUUGCCAUCUACUAUCCAUACUCAAUUUUUAAACAACUAUAAAUUCCACAUUUACUAGUAAACAUGUAUGAUUAAAGAAGAACCUAAUAAUAUCCUUUAUUUGUCUAGUUACUUCAACAAAUCUUCUAAAUUAUACAAUGGACAUUAUGUAGUAAUAAAAAUAAAUCAAGUGAUAUUAACAAACCAAUUAAUUUAAACUAUCCUACUUUCUAAGAUCAUAAAAAGAUACUAUAAUUCAUUCUUGCAAACUACAUUAAUACUAGGUCAACCAUGAAAUAUGAUAUAUAUAUAUGGAUACUAAUUCAUGUGAAUGAUUCAAAAUAACAAAGUGGAUUUGAGCUAAAAAUGAUGAGAACAUCACAAGUCAAAAACAACAUGAAAAAGACAAGAAAUGCUGAAGUUAGUCACCUCCAAGCACGAAGAGACGAUGACGGAAUCGAAGAAGAUCAACUAUGGGCGUUGGAAAUGAAGAACAAAUGAAGAAGAAGCAAGAAGAAGCUCCAAGAACAGCAAUGGUGCUCUCGGUUUCAAAUGGGCAGAGGGGAGGAGGGGGCGGGCCUAUAAACCGGAGCUUUAGCACCGGUUCACGACAAAAACCGGUGCUAAAGGGUCACCCUUUAGAACUGGUUUGUGUGCCAAACCGGUGCUAAAGGGUUUGCCUCGGCCCAUGGCACUGGCCGGUGCCAAAGGGGACCCUUUAGCACCGGUUGGUAACACGAACCGGUGCUAAAGGGUCCCUGCCCCGACAGCACCUGUCAGUAGCCGUUGGGCAGGACCCUUUAGCACCGGUUCGUGUUACGAACCGGUGUUAAAGAGGCCUUUAACACGGGCCGCAAAAAGGCCGAGGUUUUUGGCCAUUUUAGAUAUCGAUCAAUGCCUGUGAGGUCCAUCAGUUUGUGUAGUCAUGGCUCCGGCCAAAGUGUUGGCACUGACCAACGUCUGCACCAGGAUCAACCCAAGUCUCUACCGGCCGGGACGAGCGCGCCAUCCCCUACAUCCCAUCUCCCUGCAUGCAUGCACGCACACAAACGUGUGGCACCGUGCGAGCAAGCAGAGCAGUCGGGAGGGCAUGCCAUCUUGCUAGCUUGAUGAUGAUGUGAUGACUACACGAUGACAUCACUUGAGUUUUGUUGACGUUUUUCUUUAAAAAACAAUUCUAGAAAUACAAAGUGAGUACACAAGCUUGAAUUGACCAUAUAAUCUCCGUUUUAAUUCCGUUUUGAUCCGUUCAAGUUGUGUUAGACUCAUAGCAAUGUAAUCUACGUGUUAGUGCUAGUGUUUCCAUGUCACAUGUUUUCCAUAUAUUGCUAAAUAUUUAAUUUCUUAAUAUGAUUUUAGUUAGUUUUAUAAUUAAAAAAUAAUAUAGGUUUCUUUGUAAUUAUAUGAGCAUGAAUUUAGCUAAUAUAGCAACUUGAAUAUGUUUUAAUUAUAUGUUGCUUAGACAAUCACGAUAUAUACCAUAAAACUUAUUUCAAUUUAAGUUUAACCGGCAUAAACAAUAUAUGUAUGGAUAAAAUAUGAUCAUCUCCAACAGGUAUCAUGUAUAAUUUGAAUAGAUAUUCUCAAACGUUCUUUGAAAUGUUAAAGUUUACUAUGAUUAAAAUGAUGCGUGCAUGCUUAUAUUUAAAAUAUGAUUAUUGAUUAUAUAAUAGACAUGUUCAUAAGUAAAAUAUAACUUGACUAAUCUGAAUUAGUAGGUUACACAUGAUUUCUCUUAAUUUAAACAUAUUAAAAUCAUAGUUGUUUCUUUUUAAUGACAUUUUUGAUUGACGCGUUGUUCUUAGUUGUUUCUAAUUGUUGCUUGUAUGUUUGUUGGUGUGCUUGGUUGCUGCGAUGUGCGAGUAGACAAGAACCACGCUUGUGAGUGUUUAAGAUGAGAAGAUGAUGACCAAAAGCUGAUGGUGUGAGAAUUGAGCAAGUGCUUAAGGCAAGUAUAACUUGGGACUAUCCUCGUUACCUACACACUUUUAAUACAUAUAUUAUAUGCAUGUGUCCACCUUGAUGACCUUAGCAAAAUCAUAGAUGAUUGUUAUCCUGAAUUCCUUGUUACCUAUUUGGAUAUGCAUUUGGGUAGUUCUUGCUAGUGCUUGACUAUAAUCCAUGAUCUUGUAACAUGAAUAUUUGGAUAUACAAUAAACAAUAAAAUAAGCUUUCUAGCAACUUGAAUAUAAAGGGUGGAAAGAACUCUAGCUUCUGCUAGAUUGAUCUUGACCCUCCAUAAGGACAUAUCCCUUGGCAAAAGCUGGGACAACUCGUACAACCAUGAGGGCUAUAUGGCUCUUGCUUUAGCUCAGUAUGAAGACCUUUUCUAGCUUGUUAGAGGUUACUCGAAAGGGCGGAGGGGCUGAACCGACACGAGUAUAGUGCGAGCCCCUGUCCCUAUGUGUAUAGGCUGCGCGUCAUUGUGCCAUUCGGAAGGGGGGUAUCUGUAUCUGCUCGCGAAGGAAACCUUGCGGCCCUAACAUGUUAGACGAUCUUUUGAAAGGCUUCAUAGUGAUCCCUGCCGACCUCCCUAGGAAGGGGGUUAAGAGACUAGCUACCUCGGGCGAAAGGGUAAAUCAUGAGUCAUGGAUAAAGAUGUACAACCUCUGCAGAGUGUGAAAUCUGGUAUACUAGCCGUGCCCACGGAUACAGGCGGCCCAGAAAACUGACGGAAUAGAUGGACACUGAUGAACAUAAUUAAUGAUGAUAAAUAAUGGUUUAUUAUGUUGUCCAUAUGUGAUAUUCUUAAUUCUUGUAUACAUUGAUCAUGUGGUUAUGGGAUUUAAUUAUGCUACCUUGACAUUUCUUAUCUAAAUAUAAACUUGCUAUCUACAUAUAAAAGCUAAAUGCAAUAAAACCAGUGUCAGCUUAUUGAGCCUCAUGAACCCCUGGUUAUACUUGUUGGGUACGACAUGUGCUCACUCUUGCUAUUUCCCACCACUCCAGUUUACUAGUAAGAGUGGAUCAGAAGAGCAAUGGAGUCACGAAGGACAUUCUUCGGAUACAAGAAGUGCUAGGCAUAUGUUACCCCCAGUCAACCGUCCCUGUGAAGAUUGAGCCUGAAGUUUAUUUACCGUUCCGCGAUACUCUGAUGUAAGUGUUAAUUAUAAGUAUGUUUCCGCUAUAUAACAUUGUUUCUGAUACUGUUUCUUUCUGUUGUUAUAUGUGUGGACUUCGUGGGCACAUAUAUAGCUAGCCUGGUUUUGUUCUUUAAAACCGGGUGUGACAGAGUGGUAUCAGAGCAGUGUUGACUGUAGGACGUAUGCCUAGGUAGCACUGGUCGAUUUGAAAAGUCUAAUUUGCUACAAAACUAUUUUCUUAUCCCUUGACUCUUUGACUUUGAUUAUUUCUCAAUCCUUGUCUCGUUGUAUCCCCUCCUUGGUAGCUUCCUUUGAGCUAUUACUGCUUACUCCCUUGAUUUUUGUUUUAUAUAGUUUUACAAAAAGUUUUCUGAUCCUACCUCAUUCAAAAGUUGGAUGGCCUUUCAUCAUCUCUAAUCUUCCCUUUAGGAUGACCACCAUUGUUGAAGAAACACGUGUAGUAUCGAUGUGUGUUGUGUGCUUGUCUUGUUUGGUGUGUUGCUUACAUGUCGUCUCUGUUCUUGUGUUUUGAAGGAGGCCCACAAGGUAUUGUCUUGAGAAAUAGCUCAAUCUUGUUAAGUGGGGUAGCGUCCGCUACCGUCAUUUAAGUAUCUCAAGUUUCAAGAUAUGACCUAAUGAUCAAUCUUAUUCUUCUUGCAUAUCUCUUUCUUGUAUACAAAAUUUUAUCUUUUCCAUUAUCAAUCUUCAACUUCUUAUGCUUCUUUGUAAGUCUUUACCUCUUGAUCAAUUACCCUACAAUAUAACAACCUAAAGAUCAACUUCACCUUUCCUCUGCACUUUUCUUGUCAUCGAUCUGUGUGUUUCUUAAGAACCAAUCUUUGACAUCCCUGUCAACUUUUUCUAAUCCUUAAUUCCUAAAUCAUGUCCUGUCAAAAGUCUCGAAACAACCUUGAUGAUCUACUUUAUCAUGAUCUAUAGUCUCUCUAGAUCUCGGGACGAGAUUCAUGUGAAGUGGGGUAGAUUGUCACACCCCAAAAUUUUUAAUUUUGGGUUGUGCAUAGAAAACACUAAACAAAUAUAAAAUGAAUUUAAUAUUUGUAUAACAUUUGCCAAGUUUAGUUGAGUUAGUGCGAAUUAGUUCUAGAAAAAAUAUUAAUUUCCAAAUUGUUUUGAAUGAUGUGAUAUUUGCUUGCUACUUGACUUUGUGUUUGAGUGUAUAGAGUUUUCAAAAUACGUUUAGAAAACAUCACCCUUGCUAAUCCUUCGCCAGUAGAUUUGUUCGAUCUUAGGCUUUCAAUUUGCUGCUUGCACUUCUUUCAUUAACGUGAUGAUAUAAUAUAGUAUAAAAUAAUGAUCCAUUAAAGGAAGUAAUCUACUGCUCCUAAUUUUCUUCCUUAUUUAAUUAGACGUUGGUUUUCUUCUAGCUGAGUAGUUUCCUUUCCUUGGAUCGUGGAUGAUCUCUCCCUAUCCAAGAUGUAGGACGUGCACUACAAGGACUCCAUCUCAAUCUCUAUAUGACUACGACGUUUGCCCUAUGACCAUAUCUAGUUAUAUUAAUUGAAAGCCUAGGCCGUCGUUUCUUUUCUAUACCCUAAAACCAAGCCAAUCAAUCAUGAUCCAGCCGCCGCCGCCGCCGUUGUGCUCGCCGUCUGUGGCUCCGCUGCUGCCCAGCACGAUAUACAACUUUUCAUAACAAAGUAGCCGCUGCCGAACGCCGACGCUGAAUGUAUCCCCGUCGUCAAGCUCCACUUUCUGCUCUCCGUAUUAAGGCUUCGAAGCUGAAGCUCCGCCGUCGCAACGAACUGCACGACCUUGUUGUCCGUUCUCUACCGACGAGAACCAUAGGUGAGGUCUGCUUCAUCGGCUCUGUCACCCACCAGGGCCAUCAGUUUUGAAAGAGCAUCUAGGCCCCUAGUGGUUUCGGUGAUUAAUGACAUUGUUGGUUACUAUGACUAAUGUGUGUUUUGCAGAGGCAAAGUCAUAGGUAAGGUCAUGAAAAAUAGGUACUCGAUGGACAGGGACGUACAUGCCAACUUAAUAGUGGAAAUCGUUUCGGUUUUCAAAGGAUGGAAGGACAUCGUCGAGACUAGACUAGGUCUAAGUGCCAUAUGGUGAAGAAGGGCACUUAGAGUAGUUUAGGACAUUGUUUUCCUUUGACCGUACUAUUAAGAGGGGCUUUGAUCUAGUAGCUUGACUUAGGCAAGGCUUUAGGUUUAGGUGUGGUGCACACUUGGUAAACCUAGCACUAGGCAGCUCAGAGAUAGUCCUAAGAUCGAGAGGAACCAACUUCGUUUUGGAGCGAUCGCGUUUCGACGAAGUUUGGGUGCCCAAAGGGGCACCGGACGCUCUAUGAGUGCGUCCGGUGAGGUCCUUAGCCAUUAGAACAGUGCCGUGCUUAGGGUUAGGCACCGGACGCUAGCACCGGACGCACCGGGUAGCGUCCGGUCCCUUACCCAGGGAGCUUGCAAAGUUCCCCUGAGCACCGUACGCUAGCACCGGACGCACCGGGUAGCGUCCGGUCCCAUGCGCAGGGAGCUUGUAAUGUUUUCUCGAGCACCGGACAGUGCACUGGACGCUGAGAGUUUAGCGUCCGGUGACCUGUCAGAGUAAAGCGCAGGUAGCCGUUAUGUCACACCGGACGCUCGGUGCAGUGCGUCCGGUGCAACAUAAUGUGCGUCCGGUGACCCCGUUUUCUGUGAAAAACGGUUGGCCGAGCUUUGGACUUGGUGGAUAGUAUUUAUACUCCUCCACCUCGUCCAUGAGACCUCUCUUGCCCAUUUGAACAUCAGAGAACCUUGUUGUGGAGCAAGAGAGUUGCAAGAGCUUAGAGAGGAUUGAGAUUUGAGUAAAUUCUUAAGAGAAUCCUCAUCUAGUGAGUUCCAAGAGUCAAGUGUGCUUCCACCCCUCUCUAGUGCCUUGUUUGGGUCAAGUGAGAGUUCUUUGCUUGUUACUCUUGGUGAUCGCCAUCACCUAGACGGUUCAGUGGUGAUUGGAGGCACGAAGAUCACCCGGAGUUCUUGUGGGUGGCUCGUGUCAAGCUUGUGAGCGGUUUUGGGCGAUUCACCGUGACGGAGUGUCGAAGAAUCAGCCCGUAGAGAGCACUUGGUCCUUGCGCGGACCAAGGGGGAGCAAGACCCUUGCGCGGGUGCUCCAACGAGGACUAGUGGAGAGUGGCGACUCUCCGAUACCUCGGCAAAACAUCGCCGAGCACCUUCUUCCACUACUCCUUUACUUUCUAGCAUUUACUUUGUGCUUUUACAUUCUUAGAAAUGUCAUGCUAGAAUAGGAUUGGAACGAGGUUGCAAAACUUUUAUCCGGUAGCUCUCUAAGUCACACAAGGCACAAGGGGUUGAAUUGGAGCUUAUAGGUUGCUUAAAUUUUUAGAGAAGCCCAAUUCACCCCCCCUCUUGGGCAUCUUGAUCCUUUCAAUUGGUAUCGGAGCCUAGUGCUCAUUAUUUAGGCUUCACCGCCUAGAGAAAGAUGUCUAACGGGGAUGGACCGCCACCCAUGUUCGAUGGGGAUGACUUCCCGUAUUGGAAAAUACGGAUGGAGUCAUACCUUGAGGCAUGCGAUGUAAAGUGCCUAAAACCCGCGGCCGAAGGGUUUGCCCCUCCGGAAAGAGCCACCGCUCUUACUCCACAAGAGCAAGAGAACAAGAAGUGGAAUGCAAAGGCCAAAAACCACAUCUUUAGAGGUCUUUGCAAAGAGGUGUUCAACCGUGUUCGGAGCCACAAAACCGCCAAUGAACUUUGGAAGGAACUUUGUGCGCUCCAUGAGGGAACUAAGAGUGAACGCGAGGAACGCUAUCACCUAGUGAUGAACAAGCUUAAUACUUUUGAAAUGCUUCCUAAAGAAAAUGCUAAUGAAAUGUAUUCUCGCUUGAAUGUCAUUGUAGAGGAGCUAAAUGGACUUGGGCUUAGACAAAUGAGUACGGCGGAUGUAGCAAGGAAGAUACUAUGUGUGCUUCCCAUUGAGAAAUAUGGGCACAUAGUAACCGUGCUUCAUCAAGGCGAUCUUUCCACCGCUACACCAACCACCAUAUUGGGGAAGAUCAAUGCUCAUGAGAUGUACAUGCACAUGAACCCUCAAGAUGGCUCCUCGUCGGCCAAGAAAGAAAAGAAGGACUUGGCUCUCAAAGCUUCUCAAAAGGGCAAAGCCAAGAAGAUUGAAGUUGAGUCAUCAACUUCAAGUGAUGAUGAUGCAUCUAUUGCCCUCUUGGUGAGAAGAACCACAAAGAUGUUGAAGAAGCUCAACAAAAAUGGAGUCAACUUUGACUCCAAGAAGAAGAAGUUCUUCACAAGUAGCAAGAGGAAGCCCAUCUCCGAGAUGGAUUGCUACAAUUGUGGUGAGCUUGGUCAUCUUGCCCAUCAAUGUCCAAAGCCCAAGAAGGACAAGUACAAGAAGAAGAACAAAGAGCAAGAUGAUUCAAGUGAUGAUGAGAAGAAUGACAAGAAGAAAGGUGGCAAGAAGAAGGAGCACUACAAGAAGAAGAAUGGCAAGGCUUAUAUUGUUGGUGAUUGGCUCACCGACAUUGAAAGCUCAAGUGGUGACUCCUCCGAAAAUGAAAGUGAUGAUGAGAAGGUUGCCGCCAUCGCCAUCGAUGCUCCAUCACCAUCAUCUUCACCACCAUCUACAUCCUCUACACACCUAUGCCUUAUGGCCAAAGGUGACCGGAAGGUACAAAGUGAGGAUGAGAGUAGUGAAAGUGAUAGUGAAUAUGAAUCACCUUCUUAUGAUGAACUUGUAAAAUUGCUAAAUAAGUACACUAAAGUCAUAAGAAAAUCUAGAAGUGAAAAUGAAAAGCUUGAACUCGAAAAUGAAACACUUCUAGCAAAGCUUAAGUCUAGUGAUGAGCUUAGAGACCAAAAUAAGAUCAUGACCACUAAGCUCAAGGAGCUCAAACUCUCUCUUAAAGAGCUCAAAGAAAAACAUGAUAAACUUGAGAGUGUUCAUGAUGAGCUUAUCACUAGAUAUAGAGCAAUGAAAGAAGAACUAACAACUCUAAAAGCAAACUAUGAAAACCUUGAGAUUGCUUAUGAACUUGCAAUUGAUGAAACACAUGUUGCUACUAACAAUGUUGCUAAGCUUAAUGUAGCUACAUCUUGUGAUGACUUACUUGUGGAGAGCACAAGCAAAUGUGUUGAUUGCAAGGGCAAGAAAGUGGUAGUGGCCGAGAGUUAUGAGGACACUAUCAAGCUCAAGGAUGAGAUUGUCAUGCUCAAGAAAGAAUUGCAAGAACAAGUCAAGCACAAGACAAUUGUGAUUGAGUCACUUGAUCAAGACAAGAAGCUUGCAUAUGAGAACAAGUUACUCAAGGAAGAAAAUCAAUAUCUCAAGCUUGGCUUGAUGUAUGAUAAGCAAGAAGAAGAUGAGACAUUCAUCUUGGAUGAGUUAGCUAGCAACAAUGACCCAAUCAUCAAGAAGCUAACUCAAGAGAACAACAAGCUCAAGAAAGAGAAGGAACACCUAACUAUGGGGUUAGCAAAGUUCACAAAGGGGAAGGACCUUCAAAGUGAGCUUUUCAUGAACACCGUCAUGAAGAUGGACAAGAGUGGGAUUGGCUAUAAGGCUCAUCAAACAAAGCUCAUCAAGUCUCUAGCCACUCAUGAUCAAGCAAGCAAGCUAAAGCCAAAGAGAUGCUUUGAGUGUGGUCAAGAAGGACACUUUGCUCAUGAGUGUAAGGCACCACUACCACCACCCUUGCCCAAGCAUGCAAGACCAUUUGCCUUCAAUGCUCAUUACAUUGUAAGGAAAGACAAGUGUGGCAAGGUCAAGGUUAGCUUCAUGGGGCCAUCAAACAAGCAAAGGCCAAAGAAAAUUUGGGUGCCAAAGCAACUAGUAGAGAAGGUCAAGGGCCCUAAGCAAAUGUGGGUGCCAAAAUCUCAAGCUUGAUCUCUUGUGUGUAGGUGAACUACAAGACCGGUGGAUCACAUUGGGUAAUUGAUAGUGGUUGCACUCAACAUAUGACCGGAGAUCCCCGGAUGUUCACCUCUCUUGAUGAAGAUGUUGACAACCAAGAGAAGAUCACAUUUGGUGACAAUUCAAAAGGGAAAGUCAAGGGACUAGGAAAGGUUGCUAUAUCAAAUGACAACUCCAUCACCAAUGUGCUCUAUGUGCAAUCUUUGAGUUUCAACUUGCUCUCGGUUGGACAACUUUCUGAUCUCGGAUUUGAAUGCCUAUUCAAGAAGAAGGAAGUAAUUGCGACCAAGGAAGAUGACAAUGAAGUGAUUUUCAAAGGCUUUCGGCACAACAACUUAUAUGUAGUUGAUUUCUCAUCAAAUGAAGUUGAUGUCAAGACUUGCUUAUUCACCAAGACUUCACUUGGGUGGUUGUGGCAUAGAAGGUUAGCACAUGUUGGAAUGGGCACACUCAAGAAGUUGAUGAAGAAAGAAUUGAUUAGAGGCUUGAAGGAUGUGACAUUUGAGAAAGACAAGCUUUGUAGUGCAUGUCAAGCGGGCAAAUAAGUUGCAAACACUCAUCCAACCAAAGCCUAUCUCUCUACUUCAAGAGUGCUUGAGCUACUUCACAUGGAUUUGUUUGGACCAACCACAUAUGCUAGUCUUGGAGGCAACAAAUAUUGUUUGGUCAUAGUUGAUGAUUACUCUCAGUACACUUGGACAUUCUUUUUGCAAGACAAAGCCGAAGUUGCAUCAAUAUUCAAGAAGUUUGCAAAGAAUGCUCAAAAUCAAUUUGAUGUGAAGAUCAAGAAAAUUAGAAGUGACAAUGGCAAAGAGUUUGACAACACCAACAUUGAAGAGUAUUGUGAUGAAGUGGGAAUCAAGCAUGAGUUCUCCUCAACAUACACACCACAACAAAAUGGGGUUGUAGAAAGAAAGAACCGGACAUUAAUCACCUUGGCAAGAACAAUGCUAGAUGAGUAUAACACUUCGGAGAAGAUGUGGGCCGAGGCAAUCAACACCGCAUGCUAUGCAUCAAACCGGCUCUUUCCUCACAAGUUCCUAGAGAAGACACCAUAUGAGUUGCUCAAUGGGAAGAAGCCUGAUGUCUCAUUCUUUAGAGUGUUUGGAUGCAAGUGCUACAUCUACAAGAAGCGUCAACACUUGGGAAAGUUCCAAAGAAGAUGUGACAUUGGCUACUUGGUUGGCUAUUCAUCAAAGUCCAAAGCAUAUAGGGUUUUUAACCAUGCCACAAACAUGGUUGAAGAAACUUUUGAUGUUGAAUUUGAUGAAACAAAUGGCUCCCAAGGAGCAAGUGAUAAUCUUGAUGAUGUAGGUGGUGAACCAUUGAGGGAUGCCAUGAAGAACAUGCCGGUGGGAGACAUCAAGCCUAAAGAAGAUGAUGAUGAUGUGCAAGUCAUUGAGCCACCAUCCACCUCACAAGGACCACAAGAUGAAGACAAGGAUGUGAGAGAUGCCCAUGAAGACACUCAAGUCACUCAUGAGCAAGCAGUGGCACAAGCACAAGAUGUUGAUGCUCCCCAACCAAUCCCUCAAGUGGCACCAAGAAGAACAUCACAUCUUCUCCAAGAUCACUCUCAAGAUCUCAUCAUCGGGAGUCCAUCACGUGGUGUAACUACUCGGUCUAGACAUGCUUUAUUUAUUGAACAUCACACUUUUGUGUCUCUUGAAGAUGAACCAAAGACUAUAGAGGAAGCUCUUCGUGAUGUGGAUUGGAUCAUGGCCAUGCAAGAGGAGUUGAAUAACUUCACUCGCAACCAAGUAUGGACACUUGAAGAGCGACCCAAAGAUGCAAGAGUGAUUGGAACAAAGUGGGUCUUCCGGAACAAGAAGGAUGAUCAAGGCAAAGUGGUGCGAAACAAGGCAAAACUUGUGGCAAAAGGCUUUUCACAAGUGGAAGGUCUUGACUUCGGUGAAACCUUUACACCGGUGGCAAGACUUGAAGCAAUCCGUAUCCUACUUGCAUAUGCAUCUAGUCAUGAUAUCAAGUUAUUUCAAAUGGAUGUGAAAAGUGCCUUUUUAAAUGGUUAUAUUAAUGAGCUUGUCUAUGUUGAGCAACCCCUCGGUUUUGAAGACCCUAGGUACCCCAAGCAUGUCUACCGGUUGUCCAAGGCUCUCUACGGUCUCAAGCAAGCUCCUAGAGCUUGGUAUGAGAGGCUUAGGGACUUCCUCAUUGAGAAGGGUUUCAAGAUUGGGAAAGUUGACACAACACUCUUCACCAAGAAAAUGAAUGGGGAAAUCUUCAUUUGCCAAGUUUAUGUUGAUGAUAUUAUUUUUGGCUCUACUAAUGAAGAUUUUUGCAAGGAAUUUGGUGAUUUGAUGUCCAAGGAGUUUGAGAUGUCCAUGAUUGGCGAGCUAUCAUUCUUCCUAGGAUUUCAAGUCAAGCAAAUGAAGGAAGGGGUCUUCAUCUCUCAAGAGAAGUACACUCAAGAUCUUCUCAAGAGGUUCAAGAUGAUGGAUUGCAAGCCAAUCAAGACUCCCAUGGCAUCAAAUGGGCAUCUCAACUUGGAUGAGGGAGGUAACCCUAUUGACAAGACUCUCUAUCGCUCCAUGAUAGGAAGUCUACUCUACCUCACCGCAUCUAGGCCCGAUAUAAUGUUUAGUGUGUGUAUGUGUGCGAGGUAUCAAGCUAUGCCUAUGGAAUCUCACUUGAUUGCCGUCAAGAGAAUUCUUAGGUAUCUAAAAUACACACCUUGCCUAGGCUUGUGGUAUCCCAAAGGUGCAAGAUUCCAACUUGUAGGCUAUUCCGAUUCGGAUUAUGCCGGGUGCCGGAUUGAUUGAAAAAGCACAUCCGGAGGGUGCCAUUUCCUAGGUAGAUCUCUUGUCUCUUGGAUGUCAAAGAAACAAAAUAGUGUUGCUUUGUCAACGGCCGAGGCGGAAUACAUAGCCGCCGGUGCUUGUUGCGCACAAAUACUCUACAUGAAACAAACUUUGCUAGACUAUGGAGUAGUACUAGACAAAGUACCUUUGUUGUGUGACAACGAAAGUGCCGUAAAACUUGCAAACAACCCGGUUCAACACACCCGCACAAAACAUAUUGACAUCCGCCACCACUUCCUUAGGGAUCACGUUGCUAAAGGUGACAUAUCCCUAGAGAAUGUGGGAACGGAAAAUCAAUUAGCGGAUAUCUUUACAAAACCCCUAGAUGAACCUAGGUUUUGUAUGUUGAGAAAUGAACUUAAUGUGCUUGACUUGUCUAACUUCACUAAAAGAUAAAAGUUGUGUGUUGAAUCUUGUAAAUAACCUUUGUUUUGCAUAUCAUGCAUACUAAAACUAAAAAUAUAACUUGCAUGUAGGGCUUGUCUAACAUGGUUAAGAUAACCCCCUUGAGUGUGUGAAAAAGCUUAACCUUGGAUCAAACUUGACAAGCAUUAGCUUACUUUCAAGUUUUGCAUUAAAACUCAUAUCAUAUGCAUGCUUGUUUAUUGACCGUUUCUUUUCGGUUAUUCGUUGAGCAUCCGCUGUGUUCGUCCACAGAUAGGGGGAGCAUUCAAAGCUCAUUGUGAUUCCAACCCCUAGCUUUAUGGCCAUACGAUGCUCCUUGAUGCUUUCUCGAACUAUUUUCAUAAAAAUCUACUAAGCCUAUGGCUAAUUAUUUGUGAAAACUUGAGGGUUUGAGAGAUGUCACUCCUACCAGUUCCAUUUGGUGUUUACUUGAGUGUUUUUGAAGAUGGAACUUGGUUGGAUCAAAGUCGGACAUGGUGCUUAGUUGAAAAAGUGCUCAGAGGAGCACCGGACGAUGCACCGGACGCUGCCUCUGAGCGUCCGGUGUGGUGAGUGUGCUAGAUUGCACUCACCGGACGCAGGAACAGUGUCCCUGUGGCGUCCGGUGCGGUGCGUCCGGUGCUCACCUGGCGUGACCCAAAGCACCGGACGCUAAAGCCAGCGUCCGGUGCCCCUCGUCCGGUGCAAUGUCAAAAUGCAAACCUCUCUGCGCAUGAGUCCGGUGGUCACCGGACGCGUCCGGUGCCACUUUAAGUGCGUCCGGUGACCCCGCGACGGGCGGAUAAAGCCCGCGCCCAGAGGGUUUCGCGGGCAGUUUCUCUUCUUCCUCCUCCAAAUCUCUGGCCGCGCCCGUGCCCUAGCGCCGCCGCCGUCGUCCUUGCGCCGUUUCCCGGCGAGUUUGGAGCUUUCCCCCGCGCCAGAUCUGCUAAGGGACUUCUUCCCUUCCCUCUCCUCGCUCUGGUUUCCUUCCUUGCGAAGAAAUUAGGGCUUGGGGUAAGUUCUCUGCUCUAUCUCCCAAGGUGCUCGAGCCUUUGUGUUCAUGACUUUCGAUUUAGGUUUUGAUUCCAAUCUCGAUGGUCUUCUCGUUGCAGCACCUCUAGGAGAAGUUUCGUGGUCUCCGGAGGUUUCCGAUCGCGACUUUUUAAUCCUGAACGCGUCUCGUCAGUCGAUCGUAAGCCGUUCGUGCCCGUGUCUUAUCUUUUCUUGCGAUCCAUAGGUUUAUCUCAUCUCUAGUCGAUGUAUCUUCUUAUUUAGACCCUAUCCUGUCCAUUCUCUGCAGUGCAUUGUUCUCCAUUGCCAGUCAGUUGUUUAUCGGACGCUUGAGUUGCUAUGGCUCGUUGCAAGAAUGUUAGCGGUCCGACAGCUGGCUCAGGAGGUUCCCCAGGAGGCGAUGGUGGAGGUGAUCCUCCUCGUCGUUUCUCAGCGGCAGAGAAAGGCAAGGGAAAGAAGCUGGCCACCAAGAAGCGCAAAGUCAGUGACAGAGAUGCAGAGGUCGCCGAGGCAGUUGCAGCAGCGGCUGAGGCAGCCGAGAGGGGUGGUCGUUCUGGUUCUCUGAGGAUUGGGGAUGAUCUUACGCCGCGUCAGAGGCGUGCAGUGCUUGAGGCAGAGGCUUUCCAUGGAUCCCCUCCAGGCACCGUGACGAUUGGAGGACAGAGGGUUAGGCUUGUGGUCAGGGAUCCAGCUCAGGAGGAUCCAGACACUGAGACAGAGACCCAGGCAGAGGGUCCAGCACAGGAGCAGGAGCAGGAGCAGCCACUCAGGAGGUCGACUCGUGCUCGUACCCAGGCCGUUCCUCAGACCGGCAUGCCGGGUCAGUCCACUUCCACAGCUCAUGCCACACCAGCGAGAGGUACACCAGCUUCACGCCCGAGGCCAGUCAGGAUCCACAGGGAUCUUUCUCUUGUGUCAGCCAGAGAGAUCCAGCAGCUGAGGUUCGUUCCGUUUCCCACCUGGUUUCCAGCUGCCAGGGAUCCUAGAGCCGGUGCCAGGUUCUACACAGUCAUCCAGGAGGACAUCUAUGAGGCACUGGUUUGCUCUCAGGCUCAGUUCAGGGAGCACAGAGUGAUCGACCUGGAGAUACUGGGGAACGUCGUUGGAGCUGAUAUUCGUCAGUACUUUACCUACCUCCACGGACUUCCAGAGUUACUAGCACUUCCCGGGACUUACUGUGAGCAGUGGGUCAGAGAGUUCUACGCGUCAGUGUGGGUUUCUCCAGAUCACAGCUAUAUCCACUACGCACUGGCGGGGACAGACUACAGAGUGACAGCUCAGAGGGGCAGAGAGGUGCUUGGACUGCGAGCCUCUCCCACCAGGAUUCACCAGCUGUGCUACGGGAACGUGGAUCCCCCUCGUCGUCCUCACGGUGGUGAGAUACCACCAGUUGACUUCGUGGCUCCCUGUUUCCGUGCACCUUUUGGGGAGGGCUCCAGCAGGACAGUGGCAGACUUGACACGCCCAGCCAGGAUCCUCGACUUUGUGUUGAGGAAGACUCUUCUCCCCAGGACAGGCUACAGAGAUGGAUUCACUCGUAUGCAGCAGUGGCUCCUCGCUCACCUUAUCUCCCAGACACAGUUUGACUUGUGGGAUCUUAUCGUCUCAGAGAUAGAGGACACCAUCUCAGAGAGCUUCAGGGGCCGGCGUCAGUUGCCCUACGCACAUUGGAUCACCCUGCUUAUACUUCGUGCUAGGCCACUGCCCCUGCCAGCUCACUUGCAGAGUGAGUUGACAGAGUCAGACACCGUCUUCCCCCACUACGACCCCCGGCAGAUGUUGAGAGCGCAUCACGACCUUCGCGGUGCACCUCCUCCUCGUGCUCCAUGUGGACCCGUGCCCCCACUUUCUCCUAGGGGCACCCGCAGUACAGCGGCAAUUGCAGAGACAGAGGAGCAGCAGGAUAUAGCUAUUGGGGCGUUCGCCGAUGCAGAGGCAGAGGGCGAGUUUGACUUCGCCUCAGACAGUUCAGACGACAACUAUCAGCCGCCAGUGACUGACCUUCCUCCCAGAGCUCACGACCACGAGGCAGGCGGUUCUUCGAGUGCUUCACACCCUGCCCUGCUUGCUAUCCUAGAGGGGAUGAGGGCAGAUCAGCGCCGUGCAGCUGAGGAGCAGGCGAGGCGCGACAGGGAUCAGGCUGCUAUCAAUGCAGCCAUGCAGGCCAGGUAGGAUGAGCUCCAGCGUCAGCUUCUCACCUUUCGGGGGCAGCAGCUUGCUUUUCAGGCCCAGCAGACAGCGAUGUUGGCCGCUCUCAUGGCCGCCUCCGGGAUUCAGCUACCGCAGAUACAGCUCCCAGGCACGUCGUCCAUCAGGCCCCCUACUCCUGCGCCCCAGACUCAGAGCCCGUCUCAGGAGCCGCUCCAGCUACCAGCUCAGAGUCAGCCGUUUUCGACGCCCCAGCACCAGGUCUCUCAGGGUGCUAUCUCUUCAGGCUUUGAGCAGGUACCGCAGUUUACCCCUCUCCGCUCAGGCUUCACCCCUCAGUCAGCUUCAGCAUCGCAGCUUGUGUGGGACUCGCAGACAGAUCCACACCUCAGCUUCACCUACAGUGCUCUGACUGGUGACCCUACGCCUCCUCCUCUGCAGGCUCCUGCAGUCUUUACGACGCCAGUUACCACUACAGAGCUUCUGUCGUCGUCCGUAGCGUCGUCCGAGCAGCUUGCACCGUCUACUACCGUACCAGAGACGACAGCUACAGCGACCGAGUCCGUGCCAGCCUCGUCAGCCGGACUUGAGCAGCCAGCACAGCCUGUGACAGCGCCAGAGCAGACCCGGACCGCUUCUCCAGCACCUGCAGCUUCAGAGGGUCACUCCACCUCCUCCGCCUCGACGGCCGACACCUCAGAUGAUGCAGCUCGCUUCGUGGCCGCGCCGAGGGACUCUACUGCUCCGCCUCCUCCGCCGUCUUCUUAGGUUUUUGGCGCUUGAUGCCAAAGGGGGAGAGAGUGCAUAUGAGAGAGUUAGGGAGUUAGGGGGAGCUAGCUAGAGAGAGAGUUUAUUCUUAUGAGAUACUUUCGAUGUGUACUAUGUGUGCUACUUCAUCAUGCAUCAUGUUUACUUUUACGCAUUGCACUUGUGUGAGGUACACUGGUUAUGAGACAUGAUUUGUGCUUUUUGUGAUAUCUUCUUGUCAUGUGUUUGGCUUAUAUUAUCUUUGCUUCCGCAUUUUUACUCUGAUAUAACUAUGAGCCUUAUGUUUAUAUCCUGUCGUAUUUCACUCACCUAUUUGGAUGCAGGGUAUUGGAUUUGGUUGAUAUAAGCAUGACUAAUUCCUUUGUUCUUAUUGUAUCAUGCUUAUUGAAACCAAGUCCCCUUUAAAAACCUCAACUCUUUUCAUACUCGAGGUUGUCAUCAAUCACCAAAAAGGGGGAGAUUGAAAGAGCAUCUAGGCCCCUAGUGGUUUCGGUGAUUAAUGACAUUGUUGGUUACUAUGACUAAUGUGUGUUUUGCAGAGGCAAAGUCAUAGGUAAGGUCAUGGUAAAUAGGUACUCGAUGGACAGGGACGUACAUGCCAACUUAAUAGUGGAAAUCGUUUCGGUUUUCAAAGGAUGGAAGGACAUCGUCGAGAAUAGACUAGGUCUAAGUGCCAUAUGGUGAAGAAGGGCACUUAGAGUAGUUUAGGACUUUGUUUUCCUUUGACCGUACUAUUAAGAGGGGCUUUGAUCUAGUAGCUUGACUUAGGCAAGGCUUUAGGUUUAGGUGUGGUGCACACUUGGUAAACCUAGCACUAGGCAGCUCAGAGAUAGUCCUUAGAUCGAGAGGAACCAACUUCGUUUUGGAGCGAUCGCGUUUCGACGAAGUUUGGGUGCCCAAAGGGGCACCGGACGCUGCACCGGACGCUCUGUGAGUGCGUCCGGUGAGGUCCUUAGCCGUUAGAACAGUGCCGUGCUUAGGGUUAGGCACCGGACGCUAGCACCGGACGCACCGGGUAGCGUCCGGUCCCUUACCCAGGGAGCUUGCAAAGUUCCCCUGAGCACCGGACGCUAGCACCGGACGCACCGGGUAGCGUCCGGUCCCAUGCGCAAGGAGCUUGUAAUGUUUUCUCGAGCACCGGACGGUGCACCGGACGCUGAGAGUUUAGCGUCCGGUGACCUGUCAGAGUAAAGCGCAGGUAGCCGUUAUGUCACACCGGACGCUCGGUGCAGUGCGUCCGGUGCAACAUAAUGUGCGUCCGGUGACCCCGUUUUCUGUGAAAAACGGUUGGCCGAGCUUUGGACUUGGUGGAUAGUAUUUAUACUCCUCCACCUCGUCCAUGAGACCUCUCUUGCCCAUUUGAACAUCAGAGAGCCUUGUUGUCGAGCAAGAGAGUUGCAAGAGCUUAGAGAGGAUUGAGAUUUGAGUAAAUUCUUGAGAGAAUCCUCCUCUAGUGAGUUCCAAGAGUCAAGUGUGCUUCCACCCCUCUCUAGUGCCUUGUUUGGGUCAAGUGAGAGUUCUUUGCUUGUUACUCUUGGUGAUCGCCAUCACCUAGACGGUUCGGUGGUGAUUGGAGGCACGAAGAUCACCCGGAGUUCUUAUGGGUGGCUCGUGUCAAGCUUGUGAGCGGUUUUGGGCGAUUCACCGCGACGGAGUGUCGAAGAAUCAGCCCGUAGAGAGCACUUGGUCCUUGCGCGGACCAAGGGGGAGCAAGACCCUUGCGCGGGUGCUCCAACGAGGACUAGUGGAGAGUGGCGACUCUCCGAUACCUCGGCAAAACAUCGCCGAGCACCUUCUUCCACUACUCCUUCACUUUCUAGCAUUUACUUUGUGCUUUUACAUUCUUAGAAUUGUCAUGCUAGAAUAGGAUUGGAACUAGGUUGCAAAACUUUUAUCCGGUAGCUCUCUAAGUCACACUAGGCACAAGGGGUUGAAUUGGAGCUUAUAGGUUGCUUAAAUUUUUAGAGAAGCCCAAUUCACCCCCCCUCUUGGGCAUCUUGAUCCUUUCAAGUUUGUGUAGUCAUGGCUUACAGGCCAUUAUUUUUUGAUCACCCGCUAGCUCCGGCCAAACUGUCGGCACUGACCAACAUCUGCACCAGGAUCAACCCAAGUCUCUACCAGCCGGGACGAGCGCGCCAUCCCCUACAUCCCAUCUCCCUGCAUGCAUGCACGCACGCAAACGUGUGGCACCGUGCGAGCAAGCAGAGCAGUCGGGAGGGCAUGCCAUCUUGCUAGCUUGAUGAUGCUGUGAUGACUACACGAUGACAUCACUUGAGUUUUGUUGACGUUUUUCUUUAAAAAACAAUUCUACAAAUACAGAGUACACAAGCUUGAUUUGACCAUAUAAUCUCCGUUUUAAUUCCGUUUUGAUCCGUUCAAGUUGUGUUAGACUCAUAGCAAUGUAAUCUACGUGUUAGUGCUAGUGUUUUCAUGUCACAUGUUUUCCAUAUAUUGCUAAAUAUUUAAUUUCUUAAUACACUUUUAGUUAGUUUUAUAAUUAAAAAAUAAUAUAGGUUUCUUUGUAAUUAUAUGAGCUUGAAUUUAGCUAAUAUAGCAACUUGAAUAUGUUUUAAUUAUAUUUUGCUUAGACAAUCACCAUAUAUACCAUAAAACUUAUUUCAGUACUCACAUGUUACAUUAUUUUACAAGUUUAAGUUUGACCGGCAUAAACAAUAUAAAAUUAUGUAUGGAUAAAAUAUGAUCAUCUCCAACAGGUAUCAUGUAUAAUUUGAAUAGAUAUUCUCACACUUUCUUUGAAAUGUUAAAGUUUACUUUGAUUAAAAUGAUGUGUGCAUGCUUAUAUUUAAAAUAUGAUUAUUGAUUAUAUAAUAGACAUGUUCAUAAGUAAAAUAUAACUUGACUAAUCUGAAUUAGUAGGUUACACAUGAUUUCUCUUAAUUUAAACAUAUUAAAAUCAUAGUUGUUUCUUUUCAAUGACAUUUUUGGUUUCGACGUUUCUCGUAGCCUUAGCAUCAAGUCGUGUCGUUUAGUGCGCUCUCUUUUAAAGCUUUUCUUUUCGAUUGAUGCGUUGUUCUUAGUUUUUUCUAUUUGUUGCUUGUAUGUUUGUUGGUGUGCUUAGUUGCUGCGAUGUGCGAGUAGACAAGAACCACGCUUGUGUGUGUUGAAGAUGAGAAGAUGAUUGCCAAAAGCUGAUGGUGUGAGAAUUGAGCAAGUGCUUAAGGAAAGUAUAACUUGGGACUAUCCUUGUUACCUACACACUUUUAAUACAUAUAUCAUAUGCAUGUGUCCACCUUGAUGACCUUAGCAAAAUCAUACAUGAUUGUUAUCUUGAAUUCCUUGUUACCUAUUUUGAUAUGCAUUUGGGUAGUUCUUGCUAGUGCUUGACUAUAAUCCAUGAUCUUGUAACAUGAAUAUUUGGAUAUACAAUAAACAAUAAAAUAAGCUUUCUAGCAACUUGAAUAUAAAGGGUGGAAAGAACUCUAGCUUCUGCUAGAUUGAUCUUGACCCUCCAUAAAGACUUAUCCCUUGGCAAAAGCUGGUACAACUCGUACAACCAUAAGGGCUAUAUGGCUUUGGCUUUAGCUCAGUAUGAAGACCUUUUCUAGCUUGUUAAAGGUUACCCGAAAGGGCGGAGGGGCUGAACCGACACGGGUAUAGUGCGAGCCCCUGUCUCUAUGUGUAUAGGCUGCGCGUCAUUGGGCCAUUCGGAAGGGGGGUAUCUAUAUCUGCUCAUGAAGAAAACCUUGUGGCCCUAACAUGUUAGACAAACUUUUGAAAGGCUUCAUAGUGAACUCUGCCGACCUCCCUAGGAAGGGGGUUAAGAGACUAGCUACCUCGGGCGAAAGGGUAAAUCAUGACUCAUGGGUAAAGAUGUACAACCUCUGCAGAGUGUUAAAUCUGGUAUUCUAGCCGUGCCCACGGUUACGGGUGGCCUGGAAAACUGACGGAAUAGAUGGACACUCAUGAACAUGAUUAAUGAUGAUAAAUGAUGGUUUAUUAUGUUGUUUAUAUGUGAUAUUCUUAAUUCUUGUAUACAUUGAUCAUGUGGUUAUGGGAUUUAAUUAUGCUACUUGACAUUUUUUAUCUAAAUAUAAACUUGCUAUCUACAUAUAAAAGCUAAAUGCAGUCAAACCAGUGUCAGCUUAUUGAGCCUCAUGAACCCCUAGUUAUACUUGUUGAGUACGACAUGUGCUCAGUUCCCACCAAUAUAGUUUACUAGUAAGAGUUGAUCAGAAGAGUAAUGGAGUCACGGAGGACAUUCUUGGGAUACAAGAAGUGCUAGGCAUAUGUUACACCUAGUGAACCGUCCCUGUGAAGAUUGAGCCUUAAGUUUAGUUACUGUUCCGCGAUACUCUGAUGUAAGUGUUAAUUAUAAGUACGUUUCCGCUAUAUAACAUUGUUUCUGAUACUGUCUCUUUCUGUUGUUAUAUGUGUGGACUUCCUGGGCACACGUAUAGCUAGCCUGGUUUUGUUCUUUAUAUAGAGAUAGAUAGAUAGAUAGAUAGAUAGAUAGAUAGAUAGAUAGAUAGAUAGAUAGAUAGAUAGAUAGAUAGAUAGAUAGAUAGAUAGAUAGAUAGAUAGAUAGAUAGAUAGAUAGAUAGAUAGAUAGAUAGAUAGAUAGAUAGAUAGAUAGAUGGAUGGAUAGAUAGAUAGAUAGAUAGAUAGAUAGAUAGAUAGAUAGAUAGAUAGAUAGAUAGAUAGAUAGAUAGAUAGAUAGAUAGAUAGAUAGAUAGAUAGAUAGAUAGAUAGAUAGAUAGAUAGAUAGACAGAUAUAUAUAUGUAGACGGAGACACACAGACAUCAUUGCCCUUUGUAAGGAACACAUAGUGUAGCUUGUGUAGGUCAUUACGUAUAGUGAUCCAUCCCUUGUGUAUUGUGCUUCCUGUUCUGCCUCAGAUUACGAACCUACGUCAGGUGAGGCUACAUACCCCACGGAUUGUAUGUCUAAACUAGCCAUAGACAUUUUUUAGAAAAAUUCUAAAGUUCUCUUGCUUGUUUUUUGUUCCCUGUAUCUCUUGAAUAAACUUUCAGUGCAGUACUGCUCUAAUUACAUGUCACUUGGUUCUACAGGUUUUCAGUAAAUAUUUGUAACUGCAGCAUGGACAUGUUAACCAGUAGUGUCGUCCCAUUCUCCAUUGCACUUGUUUUCAUCACUGCAGUAAUCACCAAGGUUGCAUGGGCAAAAGUAACAGCUGAUCCGGCAUCAUCAAGCAAUAAUACUCAACCUCACCCCCCUAUGGUUAUCACUGGCAUCACCUCAGCUAUUCGACUUCUACAUACACUUCUCACCAAGGGUUUCAUAGCCAUGCUUCAUGAGCAAUACACAAAGUUAGGAAGUGUGUUCACAAUAAGUUUCUUAGGGAUGAAAACAACGUUCCUAGCUGGGCCGGAGGUCUCAGUUCAUUUUUACCAGGGACUGGAGUCUGAGAUCAGUCAUGGUCAUUUACUUGAGUUCACUGUACCCAUGUUUCGCAAAGAUGUUGCUUUUGGUGUGGAUAUCGUCACCCGAACUGAACAACAUCGCUUCGAUAUUGACGCACUAAAACCAGCUAAGUUGAGGUGCCAUGUUGCUCCAAUGCUUCAGGAAGUGGAAGUAAGUAACAUAAUAUGCAUGCACGCCUACUUUCAUUCAUUCUCCUUUGCCCGUCCUCUCGCUUUUUCUCACACACACAUAUGAUGCAUUGUCAGAAAAUUAAUAUAGUUAACAGGAUAUAUAUAGUUUUAAUGUUAUAUAUAUCCAUCAUACAAAAUGUAACAACUUUUAGUAAGAGCAACUGAGCAUGAACAAAUAAUGAAAUAAAUAUGAGUUUAUUGGCAAAACAACCAUCAAAAUAGGUUCCUCUUGGUUUGUACUGAUUUUUGAAUUUUCUCUCAUGUAAGUGGAUAUCCUGUUGUGUUUGUUUCCAUCCGUUAUUGCCUUGUAUAUAAGAAGGAUGAAAGGCAGAGUUUCAUCAAUGUUAACUAGAAAAGUAUGACAUGUUAAUUCAUUUAGAGUGUAUUCUUUCCAAAAACAAAUUAUUUUUUCUGAAAGAUGGAUAAAUUAAUUCGAUUUAAGGUAACAGGCAAAAAGGAUAUAUAUCUUCAUUUAUUAAUACUCUCUCCAUUCUAUAUAAGGUGUCCAAUCAUUCAAAAUUUGUCCUAAGUUAGUAGAGUUUUUAGGAGAAAUAACUCUGCACAACUCAAUAUAGAAGACAACAUCCACAUGCAUCAUGGGUAAUCACAUCUUCCUAGUAUACGUUCUAUUUAGGACACAAUGUAAUCUUUAACUACUUAUCAUUAUUCAGAAUUUUCCAUUAUAUGUUGCAUUAGCAUAUACUUUACUUAUAAACUAUUUAGGCUUGAUAUAUAAUUUCCUGUGUAACUAUAUAGGUCGCUGUACUAUAUCACUAUGGUAUGUGUGCGUACUAGAUGACAGAUGACCAUACCAUUGUGGGUCUGUGGUUUCGUAUCGCUAUCAUUUUUCUAAUUUUGUUGCUCCAUCUAGUGACAAAUGGAAUAUAUAUUAGAUCAAGAAUUUUUGUUGCCCAACUUCGCAAGUAUGACUAUAAAGAUAUGUUUCAAAUUAUAUAUUACGGAAAUCUGAUAAUGAUAUUAUAGACAUGCCUUGACAAGUAAAAUCAUAACAUCAAUAAUUAAAAAAAAGAAUGUAGUGUGGGCAUAGCUAAUAGAUAUUGAAGACUGCAUCACUAUUAGGAGUAUCUAAAAAAAAGUUCUUGUCCAGAAUACUACAUAUAUGUUAAUAAACAUACAUGCAUUUUUGUAUGCAGAAAUACUUUGCAAAAUGGGGACAGUAUGGUACCGUUGAUCUAAAGCAGGAACUGCAGCAGUUACUCAUGCUGAUCUCAGCACGCUGCCUACUCGGGAAAGAGGUUCGGGAGAAUAUGUUCGAUGAGGUUUUCUCCGGAUUCCAAGAACUCACAGAAAACAGCUUGCAGCUAAUCAGCUUACUAUUUCCAUAUGCCCCAACGCCAAUGACUCGACGGCGCGAUAGGGUGUGUACUAUGCUCUCAAGCAUUUUCACUCAGAUUGUUCGAUUGCGUAAGAGCUCCAACAGAGUCGAGGAGGAUGUUUUACAGAACCUGAUGGACUCCAAAUACAAGGAUGGACGCCCCACAACUGAACCUGAGGUUACUCGGCUCAUAAUUGCCAUCCUCUUUGCUGGAAAGCAGACAAGCACGACCAGCAGCACGUGGACUGGAGCUCGCCUUCUAAGCCACAAAGAGUGCUUGGAGGCUGCCCUUGAGGAGCAGCAGAAAAUCGUCAAGAAAUAUGGGGACAAUAUAGACUAUGAUAUCCUCCUGGAGAUGAGCUUCCUACACUGUUGCAUCAAGGAGGCACUACGGAUGCACCCUACAGCACCAAUGUUUCUUCACAAGGUGCACAAGAACUUUACCGUACAGACUAGAGAAGGCUUUGAGUACGAGAUUCCAAGUGGGCAUACCAUAGCAAGCCCUUUGGUCAUAAACCACAACAUUCCAUACCACUAGUACAGGGAAAGGCUUUAGCCCCGGGUGGUAAGGGCCUUUAGUCCCGGCUACCGAACCAGGGCUAAGGUUUCGGGACUAAAUGUCCCACCUUUAGUCCCGGUUGGUAACAGCAACCGGGACUAAAAGGCGCGCCAGGAUGUGCCAUCUGGCCUCCACUUUUAGUCCCGGUUGUUGCUACCAACCGGGACUAAAGAUUUUUUUCUUUUUUAUUUUUCUUUUCAUUUGGUUUUCCAUUUAGGGUGUACAAUUAUGUUAUUGUUAUUUUCGAAUGCGUAUUGUUUGCUGGUAGUUUAUGGAACGCGCAUCUAUAAUUUAUAUAAUUUAAAGAAUUAUAUAGAAAUAUACUAUAAAACACUAUAUAUAUAUAAAUAAUAUGUAUCUAUAGGUCCAUAAUAUAAUAUUUACACAUAUGCUUCACAGACAAAGUAUUUACAACACAAUUUAUCUCCGCCACUCAAGCAUCGUACAAAUGAUCAUCCUUAUUUGGUUUCAUUGGCUUCUGAUGGUUGAAGUAGCACUCGCCGCCGGGAUUCAAGACUUGGUCGUUAAGAAAUCCUGCGAUUGUCUCCUGAAUUCCUUUUAGACGCACCGCAUCCAACACCUGCUCCUUCAGCCAUAUCUCCUUUAAUAGACAUUACAGAAAAAAGUUAGAGGUAUGAAUAGGAUUUAUUAAAUAGCAACAAAUAAAUGAAAUAAACAUAUUAUAUAUACAUGUUACAUACUUUUAGGUGCUCAAGAUUAGUUCUUUUGGCGUACACCGUCAUAAACUCGCACACAUAGUAGUCACACAAAUUGUUGCCCGGUGUCUGCCGUAGAACCCACUGAAGUAAGAUGGGCUUUGAAAGUGCUGCAUUCAACUCUGGACGGUGUUUCUGCACGAACCCAGCCCAAACCCUAGCAAUAAAAUGAUCAUUAUUAAUUAUCCAUUACCAAGUUAAAAGAGCAGCAUUUAAUAUAUAGAUAUCGGAGUUACCCUUAGAUAAUAUUUAUUAUUUCUUGGUAAUCGUCCUGUGGUUUUCUCAAUGAGUCAUAGAUUACCAAUUGACUUUGCCAAAGAUCAAUGACAAUUAGUACCCAAUGAAAGCUGCAUUUGUAUGCAUAUGUAGGCAAAAUUAGUAUAUAUCUUCAUAUUGAUCUGAUUAAUUAAUUAAAUAGAAUGUACACACAAUAACGAUACUUACUUAAAAUUGUAGGGAAAGAUUAUAUAUCUUUUAUCUUUUUGGUUGAUCAAGAACCUCCGUAGAUUUCUCUAAGUUUGAGUUCUCCAUAAGACAUACGGGGUCUUGUGGUCUUUGAAUACAACAUUUGGAUCCACAAAUCCAAUCUCCUUGUCAUUUCUAACUCUGAGGUCCCUCAUCAUGUUUCUGCAUAUGUAUAGCGGGUUUCUGUAAUUAGUUAUAUAUAUAGAUGAUAAGUUACAGAGACAUUAUUGAAAGGAAGAAUCACUUACAGACAGAAGCAGCUCAUUAGAGAUUUGUCAAGAGCGUCCAUGUGACAUAGUUGGUGUAGCUCAUUAAAUUAAACAUAAAUAAUAUCAUCACCACGGAAGUAAUGAUAGUUUCUAAUUUGGAUACAAAGAUAGCCAUCUACUUUUCUGACACACGCUUCCAUGUACCAUUUGUUUAGCAUGUACAUUUGCGUUCCAAGCUUGCUGAGGGCCGCAGGGUUGUAUAAACUCUUGCCAUAUGUAUAUUCCUUCUGCCAAUGAUCAAUUUGUGGAGCACUUUCAAUUGGUGCCCCCGCUAUCAUUUCGGCUAAGCUAAGACCAGUUUUCGCAAAAAAAAUUCAAGCUCUUCAAAUUUUAAAUCUGUCGGUAUCUGCUGGUCUAGCACGUCAAUGUUUGAACCAUAUUAAUUUCCAAUGACUAGCGGGGGCACUGAUUGCUUUGAUUGUUCCCCGAGCUGUGCUACACCCUUGCGUGCUCUUUUCUCUUUCUUCUUCUCUUCUUCUAUGGAUUUUCUUAAAGUGCGAUCAUAGUCCGAUAAAGAUGAUGAUUCUUUCUGAGCUUCAUGCCUCUUUUUUUGUUCAGCCUCAACCAUUUGUCGUAGAUCUUCUGGCCGUAGUAAGAGGUAUGACUUCUCAGGUUUUGCUUGGCUUCUCUUUCAGUCUUAAGUUUCUUGAAGAAACUAUCCAUGUCUGAUUUUACUGAAGCAUUUAGUUCUGCAUCAGUCUUCUCAUAGGACAGCUUCUUAUGAAUGAUAGCUUGUUUCUUUUCGGAGGCUUUCUUUUUUGGUGGCGGGGCGGCCGACACAUUUGAUUGUGUGGCUGGCCUCUUCUUUCAUGCUGGAGCCACGUGUGGAGGCGAUGGGGCGGCCGGUGGCGGUGUUGGAGCCCGAGGAGGCGGCGUUGGAGCCCUAGGUGGCGUUGGAGCCCUAGGUGGCGGUGUUAGAGCCUGGGGUGGCGGUGUUGGGAGCCCGAGGUGGCGGUGUUGGAGCCCAUAGGUGGUGGCGUUGGAGACCGAGGCGAUGCAGCCGUGUCAUGCACUCCCUCAUCAUCACCUGCAGCACUAUGACAUGUAGGUGACCACCUGUGAAAACAAAAGGUAUAUGAGUAAACCAUUAACUAAGAUAAUGCAAAAUAAAUUUAGUGAACAAAUGUAUAGUCAAUUUUCAUCCGCAAAUAGGAUUAGAUUCAUGACGAGGAGGUGGUGGUAGACUAGUAGGUGAUGCCCUAGGAAUAAUGAUGUAGCGCUUGCGCCAACAAAUAAAAGUCUUCUUUGCUUCUCCUAGAGUCUUCUCUCCAUCACCUCCUUCAAUCUCAAGCUGCACAUUAGUGAAGCCUUUGACAACUCUAUCCACCGAGACACUAGCAUAUCCAGGUGGAACUAUCGCCCCAUGGAUUCUUCGUGUCCUCGUAGGGUCGACAGGAGUUACAACACUGACAGCAACCAUGACUGUGGCAGUCCCCUAUGGAAUGUGCAGCUCACGUGUUGUCAGAGGUUCAGUGAUGUCAUCCACCGGAAAGUGCAGCCCCACGUCGUCUUGAAUAGUUCGCAUCUCCGUGGAAGCGCAACUACUUUUCAACUGACCGGGGGGCUAAUGUUGACUCUAGGCUCUGAUGCUGUUUGCCCUUGUAUAUAGCUUACUGCAAUCUGCACUUGUCUUUUGAUCUCCUUGUUCAUUCUCUCUUCAAGCGCUUUCUCUCGCGCUAUCGCUUCACGAGCCGCUUCACGUGACUCAAUCACCAUUGCCACCAACCUAUGCAACCGCUCUGCUUCCUCUUCCUUCUUUCGUUGGCGGCUUCUAUAAGUCGGUCUAUCUUUAGGGAAGCCAUGCUCCCAUGAUACCUCCCCAUAGCCUCUGGUUCGCCCACCGUGUUCAGCAGUCUCCAGGGCGUAUGUCAGCUCAUCCUUUUCUCUAUUUGGCUGCCAUGUGCCGCUUUCAACUAAUCCUCUAGCAUAGGCCAUUCUCUGUCCUACUCUCUCAAGCUUUUCGCCGUACACUACCUUUCCGGUCUCUAGGUCUAUGGUUCCCCCGUGAUCAAAGAAUCAAUACUUGGCGCGCUCAGGCCAGUGCAUUGAUUCUGGUUCGAUCCCUCUCCCAAGAAUCUCUUGUUCCAGCUUUUGCCACUUAGGAAUAGCAGUCUUGUAGCCACCUGAACCCAAGUGAUGGUGGUAUUGCUUUUGUUUAGCAUUUUCUUGAUUCUUGAUCAUCCAUGCCUGACCCUCUUCUCAGUUCUUAAAAUCUACGAACUCAUCCCAAAAAGGCCUCAACUUGACGUUACGGCCUUGUUGGUGAAAUCUGGUGUGUGGCCUUGUGCAACAAAAGUCUUGUAUAAUGUCUUCUUCCAAGCCUGAAAUUGUUUGGCCAUCUUCUACAUAGCCCAGAUUUUAACCUUCUCCUUCAAAGCUUAAUCCUGUGUAUUGAGCGUGAAAUAUUGAAGGAUAUCUUGCCAAAUCAAUUUAUUGUCACGAUCUGAGACAAAACUAAUAUUAGGGUUCUCUUUCCGUUGCCUCCAUUCACGAGCACUGAUCGGGGGCCUGUCCCUUACAAGGUAGCCACAGUGCGCAACAAAUUUUUUAGAAUUAGCCCCAAGUACUUGUCCUCUACCGUCAUCGAAUUCCGACAGAAUGUACCGACCCUCCAACGGCUUCUUCGGGCCGCGCACUUUUCUACUCUUCUCAGAAGUUGUCGCCGAUUUAGAGGGCUACACAAACAAGUAUAAUUAUAUUAGUAUAAAUGUCAUUUAUUUUAAUUUCAUAUAUAUACAUAUAUACUAGAUUGUAGAUAGAUUGUCUUCUACAAGUUCUUCAUAAUCAGCAAAGUACUGACUCCCAUCAUCUUCGCCUUGGGGAUCUGGAUUGGCGCCGCUGUUGAUUAGGUCCAUUAUUGCAUCAUCCAUGUUGUCAUUCAGAUUGGCCAUUUCUGCAAAUAAAUCAAGUGUUAAAAGUUUUUGACGCGAUCAACAAAAAUUAUUUGGAUAGGCUAAACUUAGACAAUAUUCGAUUAUAUCAUAUAAAUUAUAAAUCUCAUCUCAAUAUCUAUCCCUACUAACUAAUUAGAACACAUCAUAAAUUUUAUGAUAUAAAUUAUAUAAUACAAAAGAUAAAUUAUAAAAUAGAAAUUAUACAUCUCAUCUCAAUAUCUAUCCCUACUAACUAACUACAACAUAGGAUAAAUUAUAUCAUAUAAAUUAUAUAAUACAAAAGAUAAAUUAUAAAAUAGAAAUUAUACAUCUCAUCUAAAUAUCUAUCCCUACUAACUAAUUACAACACAUGAUAAAUUAUAUUAUAUAAUUUAUAUAAUACAAAAGAUAAAUUAUAAAAUAGAAAUUAUACAUCUCAUCUCAAUAUCUAUCCCUACUAACUAAUUACAACAUAGGAUAAAUUAUAUCAUAUAAAUUAUAUAAUACAAAAGAUAAAUUAUAAAAUAGAAAUUAUACAUCUCAUCUCAAUAUGUAUCCCUACUAACUAAUUACAACAUAGGAUAAAUUAUAUCAUAUAAAUUAUAUAAUACAAAAGAUAAAUUAUAAAAUAGACAUUAUACAUCUCUUCGUCCAUUUUAUUAUUUUUGGCAAAAGACUUUAUGUAUAUCAAUUUUGGGAAUAUAUUAUUUUUGGCAAAAGACUUUAUGUAUAUCAAUUUUGGGAAUAUAUUAUAAAUAUAUAAUAUAAUAUACUCACUUCGUCCAUAAAAGAAUGCAAUUAUGUGAUUUGUGUCGAUGAAACUAAUUCAAAUUUAACCAAGUUAGUAGCAUUUAUUUCUCAAGCAAUUAUAUGAUUUGUGCCUUUAUCAUAACAAUUUGUAACUUCGCUUAACAAUAUUUAUCAAACAAACGAAAGUGCGACGAUUGUGCCUUUGAAUUGGGACUAAGUCCUUGUUUACUUCCCCAAAUAUUUUGGAAAAUAUUUCAAAUUCUCUAUCACAUCGAAUCUUGCGGCACAUGCAUAAAGUAUUAAAUAUAGGUAAAAAAUAACUAAUUACACAGUUUGUAUAUAUGUAAUUCGCAAGACGAAAAAAUAAACAUGCCACACUGUUCACACUGUUCAAAUUUUGCAUGUAUGAAAAAACAAACAAUUUGUAUAUAGGUAAAAAAUAACUAAUCACACUUUUCACAUUUUGUAUAAUUUUUUGCAAGUAAACAUGGCCAGGAACGACAAUAACUGCUCGGUGCCGGUCGGACAAGAUCGAAGCUCGCCGCGGCGCAAGGAGGGUCCUCGGCUCGGGCGAGCCGGGACGAGGGUCGGUGCAAGGAGCUCGGCGGUGGCGGCGCUCUGUACGUCCUCGGCUCGGGCCGUGGAGGAGGGUCGUCGGUGCCGCGCGUAGAAGAAGAAGGGUCCUCGGCUCGGGUCGUCGGAGCUCGACGCGGCGCUCCGUAUGGUCCUCAGCUCGGGCCGGGGACGAGGGGUGGCGGCGUUGGCGGCGGCGCUCCUGGGCUCGAGACGACGGCGACACUCGGCUGGGGACAAGGGUGUGAGGCGACUGCGGGGAGCGGCGCGCGGAGGAGUAAAACUAGGGCUCAGUCGAACUGGAUCGAGGAGGAAGACGUUUCUUAUAUACACGCGGGGACCUUUAGUCCCGGUUCCUGGCUAGAACCGGGACUAAAGGCCCCCGGUUCUAGCCAGGAACCGGGACUAAAUGUAUUUUUUAGUUUCUUAUUUAUUUAUGCAUACAAUAAUUAGAUUAAUGUUGUUAAUUGCAUAGUUAAUAGAAUAACAGGUAUUAAUUUGUUAAAAAAUAAUAGUUCCAUUUCUUUUUGUCUAAUUGCUUACAUAAUAAAUUUGGAAACAUAAAAUCUUUUCAUCACUUAUAUUAGCAAUCUUAAAUAUGAAAAAUAAUUAGUAUUUUGUUAAUGCAAAAAUGUAUUAUUUAAUUUUAAUAUCUUAAAGCAUAUGUUUUUGAUAGAAAAAUUUGUUUGUGCAAUAUUUAAAUGUAAAUUUUGUUUAUUUAUGAUCAUUUAUCUCCAAAAUCAUGACAUACGUGAUAUUCACCAUUACAUCGGAUUAUUUUUUUAAAAUUUUUCUCUAUUUCUUAUUUAUUUAUGCUUACAACAAUAUUCACCAUUACAUCGGAUUAUCUCUAACAACUUUGUAUUCAAAUUUUUUUCAUUUCAAGUCAUCAAAUGGGUCAUUUGACCAAGUUUGACCUAAGUCAAAGCAUUGGUUUAUAGAAACACACACUUUGACCAAACCCUAUAUGGUCCCAAAUAGAAAAGUAAUGAAUACAAAGUUUUUUGCACUCAUAAAGUUCUACAUUUUGUCUAAUGGUCGACAUUUCUUUUGGAAAAGUUUGAACCACUCAAUUUUGAAUUUUGAAAGAAUUCAUAGCCACGCAUCGGUUUUCGAAACCCUAUAUGGUCUCGAACGGAAAAGUUAUGAAUACCAAUAUUGUUUCACUCAUCAAAAUCUACAUUGAAUAUAUAGACCAUUUUUGCAUUUGACAAAGUGUUGCGAAGGUGUAGUUCAAAAUCCACAAUUGACACAUGCAGUUUCAUAUAGUUUGUGAAGAAAUGGUGGGUAUUGAGAACUUAAACUUUCUCAAAUGGAAAAAUUGUCUAUAUAAAAAGUUUAGAUCUUGAUGAUAUCUAACAACUUGGUAUUCAAAUUGUUUUCAUUUUAAGUAAUUUAGUUUGUCAUUUGACCAAGUUUGACCAAAACCCGUCUUGGAUUUUGAACAAAUGUGCUUAGGAUUGGCUAAAAUUUAUCCAAAUGGAAAAAUGGACAAUAUAUCAAAUGUAGAUCUUGAUGAUCUCUAACAACUUUGUAUUCAAAUUUUUUUCAUUUCAAGUCAUCAAAUGGGUCAUUUGACCAAGUUUGACCAAAGUCAAAGCGUUGGUUUUUAGAAACACACACUUUGACCGAAGUCAAAGCAUUGGUUUUUAGAAACACACACCAUUUCUGUGCCUUCCAUUUUAACAAUUCUAGUGUUGUACCCAAUUUUUUUGCCCAUCCUGGGCAGAUGCGUAUAGUAAUUUCUUGUGAUCUUCUAACAUGUGAUCAAACUUUGUCUUCUCUUUCGCAAUCUUUUUGUGCAUCACGAAUGACAUCACCAAGAGCAUCAUCUUCAACAUGUGCGCCUUCUGCACCUGCCUCAUCUCCAGCUUCUCCCAUUGCUGUAUCACCGAAGUCACCGUAUUGAGCAAUAAUGUCGUCAGGCUCCAACUGUUCUUCUUCACCUUCUUCCAUCAUUAUCCUGUUUUCUCCAUACUUGGUCCAACAAAUAUAGUUUGCCAUAAAACCCGACUUCAACAAAUGUGAGUGAAUAUUUCUAGAGCUAGAAUAUUCCUUCAAAUUCUGACACAAGGCACAUGGGCAACAUAUGAAUCCAUCCCGCUUGUUUUCCUCGGCCACUCUUAAGAAAUAAUGCACACCAUCAAUGAAUUCUUUGGAGCGGCGAUCGACAUUAUACAUCCAAUGACGUGUCAUUGUCUGCAUUGCAACGUAAAGUAUUAUAAGUUUUUAUUUUUUUAUAAAAAAUUAAAGUAACAAAUAACCUAAAAUUCUCUAUUUCUGUUUUUUCUAAACCAACAAAAUUGAAAAGACAUAAAAGUUCUCUAUUUUCUAACUAAUCAUGAAAUGUGGCAUGCAUACUAGUUAUAAUUAACUAAUUAACCAUGUCAUAAAGUGCAAAUUAAAGAAAUAUAAGUUUCUAAUUUUUAAUAGAGAAAUUAAAGUAACAAAAAACCUAAAAUUCUCUAUUUCUAAUUUUUCUAAACAACCAAAAUUAAAAAAAGCACAAAAGUUAUCUAUGUUUAUAACUAAUCAUGAAAUGUGGUAUGCAUACUAGUUAUAAUUAACUAAUUAACCUUGUCAUAAAUUGCAAAUUAAAGUAUUAUAAGUUUCUAAUUUUUAAUAGAGAAAUUAAAGUAACAAAAAUCCUAAAAUUCUCUAUUUCUAAUUUGUCUAAACAAGCAAAAUUAAAAAGCACAAAAAAUCUCUAUUUUCCUAAAUAAUCAUGAGAUGUGGUAUGCAUACUAGUUAUAAUUGAUUAACUAAAUCGGUCAAAAUUGCAAACUAAAGUAUUGUAUGUUUUUAAAUUUUUUUCUAAACUAAUUAAAAUAAAAAACAUAUUAUCACUAUUUCUCUAAAAAAACGCGUCGCUUUUGAAAUGGCGAUGAAGCUAAUAACCUCUUAAAAAACCAUAAAAUAAAAAACAAUAUACAUAACACUAGGAAAUGACAUAUGCCACUUCUAAAUGUUGAGAAGAUGAAACUAGUGACCUCUUAACAAGUGGAUGACGGUGUAGAAACGAUGAAAUGAAUCAAUAGCCGGAGAUGAGAGCAAGAACAAGCAACUGCAAAUGAAGAACACAGCUGUUGGGUUUUUAAACGCAAACAAAAAAAUCCGCAAGCGCACGGAUACCGAUGUAGCCUUCACCCGGGAGUAUUCCAGAGUAUCGAUUUUCCACAGGGAACGUGAGUGUACUAAUUAAGAAUCAAGAUCGCCCAAGGAUAACUAUAUAAUUAUUUUUGGUGGGAAGAGAGGAAGUUUCUCGAGAGUUCUCUAGUUGAUCUAAGAAUCAAGAAUUACUUCAAGAUUAUCUAUUUCGGGACAUCAGAACACUAACCACAGAAAGAGAUGAGAAGGGGGCUAGGAAGCUCUGACUACGGUCCUACAAACACCGAUCCGAACGAGGUGGAAUACAUCGACCGUUAGGGCUGUCACUACCCUAGGUCUACCACAACAAUCCGUAGGAUUGGGUGCAAUUCUAGGUAAUUGUAAGACUAAACACCACGUCUAAUCUAUUAAUUACUACUCUAGCGUUUCAAAGACUAGAGCACUUCAUGCAAGCUGGAAUCCAAUAAAUAACUUGAAUGUAAAUAAAAGUAAUUAAAGAACUCAGGAAUUAUGAAUUGAAGAACCUAGAGAACGAUGAAGAUCGAACCAGUUGCUGCAAAAGUACAAUGUUGAGGAUCAUGUGACAGAUCCGGCUCCUCUUCCUCCGCUCUCCUCUUCUCUCUCCCUAUUUUUUAGAUUACAACUAGAACUAACUAGAACUAGAACUAGAGGAACUAGAACUAGAACUAGAACUAGAGGAACUAGAACUAGAACUAGAUGAACUAGAGGUAGAACUAGAAGAACUAGAGGUACCCUCUCUACUUGGAUGAAGAAUUGAAACCUUAACUUUGAUUCUGUAGAAGAGGUAUGAUCUCCAGGGGCCAGGGGGCCUUGCUUAUAUAGUCUUUUCAGAUGAAUCUGUGCCGUCGGAUCAAACCGACAUUAAUCGCACGGUUUUCCUUAAUCCGUUAGGUCGGUGGAGCACGAUCCGCGAGUUUGGACGUGAUUGGGCAGAACUCCAGGGCGGACGCCCUCAGGACUUGGGUGGGCGCCCUGUCCCUGAGCCCUCUCGGCUUCCCGUUCGUUCCCGUGGCUUCUGGAGUCUUCUAGAUGGUAGAAAAUUGCGUGGCAUGUUAAUAUCUCUAUGUAAUCCUGACGUAUUUCCUGAUAACCCCCUGCAGAAAUAGGCAAACACCAAAACUCAUAGAAUUCUGUCAGAUAAAACCCUAAGUCUAGGUGUUGGUUGAAUUUGGAUCCUUUUCUAUGAUUAGUUGAUGGUUAAAUGUGAGCAUUAAGGACCGUCAACAAGCUCCCCCAAGCUUAACCUUUGCUAGUCCCUGAGCAAAGAUGAACUCAAGAGUUUCUUCAGGGGUUUCAUGUCUUAAAGGUACACAUGUGUUCAAACAAGAUCUCAUCUCUGGGUUAGGGUAAACUGUUAAGAUUUAAACUUACUCAUUUUACCUUCCACCAUGGGGCUUGCAACCGUCAUCUGUGUCUUGAGCAGUUAAAAAAUAGAACGAUCUAGUCAAGCGCCAUAUCUCUUGUUCUUUGAUUAACUAUAGCUCUUGAGUUUUUGUAGAUAUUCAAAUAAAACUCAGAGAUUCCUUGUAUGACUCUCUCUAGUCUCUCUUUUGUGGUAUUUCUGGAUCCUUACCAAGGCAGUAAUGGUGUAUGCCUUCUCUCAAGUAUGCGGUAUUUUUGGUAUGAGGCAUAGUGACAUUGCCUUCUCUGUCACCCUACUCUAAUAAGGCUUUUGAUAUCUGGAGCUCAUAGGUGGGACACAGCUAAUACAUCCUUACAAGACAUUUAUUGCAUAGUCAAACCAUGGAUCCAGAAAAACAAGUCAAUAAGUCAAAUCAAGAUAUGCAUGUGUGGCGAAUGAAUGGUGAAAACAAUGGUGAUGAUGGUGAUAACAAUGGUCAAAUUCUAAUUCUACGUUUGCUCUUUUCAGGGGAUACAUACCUUUCUUGCACUUUUUUUUUGAGGGGAAUGAGAUGCUCUAUAUUUUCUUCUCUCAGGUGGGUAUCUUGUACCCCUAAUUCUACUGUCGGACACUUGUCUAUUUUUACCUCUCGUCUCACUUUUUUCUUUUCUUUUGAGGUUCCGGGCACUUGCCCCUUUUUAUUUCCUGGUAUCUUCUUUUUCUCUUUUUUUAGAGCACUCACCUCUUGAAAUAAUAUAGCAAGUGGUAGUAACCAAGAUAACUUGAGCAUUUAUUUCAUAGGGGGAAAUAGAAAUGUUUUUGGCUAUUCUCUCCCGAAUUAGGAGUAGAAUACUUUUGGGUGAAUCUGGAGAUGGAAAUGGAUGGAUAUAUGUGGAUGUGUACUUUCGGAGUAGAAGCAGCAUGUGUCAGUGAACGUGCAAGUGAAUCUUGAUUUAACCACAUGACAAGCUCCUAAGAGUCUACACAGCUUGACCACACUCAAUGCUCAUAAGCAGUAAAAAGUAAAUGUGUGGCUCAAAGUUUAGCAAGCAUGUAUAUAUGGGUGUGGUAGGAAUUUAAACUCUCAUCAUACAGGAACUCAUCAUGCAACAUUUUAAAGAUAAAGAUAAAUUUCUACAGAAUUCUAGCAUCUCUAGGAAGAGAUAAACAACAGCUCAACCUUCCCAUAUCAUAUCCAUUAACAACUUAGACUUUAGAUCAAGUUUCCCACAAGUUCAGGUUUAGAGCAGGUUUAAAUUAUAACAAUUAUGCCUAAACUUGAGAGAGAGCUCAAACUUGAAAACUAGGUACAUGGCAGCACAACAAUUUAUUAUAUCCAUGUAAGAGUUUAUCAUGUGGGUUCAUAGCAAACUUUAUUUAUUUAUUUAGCAAACUAAGCAGAAGCACAGAAAAUUUUAUUUGGGUUUUCAUGAUUAUGCAUCUUUUUAUUAUUUGAGUAAAGUAUAAACACGAGUAGAAACACUUAGCUGGAUAAAUGGGGGUGCUCUCCCCAAGCUGGAUUUUGACGUAAUUUCUUCUGAUGUAGCUAGCAGGUGGCGGAGGUGUAUUUGAAUGUCGGCAACACCCUGACAGUGAGUAGGAUGUCCUCCGUCUGCUAGUCUUCUUUGAUCCUUGAAUUCUGUGGAGCUCAAAUAGACAACAAAGCAUUGUGGAACUGAUUGAGUGUUAGCAUAAAAUCUCUUAGCCGUUAUCAUGUUGAACUUCCUCUACUAAAUAUUACUCUCUUUGGUAGGAUCAUAAAUUUAUUUUUAUAUUUUCAUUUUUAUAGGAUAGGAAUAUAUUUAUUUUAUUUUUACGCCACCACAGUGAAUGUACUUAUGGGUUUUAUGCCAUGAGCAUACUCACAUGGGGCUUACUAUUUUUAACAUUUUUAUUUUUUUUCAAGAUGAUAUUAACCUGAUUAACUAAGCAAACUAUUUUAAAUAAUUGAAAGGAAAAAGAUAACUACCAAGUUUACCUCUUGGCAAGGCGUUCGGUGUUUUUACGUCCUCCGAACGGGACUCCGUUUUCUCAUUCGUCCUGGGAUUCGCUGGAUGGCGUAGUCGCUGGUUCCGGCGGUGCCUCCUCUUCGUGUAUAACUAUAUUCUCUUUCAUAGUCUGCCCAUCCGUCCUUGAUGAUUUGCCUCCUCUAGUUACGGUUGCGUCGUCUUCUUCUUGUCCUAACCUUCUUAGAGUCUUCAACUAUAUAGUUAGGGUCAGUAAAAUAGCAGCGUACCUUCUCAGAGGGGAAGUGCAUGUGGAAUUCUCUGGUUCCAAUGUAGAUGAUUGCUUUAACGGUGCUGAGGAACGGUCUCCCAAGGAUGAUGGGUGGACCGUACUCGUCUUCUCCCAUGUCAAUAACCUGAAAAUCUGUAUGGACAAAAUGAUCGUCUAUUUUGAUAGGGACAUCAAUUACUAUACCUUCAACCUUUUAGAAUGUCUGAUCUGCCAUCUGGAGCUGAAUGUAUGUCGGUUUUAGGGGCAUGGUUCCGAACGGGAGUUGAUAGGUGACUGCGGCCAUUAUGUUGACGCCUGAUACGGUGUCGCAAAGCGUCUUCUGCAAGUUGUAUCCAUUAAUGGAGCACUGGAUGCUUGGCAUACUUGGGUCAUCCUUUUUGGUCAGGAAUGGUGACUUAAGUCGACGAUGUUGACCUCCUUGAACUGCAGUGACUAUCUUAGCUGACUUGGUCCACAUUUGCUUGUUCCCAUUCCUCCUGUUGGUCCUCUUUCUUGGUUCAUGUCGGGAUUUCUGUGAGAUUUGUGUAGUCUUGUUCUUGAAGGAAAACGUCUCCUUCCGCCCCUUGAUGUAGAAAGUGAUCUUGGUAGCACUAGCGUGGAUGACAGCUCCCAAGGUGUUCAGGAAUGGCCUCCCUAAGAUGACGGGUGCCCUCUCGUGAGAACCGGUCUCUAUCACAACGAAGACUGCUGGGCGUACAAGGUACCAACUCGGACGCAGAGGUUCUUCAAUAUUCCCUUUGGGAAACGUAGCGUACGAUCUGCAUGCUGCAAACACAUGGCUGUUUCUAAUACAGGAUGUGUAAAGAAUUUUUCAUUGAGUACCCUGGGCAUAAUGUUGACGCUGGAGCCAAAGUCGUAGAGUGCUUCUGGGAAGUCCACCAUGCCGAUGGAGAUCAAGAUGACGGGGCGUCCUGGACCGCCUCUCUUAACCGGCAGAAGGUCAGUAAUUACUUCCACAGCAGGGUUACUCCAGAAGUUAUGUCAUUAAGCAUCUCAGGGCAGUGAUUGCCUAAGUGUCCAGUAUCUCCAAUGUGUUUGAGCUCGUAGAUCUAGGUUCUUCACUUGGAGGAGUCUGGGAGUUGUAAAAGUCCUUCAUAUUUUGCUCGAAGUGUACCUGCUCAUAGAGACAAGGCAGAGAUCAAGUGCAUGGGCCCUGUUGGUGGAAAACACCAACAGAACCAAAAGUGUAUUUGUUCUUCUCUAACCUUAAGCAUAGUGAGCAAGACAAAGUUGAUGGAUAAUAAGAUCAUGAGUGUAAGAUUUAAAACAUUUGUCAGAUCAGAUCACUCAACCUUAUGGAAAGAUAAUCUAUCUAAGUAAAUGUUUUUUCUUUACAUGACUCUCAUUUUCCAAAGAUUGAGUGUGCAAUAUUUUAGUUCAUAUGAUUAGGAGUGUGGGAUCACAAAGGUGGAAGGACUAGACAUAUUGAAUCGACUGGGUUGGUUAUCUAGAGUUGUAAAUCAUACAUUUUUGUCUCUUUUGUUCAUGUGAACGCCAGAACCAAGGAGAAGCUUAUAAAAGUGAUAGUCAAGUACCUUAAGAUGUUACCUUACUUGAAGAGUGAUGGUACAAUAUCACCUUAUGGAAGCAUUCCCUUCUUAGCGGUUGUGCAUCGUGUUUGUGGGACCCUCCAUAGAUCAUCUCUUGUGAGCUAUGUCUUCCUUGUGUAAAUUGUUAAAUUUCAUGUGUCUCUCUCUUUGUCUCCAAUGUGAGUUUAUCUCAGGACCUCCCAGGUUGAUAUUGAAAGUUUUCCUGCAGGGGUUAGUCCAACAAAAUAUCCAAUAUCUACUAUAGCAUACUAUCGGCUAAAAAAUCAACCUAGACACCUUGUCUAAUUUUACUUAGGAGGGUGUUGACACUAGCUAACACCACUUAGAUACUAGGUUGUCAUCCCCAGCAUGGUGCCAGAGUGUACAAAGGUAUUUAUAAAUGUAAAGGCUCUCUAGAAAAUAAUCUAUUCUAUCCGCAUGUGCACAGAUUAAACACCUCAUUGUAGCAUUUCACCAGGAUAAGUAUUCCAGGUAUCGUUAUUUAUAAUAUUGCUCGAGAAAAUUAAGGAGAUGAAAUUAAGGGCAAAAUCUAUCAAUGCAUAGACUAGAGAUAAACUUGCAAGGACAUGAUUACUAAUGAGAAACUCGUCACAUAGUCACUUACUUUAGCAGGGGGUAAACCAUAAAGAUAAUGAUAAUGAAUUAUAAGUUCAUGGGUAAAUAACACAGCGAUUAGAAAAUAGACUACUCCUCAUAUAUCAAGGUGAUGUCGGAUUAGCUAGAGAAUGGAUUCUAAGUUAUCUACUAACUACUAAGUCAUAAUCUAGUCUAGUUAUCUACAAGAUCAUAUAUAGCAUAAAAGACUCUUCAUUCAUGUAUAAGGAACAUUGAUAAAGUAAAUCAGAGCAUCGCAUGAAUUACUCCACAAUACCGGUUCUGCCUGUCCUAUCAACGGAGGGUGGACUAUAUAAGAAUCAACGAAGCUGUCACUAUCGCGAACUACCACACAACCCGGCCAAUAGGAUACAUUUGCAGAUAAAUAACAUCUAAGCACCACGCUCACAUGUGAUCUAUCACCUAACUCCCUCGCGUCAAGAGCUAAGCGCUUUGCAAACUUAUACAUAAACUCAUUAUCAAUUAGAACUAUAUCAAAUAUAGAACUAGAGCAAACUAACAACAUAAUAAUUAGAGACAUAAUGCAAUUAGAACAAUAGAAUUAGAGAAAGAUAUGAAUAAUACCAAUCUUUAUUACCGAAGAUCCGAAUCCAGAGCGUAGUGCUCUACUUCUCUAAUUGCUAUCUAAUCAAAUCUCUAAACUUGAAGGAUUAGGGAGUAGCUAAUUCUAAUUCUCUGUGGGAGAGAAGCUCUAAACCCUAACUUUGAUGGCUACCUCUGAAUAAUGAUUUCUUCUCUCCUCCUCCAGGGGCUAGGGGGUCUGGUUUUAUAGUCCCCUCAAGUGAACGUGAGCCAUUGGAUCAAACCGACAUAGAUUGUAUGGUUUAGAUUGAUCCUUUAGGUCGGUGGAGUUUUGCCCUGAAGCAGAGUCCUGAUUGGACUCCUGGCCUGGGCGGGCGCCCAAGGGGGGUGGGCGGGCGCCCUGCCACCGAGCCCGAUUCCCUUCUCAUUCGUUCCCGUGGCUUCUGGAGUCUUCUAGAUUGAAGAAAAUUGUGUGGCACAUAAUUAUCUCGUUGUAAACAUGACUUGUGGGCCUUCUAUCCAUAUUCUCUAAUAAACCCCUGCAGAAAUAGAUAAACACCAAAGCUCGUGGAAUUCUGUCAGAUAAAACCCUAAUUCUAGAUGUUUGUUCCAUAUUGAUCCUUUUUCAUGUUUAUUUGAUUAUUAAUUUUAGUACUUAAGGACCGUCAACAAACUCCCCCAAGCUUACCCUUUGCUCGUCUCUGAGCAAACAGCUAAACUCAGAUGGAUCAGGAGUUGCUUCGAUGUUUUCUUUCCUGGCAGGCACACAUGCUUUUACAUAAAAUUCUUCUAUAUUAGAGUUAAGUGUUAUGGAGUUUAGUACCUGCACUUAAAUCUUAAGUAAUCGAAAGAAAAAAUAAUUAAGUCAAGCACUAUUUCUCGUGUCUAUACUUCACCUUUGUUCCAGAGUUUUUUUAUAAGUUUUCAAAAUAAAACUCAGAGUUCCCAGCAAUGAUCUCUCAAGUCUCUCUAUAUGUGAUAUUUGUGGAUCCUUACCAUAAUGUCACUUACCUAUAGCUAAUGGAAUAUUUAAGUGGAGCUCAUAGGAGUGAAAACAGCUCAUACAUAUGUUGUCUAAUCGAGCUAUGGAUCCAAAGGAACUCAGCAUAUAAUUAAAUCAAGAUGUGCAUGUGUGGGGGAGUAAAUGAUAGUGAUGGUGAAGAUAUAUAUAAAACUUACUUCUCAUUGCUCCUCAUAUUGCUAUCUCUUCUCUUCUUUGAUCUUUGCUUUGGGAGAACAUGGGCUAUCUCUCUUUUUUUUUCAGGUGGGUAGUAGAUACCCCUAAUUCUACUCUCGGACACUUGUCCAUUUUUUCCGCUCAAGUGGGCGUCUUUGUACCCCUAAUUCUACUGUUGGACACUUGUCCAUUUUUACCUCUCGUCUCACUCUUUUCCUUUCUUUUCCGAGGUUCCGGGCACUUGCCCCUUUUUAUUUCCUCGCAUAUUUUUGCAUAACCCAUGCCUCUUCUGCAUUGAAUCUUUUUAGAGAGAGAGAAUAACAAUAUUUGGGACAGUGAGUGAUAAUAUUUUUAGCAAUUUUAAUGAAUAGUGAUGAAUGCUGUAGUGGAUGUGUGCAAGUGAAUAUCUUAAUUUAACCACAUGAAAAGCUCCUAAUGGUCUACACAGCUCGAUCAAACUCAAUGCAAAUAUAGAAAAAGAUGUUAUAGCAAGUAUGGCUGCGGUAGGUAGUUUGUUAUGCUAGGAACUCAUCAUGUGAUUUGUAAGUUUUCAAAAUAAAUCUCUAGAACUUAGUGUAGUAGGAACAAGAUAAACAGUAGCUCAACUUUAUAUUAUGCCUUUCUCUUACCUAGACUUUAGUUUUAUGCUUCCCAAAGAUAGUAAUUUUAGAUCUAGUAAUUCCUAGAAGAACUCUAAUAUAAAAGCUAGGUACUUGAAAGUAAGCAAACAGAGCAACUGUUCAUCAUUUCCAUCAUGCAUUUCUAGUAAGUGAAGAUUAAAGGCUAGACGAGUGAUAAGUGAAGUGCAUCCUACUGGUCCCUGAACACUAGGUAUGCUAAGACAAUGAGAAACUAAUAGUGUAAUAGGUGAAGUGGGUACUUUAUUAAUAGCAGCAUAUAAAAGUUGUAAAUCUCCUACUCUUACUUUUCUAAUAUCAUCACGAUAGAAAAGAUUGUACCCAAGCCAUUUGUGGAACAUACUAAGAGUGGGGUGUUCAUGUCACUGGUUCAGGCCUGACUAUAAAAAUUAUCUCUAGAUAUCUCUCUCCAAAACUGGUGUCUCUCAAAAUUGGGUAAAUCGGAGUCAAUGUUCAGGAUGCAUCUUGAAGAGAAACCAAGAUGGUCGCUCAGCUCUCUCCAAGACAACAUGAUCUCCUUUUGAACAUCCGAAAAACAAUCCCCCCUCAUAAUAUUGUAAGGUGCAAAGAAAUUCGAGGGUGAGAAGACGAGAACCCAGCUUAGUUAUAUUCCAAAAAUUUGUCCAACCUAUCAUCUGGAAAAUUAAGUCGAAUUCAGUGUCCAUACCUGUUUCAUGUAGUGAGAUUGGAUCAGGAGUAGGGGUGUGAAUGAAAUCUUUGUUCUUCAGUUGCUGAUAUACUUCUUUCUCCCUUCAGGUCUUCAGUCCAAGGUCUCCUAUCUUGAGAAGGACCUUGACUUGCUGACCUGAUGAAUAUGACAGAGCUUGUGUGGGUGUCGGGUCGACGCUCAUCUCUGAUGGGUGUGAGGAGUGUCGAGAUGAACUCCUUGUACCAAUGUUCUUGAGAGCCUUCCCUGCAUUCUUCACCUUCUUAAACAUCCUAUAAACAAAAGUUGGCAAAAACACAACUAGUGGAAAAUGUGAGAGAAAAUGUUAGUGGUCAGCAGUCCGGAAUGUCAGUAGUCCUGGGGUUAGUCGUUCAAGAUAAGUUUCUAUUUUAGCAAAACCUCCCCCUAAACAACUUUUACUUCCGCUUAGAUAGCGGGAUCACUACUUGCUAGGUGAUACUUACUCUCUAUCAACUUCUUUCCCACUCUUCUCUCUUUCUCCACUCUCUUCUCUCUCCACUACAAGAGCUCUUUCUGGAAACUGAUACUUGUGUGGUUUUCUGGAGUGCUUGUGUGGAGAGGAUGGAGGUAGAAUGUGGCUAUUUAUAGGAGGAAGAGGGAGCAGGGCGGGCGCCCUUGGUAGGUGGGUGGGCGCCCACUCCUGGUGUCCAUCCUGGGUGUGCCUCCUCCAGUUGCUUCCUUGCUUUGAUCUCACGCAGAAUAAUGUUGUGUGGUGGUGGUUGGACGGUGGAAAGUUGUCUGGUGAGUGGAAACAUAUUGGUGGAUGAAAUUAUGUGAUGGGAUGUAUGUGAGGUGUGGUGUAUGACAUGUGUAACCCAAGGAGUGUGGGUCAUGUUUAGGUUACUAUCAUUAAAUAUAAUGCAGGAAAAUCUAUGAUAAAUGAAACUUAAUUUAAAAUAAUAAUGGAAAAUAUUUUUGUGCCUUCACAAUAAUUAAUAGAUAUGGGUUGUUACACACCAUAAAUAUUAUUUAUAUGGGGCUUUUCAUUAUAAUAAUGCUAUGAAUUAAUAUGACUUAAUGCAAGAUUUAAUUAUGCAAGAAUUUAAAUAUGAGAAAAUUAAUAAUGCGGAUAAAUACCGAUUUAAGGUCCCCCAAGCUGGACCUCCAAAUCUUUUAAUCUUCUGAAUUACCUUCCUCCGGAGAAGGUGUCUCCAGUGGUUCUUCAUGAACUUCCUUCACUGUAGGGUCUCUCUCUGGUCUGGGUUUGAAUGUGAAAUGUUCUUCUUGUCCAUUUAUGUUGAACUUGAUUUCUCCUUUCCCGACAUCAAUGUGGGCAUUGGCAGUGCUCAGAAAUGGCCUUCCAAGGAUGAUGGACACUUUUGAGUCAGGACUCAUGUCCUCUACUACAAAGUCUACUGGCACCAGGAAAUCUCUGAUCUUGACUGGAAUGUUCUCGGCGAUACCCAACGGAUGUCGAACCGAUUGAUCCGCUAGUUGCAGGCACAUCAAUGUUGGUUCUAGGGUCGCAUGCUCAAGCUUCUUGUAGACUGAUGCUGGCAUCACACUGACACUUGCUCCGAGAUCCCAAAGUGCAUUGUUGAAGUGUUGGUUUCCGAUCGAGCAGUCAAUAGUGGGACAUCCGGGAUCUUCCUUCUUCUUUGGUGGUUUAUUGAGGAUGGCCGCACUACAUUCUUCUGUCAGCUUGAUAACCUCAGUGGUGGGCAGUGGUCUCUUCUUGUUAAGAAUAUCUCUGAUGUACUUUGCAUAUGUAGGUACCUGUAUGGCAUCCAGCAGAGGUAUGUUGACAUAUAAUUUCUGAAUGACCUCUACAAACUUACCAAAAUGCUCAUCCGACUGCAGUCCUCUGUUUCUUCUGGGAAAUGGUAAAUAGUUCGUGUCGUAAAAAUCUUUCCUCAUUUCUCUAGUUCUUGGUGGUUGGGGCAGAUCUUCUGCUUCAACUGGGCUUUCUUCUUCUAUCAUUGCUGGUUGUACUGGUGCUGAUGUUCUUUGUUUCUCUUUUGGGUAUGGAGGAUCUCUGGUGGCUUUGCCUCCUCUAGUAGUUAUAUUCUUUACCUGCUCAAUGUUAGUAGCAACAGGCAGUGCAGCAGCUAACUUUAUUAAUUUAAGCUCUACCCUUUUAUUAAGAGUGUUUUGCUCAUCAAAGGCAGUUAAUAGAAAAUUCAUUUUAUUAUGUAUAUCUUUUAGAGAUGAUUCAUUUGUAUCUAGCGUUUGUUUAACUUUAUCAUUAAUUUUGGUUUGUUGAGCAAUUAUUUCUUUUAAUGAAAGUUGCUUAAAAGUAUUACCUGAAUUCAUACCUUUGCUAUUGGGUUGACUCGAAGUUGGUUGAUAUUUAUAUGCUGUCUUGAUGUCCCUUUGAUCUUCUUUAAACUUGGCCCUCUGGUCAAUCCAAUGGAGCAAAUUUUCCAUCUUAGUUGAUAAUGCAUUUACUUCUUCUAGUAUUUCUUCAGUUUGAUGACAUUGUUGAGCUUUAUCUUGGAACCAGCUUUGGAUUUCUGCUAUCUUAUCCAAAAGUAUCUCUGCUUUUCCAGUUGUAAGCUCCAAGAAUGAUCCUUUAGCAGAUGCAUCUAGGCACUCACGAGCCUUCUAGGUUAAUCCAUGGUAGAAGGUCUGCAUAAGUAACCAUGUGGACAAUCUGAUAUGUAUCCUUGAAAACGCUCCCAUGCUUCUGAAAUGGCUUCUGUCUUCUGUUGUUGGAAACUGACAAUAUUUCCUCUUAAGGCAGUUGUUUUGCCUAUAGGGAAAAACUUUGAUAGAAAGGCAUCUGACAAGUUCGUCCAGUUGUUGAUGUUAUCUUGAUGAGUGUAGAACCACUUCCUCGCUUUCCCUUCUAGUGAGAAUGGAAAAAGGUGAAGCAGUAUGACAUCUUUGUGAACUCCGUUGAUGUGGAUUGUGCUUCCAAUCUCUAAGAAAUUCGGCAAGUGUGCACUAGCAUCUUCAUGUGCCUUUCCACUGAAUUGUGUAGCUUACACCAAAUUGAUGAGGCUUGACUUGAGCUCAAACUCGGGUACUCCUUCUUCUACUGCAAAUCUUGGACCAAUUGGAAUGUUCUCAAGACUUGGAGCAGAGAAUUCUUGCAAGGUCUUCUGUGCCAUAGCUUCAGCAAUUGGUAGCUAGCUUCUUCUUCUCUUGAUUGCUUUGGUUCUGAUGAUGAAGAGUUGAAUGUACCCAAAGUCAAUUCUGAUAUACCCUGUAUAAAAAUAUAAACAUAGAAAAACAACAGGGUGAACCUGCCAAAGCAGAGGUGCCUUGUUAUGAUUUCUCACUUAGUAUGUGUUUUUAUGCAAUUAUUUCUCUGUAUAAAAAUAUAAACAUAGAAAAACAACAGGGUGAACCUGCCAAAGCAGAGGUGCCUUGUUAUGAUUUCUCACUUAGUAGGUGUUUUUAUGCAAUUAUUUCUCUAUAGUCUAGUCUAAUAUUUUAUAUGAAUAACCUUGACUGAUUUUCUGGCUUUCCUUACCGUUCCUAAGUGUUAUCCUUUUGCUUCCCCUUAUGACUUACACAUGAGACUCCCCGGCAACGGCGCCAGAAAUGCUUGUUGACACUAGCUAACACCACUUAGAUACUAGGUUGUCAUCCACAACAUGGUGCCAGAGUGUACAAAGGUAUUUAUAAAUGUAAAGGCUCUCUAGAAAAUAAUCUAUUCUAUCCGCAAGCGCACAGAUAAAACACCUCAUUGUAGCAUUUCACCAGGAUAAGUAUUCCAGGUAUCGUUGUUUAUAAUUUUGCUCGAGAAAAUUAAGGAGAUGAAAUUAAGGGCAAAAUCUAUCAAGGCGUAGACUAGAGAUAAACUUGCAAGAACAUGAUUACUAAUGGGAAACUCAUCACACAGUCACUUACUUUAGCAGGGGGUAAACCAUAAAGAUAAUGAUAAUGAAUUAUAAGUUCAUGGGUAAAUAACACAGCGAUUAGAAAAUAGACUACUCCUCAUAUAUGUAGGUGAUGUCGGAUUAGCUAGAGAAUGGAUUCUAAGUUAUCUACUAACUACUAAGUCAUAAUCUACUCUAGUUAUCUACAAGAUCAUAUAUAGCAUAAAAGACUCUUCAUUCAUGUAUAAGGAACAUUGAUAAAGUAAAUCAGAGCAUCGCAUGACUUACUACACAAUACCGGUUCUGCCUAUCCUAUCAACGGAGGGUGGACUAUAUAAGAAUCAACGAAGCUGUCACUAUCACGAACUACCACACGACCUGGCCAAUAGGAUACAUUUGCAGAUAAAUAACAUCUAAGCACCACGCUCACAUGUGAUCUAUCACCUAACUCCCUCGCGUCAAGAGCUAAGCGCUUUGCAAACUUAUACAUAAACUCAUUAUCAAUUAGAACUAUAUCAAAUAUAGAACUAGAGCAAACUAAGAACAUAAUGAUUAGAGACAUAAUGCAAUUAGAACAAUAGAAUUAGAGAAAGAUAUGAAUAAUACCAAUCUUUAUUACCGAAGAUCCGAAUCUAGAGCGUAGUGCUCUACUUGUCUAAUUGCUAUUUAAUCAAACCUCUAAACUUGAAGGAUUAGGGAGUAGCUAAUUCUAAUUCUCUGUGGGAGAGAAGCUCUAAACCCUAACUUUGAUGGCUACCUCUAAAUAAUGAUUUCUUCUCUCCUCCUCCAGGGGCUAGGGGGUCUGGUUUUAUAGUCCCCUCAAGUGAACGUGAGCCAUUGGAUCAAACCGACAUAGAUUGUCUGGUCUAGAUUGAUCCUUUAGGUCGGUGGAGUUUUGCCCCGAAGCAGAGUCUUGAUUGGACUCCUGGCCUGGGCGGGCGCCCAAGGGGGGUGGGCGGGCGCCCUGCCCCCGAGCCCGAUUCCCUUCUCGUUCGUUCCCGUGGCUUCUGGAGUCUUCUAGAUUGAAGAAAAUUGUGCGGCAUGUAAUUAUCUCGUUGUAAACAUGACAUGUGGGCCUUCUCUCCAUAUUCUCUGAUAACCCCCUGCAGAAAUAGAUAAACACCAAAGCUCGUGGAAUUUUGUCAGAUAAAACCCUAAUUCUAGAUGUUUGUUCCAUAUUGAUCCUUUUUAAUGUUUAUUUGAUUAUUAAUUUUAGUACUUAAGGACCGUCAACAGAGGGCAUCUUAACCUAAGCAUCAUGCUUAAUUUAAAAUCCUUUGGAAGUAAGAUCAUCAUUCCUAAACUAAGCACCAUGCUUAAUUAUGAGAUAAAUGAAACUACUCCAAACCUAGACAUAUACUAAAGCAAAUAAAGGUAGUAUGAGAGCAUUUAUAGAAAUCUACUCAAGUGGAGAUGAAGUAGUGUGAUUAGUAUUUAACAAAUUGAGCAUGUCUCAAAGGUAGGGACAACCAACAUAGCAACAUGGCAAAUGAUGUUUUUAUGUAAAGUAAUUCCCCAAGCUUGAAUUUUGCAAAAUUCAAGUUUGGAUGAAUUUAAUUCAAUGUUGUAUGAUGAUUGGUUGGACAUACCUUGUGCUUGUCAUUCAUCUGAUCUUCUUGCUCCAAUCCUGGAAAGGUUAGUGACAAGAAUACCCGAAGGAAUAUUUUACAAUUAUCCUUAUAUGCUCAACACACAAGGUAAUGUUGCAAAUAAUUAAAAGCUCAUGUUACAAUCUGAUCAGUGCUUGUUUUAGGACACUAAGCUUGUCCUUCGGAAACCAUCAAUUUAUGUCGGUGAAGUGGUUUCCCCUCCAACGCUGACCUAUAUCAAGAUCAACUCAACGAGAUCUGCAAUAUUUAAUAUAGACAUAUGCAUCGACAACCGCCCUUUUAAAGUUUUUAUAAAUAGCAAGGAUGAGGGGGGUGGAGAUCUCGAAUGUGAUGAUGUUGGAAAAACCAAUGGAUUGGGAAGAUGUUGCAUAUGAGCAUGGAGUAAAUGAAGUGGCUAUGAAAUAAAUUCCAUGCUCGUUAAUGCUUAGAGUGAAAUCCAUAUGGUAUGGUGAAAAUGAUAAGGUGAUUGUGGUAAAAAAAGGAAAAGAAAAAGGAUACACGGACGACUUGGUUCGAAACUAGCACAGCUACCGUUCCCCGGCAACGGCGCCAGAAAGCUUGUUGGGUAUUUUAAACACAAACAGAAAAAUCCGCAAGCAUACAGAUACCGAUGUAGCCUUCACCCGGGAGUAUUCCAGAGUAUCAAUUUUCCACAGGGAACGUGAGUGUACUAAUUAAGAAUCAAGAUCGCCCAAGGAUAACUAUAUAAUUAUUUUUGGUGGGAAGAGUGGAAGUUUCCUAAGAGUUCUCUAGUUGAUCUAAGAAUCAAUAAUUACUUCAAGAUUAUCUAUUUUGUGACAUCAAAACACUAACCACAGAAAGAGAUGAGAAGGGGGCUAGGAAUCUCUGACUACGGUCCUACAAACAACGAUCCGAACGAGGUGGAAUACGUCGACCGUUAGGGCUGUCACUACCCUAGGGCUACCACAACAAUCCACACGAUUGGGUGCAAUUCCAAGUAAUUGGAAAACUAAACACCACGUCUAAUCUAUUAAUUAAUACUCUAGCGUUUCAAAGACUAGAGCACUUGAUGCAAGCAGGAAUCCAAUAAAUAACUUGAAUGUAAAUAAAAGUAAUUAAAGAACUCAGGAAUUAUGAAUUGAAGAACCUGGAGAACGAUGAAGGACAAACCAGUUGCUGCAAAAGUACAAUGUUGAGGAAGAUCCGACAGAUCCGGCUCCUCUUCCUCCGCUCUCCUCUUCUCUCUCCCUAUUUUCUAGACUACAACUAGAACUAACUAGAACUAGAACUAGAGGAACUAGAACUAGAACUAGAUGAACUAGAGGUAGAACUAGAAGAACUAGAGGGAUCCUCUAUACUUGGAUGAAGAAUUGAAACCCUAACUUUGAUUCUGUAGAAGAGGUAUGAUCUCCAGGGGCCAGGGGGCCUUGCUUAUAUAGUCUUUUCAGAUGAAUCUGGGCCGUCGGAUCAAACUAACAUUAAUCGCACGGUUUUCCUUGAUCCUUUAGGUCGGUGGAGCAUGAUCCGCGAGUUUGGACCUGAUUGGGGAGAACUCCAGGGCGGGCGCCCUCGGGACUUGGGUGGGCGCCCUGUCCCUGAGCCCUCUCGGCUUCCCGUUCGUUCCCGUAGCUUCUGGAGUCUUCUAGAUGGUAGAAAAUUCCGUGGCACGUUAAUAUCUCUAUGUAAUCCCGACGUGUGAGCCUUUCCUCCAUAUUUCCUGAUAACCCCCUGCAGAAAUAGACAAACACCAAAACUCAUGGAAUUCUGUCAGAUAAAACCCUAAGUCUAGGUGUUGGUUGAAUUUGGAUCCUUUUCUAUGAUUAGUUGACGGUUAAAUGUGAGCAUUAAGGACCGUCAACAACAACGAAGGAGUGAAGAUUGAUGGGCUCGGCCAGGGGAAGAAGAGUUCAAAUAUGGGGAGGGACAUUUAGUCCCGGUUCCUUUUAAAAACCGGGUCUAAAUUCCAACACUAGUCCCGGCCGGUGGGUCGGACCGGGACAACAGCUUUUAAUCCCGGUUGGUGGUACCAACCGGGACUAAAUAUGUUUUUGUCCCGGUUGGUGAGACCAACCGGGGCUAAAGGUCCCCAUAGCCGAUGUCUGACACAAUACCCGUUGGGCAGGGGACUUUUAGUCCCGGUUGGUCUCACCAACCGGGACUAAAUAUGUUUUUGUCCCGGACGCUGUUUGGGCCGAGAUUAUUGUUCAUUUUGGGCAAGUGACCAAAGGCCUGUUUCUGUAGUAGUGUACAUUUACAAGGACCCUAUGUGUAUGACCCACACUGGUUUGGUCAUGGAAGGGAGGAAGACAGAGUUGGUGGAAAGUUCACUUACAAUGCGUUCAGUGGUGGAAGACAUGCUUGCCCGUGGGAAGCUUAUGCCUAUAUGCAAGUGAAGGUGAUAUGGAGCCAUUUGCUAAGGAACUUUGAGCUCAAGUUGGUGUCAUCAUUCCCCGAGACAAAUUGGCUAAAGCUUUCCCCACAACCUAGAGGGAAAGUGGAGGUCAGUUACAAAAGGCGGAUGCUAUCUAGGAGCAUCUUGGAAAACUUAUGAUUACUUUUGUAUGAAAUGUUUUAUAUGUGCAUGCUUGUGUAAUAAACAAGUUUGUAUGCCCACA